rnacentral:lncRNA from 1 species
CCAUGUUCCUGGGAUUCAAAACAUGGAAAGGGAACAAACAGAUUUCGUAAUUUUAUACAAGCAAAUGCAUUUUAGUCACUUGCAUAUGAAUCUAAAAUACAAAAUGAUAGAAACCACUUAUAAAUGGAAUGGUUUUCAACAAACAGCGUUUAAGGUACCAAGUUUUUGGGUUUCAACAGAGGAUCGAUCAAGGUUGGGAGCCAUUAGUAAAAAUAAUCUCAAACCCUGAUUGAUCAUGAUUACUACCAUAGAGCUUAGUCUCAAAUUGCAGGAAAAUACUUGCUAGUUUCGGUUAUACAUAUAAACAUCAAUAAAGUAAGUAAAGAAAAAAAAUGAUAUCCCUACCUCUGGUGUAAUAAAAUGAAAAAUUUCCUUUCUCAAAAAAAAUAAAUGGAAAGAAAAAAAAAGAUUGAUAAAAGAAUGGGGCAACAUAGGAAAAUCACUUGAAAAGACAUUGCACUAUUCUACAUUCUCUCCCUGCAACUACCUUUACACUUUGUGUUCCCAUACCCAAACUUCUGAAGGGAAAUCUGCUUAAAUGGGUAAUCUUUCUAUUGCUCUCAUUACCAAAGGGUUUCCCUUUCCAAGAGCGUGUUUGGUUCAUCAGCAUCUAAACUUGAUAAUAAAAAUGAUAUUUUUGGGAGUCAAUUCACAAAUUAGAAUAGGUAUAAAGAUACCUGUAAAACAAUUAUUUUUCUUUCGAUAGGUAAAUUUUCUUUUCCAGGAUUGGGAAAAAAUAUCCAAUAUGAAGUGACCUUUUGAAUUUUUUAACCCUAUGCCAGAAUCAGGCAACCAAGUUUGUCUGAAUCCCAGCAGCUUUUAUCCCCAUCCUUAUCUGGGAAAGUGUAAUCAUUCAAGAAACAAGGAUUACUCUUUCCUUUUCUAAAGACAAAGAAACAGAGCCCACCAAAAUCAUGAGCAUUGGGUCACUUGUUUAAGCCAUGGAACACUAGGUAGAUUGGUCACAAACAAAAAGUAAAGUUUUAACAAAAAGAUACGUAAAAUUUGCCGGUAGAAAUCUGUACCUAUUGACAACUUAAUUUUGCUCUUGUUAAAGGAAAAAUCUAAUCAUGCAAUCAUAAAAAUAAGCUUUUAGUUGGCUUUUACAUCAACCUUAUGGCCAUGUUUGGAAUGCUGGAAUUGAGAAUAGGAAUGGGAAAUCAAUUCCAUCUCCUGUUCUUUCACAUGUUUGGAUUGUCUUUGAAUCAAAAUUCAUUGUUGUGAAAAUCAAAUCCCACUCUCACUAGCUUUUCGAUUCCUCUUCUACACGCUAUCAUCAUUCCCCUCCAUUCCCAUUCAUUUCCACGUACCAAACGCAGCAUAAAUGUUUUGUGUUUAAGCUUGUCAUAUGCACGUAUCAAACACACCAUUAAUGUUUUGAGUUUAAGCUUGUCAUACGCAAUAAAAAUAAACAAACAUACAAAAUACCAACCAAAUUGUGAAUUCAGUUUCUAAGACUCAAAAUUUGAAUUUUUUUUUCUUUGUUUUUUCUUCCCUUAUCUCGGAAACCAAACAGAACAAAGAGACAAUCUGGACAGGAAAAAAUAAAAAAUAAAAAAAUCAGAUCCAACCACAAACAUCCCAAAAUUCCAAUCAAAACCCUGAACCAUAUUCAGAAACCCUAAACCAGGAUGAAUUGGGCAAAAUCAGAUCUGAGUAUGUAUUCUAUGGGCGGGGGUUUUGAGAUCAACUAUAGGUGUAGGCUCCUUCCGCCCUUUUUGUUUAGCUCAUACGUGGGAAUGAAUGAGAAAGAGCGGCAAGGACCAACAACGAUAAAAGAGGAGUUGGAGUAGGAGCGAGGAUUCUCCCGAUUCAAAAACCUAGAAUCAAAACCCUAAAGCAAUCAUCACAACACUAAUGAUCUACAUAUCUGUGAUUUGUACAUCAGAAAUCGUGGCCAAAAGCAUAUAGAUUCCAGAGAGAGGAAUAAAGUUGGAGAGGAACUCACCUUCGAGGCUUCGAAGUCGAGAGAAUCGCGAUCGGAGUUCCGAGUUUUGACUUCGUGAAUAAUCGGCUCAGGCGUUUUCAAUGGCCCUUUAUUUCGUACAAGCGUGUGGGGACCACCACACAUUCCACGUCUAUUCAACCAAUUGUAUUUCGCCACGUAAUACAAAUUAAACGCAGAUGGUAGAUCUCUCCUUUGUUCCGGUCGGAUGGAGAAAUCUAAAUCAAACUACAAUAACUAGCGUAGACAACAUUUGACAAUUUUAAAAAUUAAAGAUUGUUUAAAAAAAAAAAAAUUAAGGAUAAUUUUUUAAAAACAAUUUUUAAUGUUUUUUUUAACAUAAAACACUUGGAAUUUGUUAUGUUUUUUUUUAAUAUUUUUUAAAUAUCACUUUUGUAUAUAAUAUUUUUAAAUAAAACACAUGGGACAGGAUAUUACCAUUUAAAUAAUUGCUUAUAUUUUUUAUUAAUUUUCAAAAUAAUAAUAGUGAUAAUAAUGUCAUGUGAUUAGUUAUUAAGAACUUUUAAGCAUGUUAUAAGGGUUGAGACAUGAUAUUAUGAUUUCAUAAAAUCAAAAUUUUUUGUGUUAAUAUAUAUAUAUAUAUAUAUAUAUAUAUAUAUAAAAUAAAAUAAAAUAAUUAAAAGAAGAAAUUGGAAUACUCACAAAGAAUUUAAUAUCAUAUUUUAUGUUUUACUGAUAGUCAAGUAAAAAUUUAUAUUAAUAUAGAGAUGAUCUUCCAAUACGACAAAUUCUUAUAUUUUUAUAACAUUAUCACUUUGAUGAUCCUAAGAAUAAGUUUCAUCAAAAUCUUAUUAAGAAAAACCUAGUGGGAAAAAUUAUAAUGAAGAAAAAAAGUUCAACAUUUUUUAAAUGAUUUAACCAUUAGAACUUCUCAUUAAAAAUCUUAUCAAUCAAAUCCAGUGAGACAAAACUUGUAUGAGAGGAAAAAAAAAAUCAUAAUAGUAUUCUCUUCUUUAUGUAUACACGAUUAUGUUUUCUUCAACAUUUCAUUUUGUAGAUCUCUGAAUCUCCACACGCUAAUGUUGUUAUUUCUUAACUUUUUCAAUGUAAUAGAUGAUAACUCUUUUGUAAAUAAAUCUGCUAGAUUAUCAUACAACAAAAUCUAUUGAACAUUAAUUUCACCAUUAUCUUAGAACUCAAAAAAGAAGAACUUAAGGGAGAUAUACAUAUUCUUUUACCUUUUAUAAAUUCUCCUUCGGUUUGUGCAAUACAAGAAAUAUUAUCUUCAUAUAACUUGACCAAAUUAUCAUAAAUAGAGGAUAAUCUAUAAGAUCUUUGAAUAUGUUGAAUUAUUAACCUUAACCAUGCACAUUCAUUAUUUCCUUCAUGAACUUCAUACAUCUUUAAAUGAUUUGAAAAAGUGUCUACUAUUGUUGGUUUAAGUAAUCUUCACAUGCAAUAUUGUUCUAUUACCAUAAGUAAACACAUAUCCAAUUUGAAAUUGAACUUUGCAAACAUCUCAAAAAUAACCAACAUAUGCAUAUCCAAUUAAUUAAAAUUUUGGUUUUUUUUGAAUAAAAUAAACUCAUGUUGGUUAUUCCAUAACGAUAUCAUAGAACAAGUUUGAUUUCAUUCCAAUGUAUUCAAACUAAUGCAUAAUUGUAUCAUGCUUGCAAGUUGGUUGAGAAUGCUACAUCUGAUCAUAUACAAUAUGCAAGAUAAAUCAAUGCAUUAAUCACAUUGAGAUAUGAUACUUUUGUACUAAAUAAUUCUUUAUUUGCUUAUCCGAGAUGAAACAUAUUUUUAUUCACUUCAAGUGAACAAACAAUCAUAAGGUAGUUAAGUUAGUGUGAUUUGUCCAUAUGGAAGCAUGUCGAAACUUUCUCUAUAUAUGUGAACCGAUAAGCUAACAUGCCACUUGAAAAUAUUUGAUUUGUAGGCCAAGACCAAAUUUUGGUUUUUUAAGAUCUUUCACUUCAGAUUUUUUCAUAAUUAGAUAAUUAAUCAUUCUUAUAAAUUCUUCAAAAAAUCUAAUAAGAUUGUAACAAUUACAAACCUUUACACCUUUACUUCAAUCAUACAAGGACAUAAUUUGAUCAAAUAUAUUAUCAUUGUGACUUGACUUAGAAUAUGAUAUGAGAUUCUCAUUCAUUUUUUCAAAAAUUUUAAUCCUUCAAGAAAUUAUUUGUUAAAGCAUCUUAAUCCUUUAGGGAAUUAUUUGCUUUAGACAUUUUAAAUUAUUUAAGGACUUGGAUUCAUGCCAUUUCAUCCUUCAAAGAUUUUUAGAUAAGCAUGGAUUUAUAUACAUUAUAAAGUAUCUAUCAAGUCCUUCAGGAAUGAUCAAUCAUGUUAGUUAGGAAUAUGAUUGAGUCAUUAUGGGAGUUAUAGAAGGUUUGUGCAUGAAACGUUACGCUAUAACUUUUGCUUGAUCUCAAAACCCAUUGGUAUUAAACAUUUUUUACAUCUUCAUGCAUCAACUUCAUGUCCAUUUGGCUUUAUAUCCGCUAAGUAUUGGACUUUAAGUCCUAAUACUUAUAUAGACAAGUUUAGUCCUUUAUCAAUUUUUUCUUUUCAGUUUAACCCAUUAUUUUGAUGUUGACAUUCUUAAACAUUAGUCUUCCAAUCAUAUGUAUAACCAAUAAAGAUCUUUUUCUACUUUUGUGUAUGCAUACCCCUUUAAGGUUAUUGUUCAACUUAUUCCUCUUUUGAGGGUAUCCAUUCAAUUUGUGCAUUUUCAAAGGCAAUUGAAUUAAUGUUUCCUUAGCGGUUAUUUAUUUAAUUAAUUAUAAAUUAACCAACCAUUAUCAUUAAUCUUCCAUUCUUAUCAUUUCCUCAAUGAGUAUGACCUCUUCUCAUAAAAAUGAUAUGCAUUAUUAGAUUUAACAUAACUUAAAGAUUACUAAAAUCAAAUAAAUUUACAAUCUAAAGGCUGAAUUUUGGAAAAAAUAAUUUAAAAUAUUUAAAAUAUUUUUUGUGGAAUGUGAAUCAAUUAAAAUAUUUUGUCUCAAUCAAUUAAAUUCUUACAACCCCAAUUGUCUAGAUCUAAUUUUAUUAUACAAAGCUCUAUCCUCUUUGUGUUAAUAUCAUAACAUGGUAUUUUCAAAUUUUGACUUGCAUCAUUUAAUGGAAUAAACCUUAAUCAUCAUUUGUAAUUAAAGAAGAGGCAAAAAAACAAAAAACAAAAACAAAAACAAACAAACAAAAAAAGCCUAUGAAGUUAAGCUAAUCUAUCUAUGUUAAUCACCCAAGAGGGGUCAAAUUAGGUGAGGUCUAAAGUAGCAAUUUUUAUCCAAACAAAUGCAAUAAACUAAAGUUAAACAAUAUACAAUUAAAUUAGCAAUGAAAUAAACUAAAAGAAAAGAUAAGAGAUGCAAAAUUAAAAUUUAUAGUGAUCAACCCCAAACCCAACCUAUGUUCACUCUCUUCAUGUCAGUUGAGGAUUCCAUUAACUUUUAAAGCUUGAACCAAACUUUAAUCCUAUACACUUGGAUUCUCAAUUCUAAGUGUUGGGAAAACAAACCAUGGAUAUAGAUUAAAGGGUAGCAACUAAGAUCCUAGGUGUUAGGAUAGAGCCUUAGAAAGUACAACAUAAUGUGACAGUUUGAGAUUCAUUAAUAAAUUUAUUUAUUUAUGUUUCUUGUUUCUUUUUCUAUCCAUUUGGCAUUAAUUGGUUAUCCAAGCAUACACACUUGUAUCACUUACAUUGUACAUUGCAUUAAGAGUUGCACAAAGAAUACAAAUCAUAGGCUCCUUACAAAAUGAUAAGUGUUCAUAAUAGGUUUAUGGGUUUAAACAAGCCGAUAGAGACUGUAGUGCAUUACCUCCUAAUUGAAGGGAUGACUUAUCUUAGCCAUCAAAAUAAGAUUCUCAUUGUGAGUACACUAGUGUCUACAGUUACAUAUUGGACAAGGUCUAUGAUAAAUCAUGACUUAAGACUAUCAAGUUGUCAUGAUUCAUCAAGCUACUAUACUACAUUGACUCUCAACCUUAAAAAGAUAUUGAGUUUGUGUCAAAAUUAACAAGAGACUUUGACCUAUGGGUGAGAUCCAAUGCAGUCAUAUAUCCUUAUGGAUUGGGUCACUAAUAGAAGCUAGUAGCAACAAGUAUUCUUAAUAGCGGCACUAUGAUAUUUUACAAGAUUGAGAUAGCGUGUCCUCUUAGGUAACCCAAAUGACAUGUGAUCAAGAAGAUUAUGGUAAUAACAUUUCCUUUAGUAGAAUUUGACAUAUGCUAAUUGGAAUUAAAGUAUAUCAAUUAGUCACAUAAUAAGUGGAUCUGUAACUUAAUGAUUAGAGAGAUAAUCUUAAUAGGUUGAUAGCAUUAUCUUAUUAGAUCACGGGUACUAGCUCAUGAGGGGUCUGCAUGUAGUGGAUAGUAGGACAUAGGCUUGAGUUUUGCCUCGUUGUAAUUUCAUAAGAUAUUGAAGUGCAAUUGAUUCUCUUUAGUGAAAUGUUAAAUCGACUUCAUAAUUAAAGUAUGAGAGAACUAACAUUUUCUUAUGGAUCUCAGUGGUCCUUGAUCGAUCUCCUAGUUCAUGGCGACAUGUUUGUUUUAAGGGAUUUGGGUUUUAAGUUCAUACGUGUGGAUAAAGACGUUGUGGAAAAAGCAUAAGGUUACACUAGAUCCUAUGAGUUAUAUUUUUUUACUAGACUAAUUAAUUAGAGUCUAAUAAGGCUAAUUAAUUAAUUUAGACUUAGGUAGACUAGAUUAAGUGACUCAAACUCAAUUUGGGUUCAAGUCACAUAAGCCCACAAGGAGCCCUAUAAAUACCCCCUAGCAGUUAGGGUUCCAAACUUUUGUCUGUCUUAUUCCAAAGAGCAUCUUAAAAAAAAGCCCUAGCCACCUUCUAGAGAGAAAAACCCACACUUUUCUCAUGUCUAGAUCUGCUUGAAAGGUGAUCAAGUGAAAGGACACCAAGUAGACAAGCUCUAUAGAGUUUUCUAUGGUUUUGGGAUUUUCUUCGACAUCUUCAUCGGCUUGAAAAUGAUUUAAGAACAUCCAAUUCAAAGGCAUGUUCGUUUAAUUCUCUAGAUCUACUUAUUAUAUUGAUUUUUGAUACCAUCUUUUCCACUACAUUAGAUUUAGAGGAGCCUAGGGUAGAUAGCAUGCACCAUAUAUGAUCCACAGCUAGGGAAUAGAGUAAUUUGGAGUUCUCAACAGUAAGUGCAUUGGAAGAUGCCUAAUUUUUUAAAAACUUAUGUUGUGAUGUUUUUAGAAAACAUGUCUUUAGAUUUAGAUGCUCCCAAAUCCUUUUUAUGAUUUGUGGAAAAAAACUUGAAUAACUUAUGAUCUUCAACCCAAUGACUUUCUUUUAGAUCUUAGCAAUGGAGAAAUAGGGUUUCUCUUUAGAGGGAGUGGGAGUGGGAGUUCAGAUUUCUCUCAAAACAAAGUGGAAGAUAACAAUUAGUUUAACCCUAAAAACUUAGAGGGUUUAUAUAAACUCUUAACUAAGCUUAAGUAACUAAAGUCACAGGCUUGACUCACUUAAUCUAGCUCAGUGGGUCAUAUUUAAUUAAUUAGUCCAAAGGGUUUGAAUUAACUAAAUAUCCUAAAAAGACAACCCAUAAGUUAUUUAAUUAUAAGUUCUUGUGCAACCUUAUGCUUAUACAAAAGCACCUUUUUGUAUUUUAUAAUUAAGUACUAAAAAAAACCCUCUCAAAAUAAAUGCUACAAAAGAGUAUGAGCUUAAAGAGUGACCGUUAGAACCCAUAAGAAAAUUUUGACUCUCUCAUAAUUAAAUUUUAAAGUUGACUCAACAUUUCACUAAAGAAAAUCAUUACACUCUAGUAUUCUAUGAUAUUAGACUAAGAUACAAAAUUCGAGUUUGUGACCUAUUAUCCAUUGCAUGCAAGUUUUAUGUGAACUGAUGUCCGUAAUCCGACAAGAUAGUAGCUAUUAACCUUUUAGGAUUACCUCUCAAUACUUGAGUUAAAAUCCUUUUAUAUUAUGAUCAAUUGACAUACUUUUGUCCACAAAGGACAUACGUCAAAUUCCAUGGAAAGAACUACUAUGACUAUAAAUUAUAUGAUCAUGAAUCAUUAGGAUCACCUAGUGGGACAUUGAAGGGAGAUCACUAAAUCUAUCAACAUUUUGGCUGUAAGUCUUCCAUGAAAACCAGACACCAAACACCAGCACUACCUUGUAUAACACUGUAAGCUUAAUAUAUUGAAAUAUUUGCAUGUAUUUAUAUCUAUGAUAAUCAAGAAAAUUCUUAUUCAAGAAAAAUUGGACAUGACAACAUACAAAUGAUAAUCAACAUGGGAAGUAAACAAGAAACAGUAUAGGACUAAGAUGAUUACUUAACUAUAUUCCUUCCUUUCAUUUCAAUGCAAGGAGACCUUUGCCAAUUGCCACUUUCAACAAACUUCAACAACUUCAAUUUUCAGAAUGUUCCAUAACUUUUUUAAGGGUUUGCCAGAAGUCCAGAACUACAUCAUCCUCAUUCAGAACUUCCAAAAUAGUUGCUGGGGAAAGGAACUUCAUUCACUCCAAAGAAAAAGAAGCAGUGCCAUGCACCCUAGAUGUAUCUCUUGUCAUAUGAACUCUACUUGGUAGAGAUUGACUUCAACAAAGAUUUAACUCAUCCAGAAUUUUGGACCUGCUGAUCCAUGCUCUGCAGUAGGACCUUGACUCACAAGCUUCUGAAUUAAUGCGCGAGUUAAAUUCUUCAGCCUGAUACGAAUUAACGUCAGUGUUCUAGCAAUGAAAAUGGAAGUAAAGAAAAAAAAAACCUUCUAUUCUAUAGGAACAUUUAGGGAAAUUACAAUUAUUAAAUCCCAAGUUUUAGAUUUAUUCCAAAGAAUUAAAUUCUUCAGACUGAAAAGAAUGGUCAUUAGUAUUCUAGCAAUGGAAAUAGAAGUGAAGUUAAAAAACCUUUUCUUCUAUGGGAACAUUAUUUAAAUCCGAAGUUUUGGAUGUAUCCCAAACUAUGACUACAAAAAUUGACAUCUUUCAGCAUCAUAUACUAUAGAGAAUUUUGCCUGGAAAAUUCCUAAGUUAUCAAACUCUGAGAAACUCUUAUCAGCUCAAAAAUAAUGCUUCUACUGUAUCGUUUGGAAGACAAAAAUCCAUGUGUUUGUGUGAGUUUGGAUAAAUGAGCUAGAAAGUACCUGUUCAGUUUGCCUUGAUUUCGUUCUCUCUCCACAGGAAUCACUUUUAAGGCAGCUGCUAUAUUGUGUGCAUGAUAUCUUCUUUUAUCAAGGCAAUCAAUUCCUGUAUUUCGAUGAUUGGACCGUCGAACAUUGAUGACUUUUUUCCUGUGCACGUUGAUGCAAAUGUAAACAAAUGUAAAAUGCAAAACUUAAAUGUCAGCAGAGCUAUCAAUUUGAACUCUUUCCUGGCCUAAUAUCAAACCCAAGCACUCAAGACUUUUCUAAAUGAAAACUUCAAAAUAUGGCCUAUGAAAAUAAAAUCUAGGGAAAUUAUGCAUGAUGACACAAAAUGCUAAGACAGACAGACCUGAGAUAACUCGUCAAUGUAACACAAGAGCAGCAGCUAUUAUUUUGAAGUUCAGUUUUAAUGAAAUAGCAAUUUUAGUUUUAGGUUUGUAGCUCACUGAUUGGCGUCUCGAUCUUGUAAUCCUAGCACUUACUUUCACCCAAUCCAUACACCAGUAAGUCUCAAUCUGCUGAUUUGCCUCUGUAUACUAGCAAAAUUUUCUGCAGCAGGUAUAUGGAACAGUUCUCCAACACCACAUUAAGCACAAUGAUCCUCUCUUCUUUUGAAGAACCAGUCCUCUGAAUGAAUUGAAGGAAAUGGUUGAGGCUUUCCUGAACUUCAGGAGGCAGAAAGCUUCUCUGGUUAUGCAGAUGAAGUGCUGCGGAUCAUGGGCAUACUUAGGGAGAUAGGAUCAUUCUCUGCAGAAUCAGGCAGUACAGAAAAUUUGAUGUUGUUUAUAGUUGGGUGCAUGUACUAAAAGACAUAAUCAAUGAAAUGGAUGAUUCUGUUGGCGAAUUAAUAAUUCUGAUGGAUACACGCAAUGGGCCUGAUCAGAUGGUGUUGAUUGAUGAUUUCAGACGUGAGUUGCAAAACACAGGUUUUUAUCUAGCUGAAACUGUACAUAGAAUGAGAGAACUCAACAAUUCAAUUAACAUGGGAAUGCUUCAAGUAGUAGAUCAUCCAGGCAAUGGAAUCAAGUUAGUGGUACCCUCUCAUUGUAGAGAAGUCUCUCUUCACUGUAAAGGAAGAAAAGUUCAUUACUGCAUGUCCCAAUCCAGAUUCUAGCAUCCCCCAUACUGUUUGCUGUGUUUCAAUCCAUUGUGACAUGACAGCAAGUUGAGCCUAUCUUGAAUAAUGUCCAAACUAGAUCUUCCUUACUGUUUGGUAAAACAGAUUCUUCCGAUGAAAAUUGGAAUUGGCUUAAUCUUUAUGGGUCAAAACUUUGUGGGAGCUGGAUCUUGAAGAUUCCAAGAUCAAGCACUUGCCAGAUGAAGUGGAAGACCUGGUGCACCUAGGGCAUCUAUGUCUGAAACAGACAGGUAUAAGUGAGCUUCCUGAGAGACAUGGCAAUCUAUGAGUCCUGCAAUUUCGGACAUCAGAUGAUGUGAAAACCUUACAGCAAUGCUAACUGGGGUACUAAAUCUUCUGCGAUUAAGACACCUCAACAUGUUACAACAGCAUAAGCAUUUGUAAUGGACAUACCAAAAGGCAUGGGAAGAAUUAAAAGCCUCCUAACCCUUACUGGCGUAUAUGCUGGUGGCAGCAUAGCAAGAGAGAUUGGCAGCUUGAUUCAGAUAAGAAGACUGGGAGUGAUGCAUGUCACUGAAGAGUGAAGACAAUGUAUGUGAGCUAUUUUCUCAGUUAUGAAGAUGCAAGAACUGUUAUGCUUCUCUCUCCAAGUGAUUACAAGAAGACCCAUAUCCAACUGCAGUCCAAUUUGAGAAUAUGCGUAAUGUUAUCUCCAAGUUUGCUUAUAUCAACAGAAAUUGGAUUGAACAGACAGCAGCAUUUGCGUUCUUAUCCCCAUCUGUGGAACAGUCCAGAUCCCUACCAAAAUAGUUAUGUCCCCUCAUCCCACCCCUUUUAUAGCUGAAACCAAGGUAUUAACGGAACUGCUUACUCCAUCAAAGAAUGCAUAGUCAAAAGGGAAGUUGCCAUUCCCAUAUAGACUAAGAAAAGGGUAAAUAUUUACAAUGAUAGGUGCAAUAUUCUUGUUCAGGAUUUUCCAGGGAGCUGCACAUUCUAGGUCAUGAAUUCAUUGAUGUCAGAUUUUCCAGGGGGAAAAAAACAGAAGAGGAAAAUUUUCAUGUUUUUAGCUUGCACCAAUUUCCAAAGUUUUUAGUGAUUUAGCAUAAAUGCUCAAACAAGAAGUUCCCUGGGCCAACUAUUGCACUAACAUUGUUUGCUGAAAACUAAUUACACCAAAUCUAUAAAUUUUCCCGACUGCUCAUGGCUACUGUGCGAAUUUGUCAUAUCAUGGAUGCACCAUGUCAUUAUUUUGAGCAAUUAAACACAAUAAAAAAACUAUUAUCAUUAUUAUUAAUAUUUACUAAUACAGCAACAAUUAGUCACAAUAAAAAUUCUACUAACAGGAUAGCCACAAUAUCCAACCAAAUUAAUCUUUUCCAAUAAAUUUAAUUUAGUCAUAAGCAACCAACUUGGAAAUAAUGUAAAGUUUUUCAAAUUCAGUCAUAAGCAACCAAUUCGGCACCACACUUUCAAGUUUAAGCUGCAUUUAAGAAAUAAAAUCAAAGCAUAAGAAUUUAAUUAUACAACACAAUCAGGAUUACCAAUUACAUCAGCUUCAAAAAGAUGAACAAGAUUUUGAGGACCAGGAGAUCGAAUUACAGGAUCUUGGCUCUCAAUGCAGGCUAGUAGAACAGCAUGCACAGGACAAAGCAGAGAGAAAAUAGUUUUAAGAAAACCAUACCAAAAGAAACAAGAUAACAGGUUUUUUUUGCAAACAUCCUGAAUGGAAGCAGUCAUACUUAACACAGAUAUUCUCUCAUACAUGAACUCAGUGAACCCUUUGGAAGUAACACUCCCUGAAAAUAGAAGUAACGACUGAAAUAAAAUUUCUGCAAAAGGAACUGAACCAACAAUAGAAGAAAGUAAUGUAGUUGAGAUUGCUGUCUGAGCAUUGAAAUUUACAUCCGAUUCAAAUCCAGAUCAUCAUGGACACUUACAAUCAUAGCCUAGCAGUAAACUUCAUAUUGAUUCUCUGAAGAUCACAAAUCAUAACAAGGGAACCACUCAAUUUUUCAAAAAUAAAAAAUCAUUUAGGGACAAAGGAAUGCAAUGUUAUAGCUUUAAAAAAGAAAAGAAAACAUAACAUAUAACAAAAACAUUCCUGAAGGCCACACUAAUCCUAUUCUCACCUAAAUCCGUCAGAACUUGUUAAAAACACUGUCAAAAUUUCUCAUCAUUGCUCCAAUCUGCGAGUAAUUAACAGCCUAAAUGUGGAUAAAGAUAAAAAUCCAUCAGCACUUCAAACAAGAAUCAGUUUGUUUCUGAUUAAAAAAAAGAAAUGAAGAAAGAUGAAUGAAGCCACAGGCAACAGAAGCAAUAUUUCAGAUACCACACCCCUGUUUCUUUCCCUGCUUUGACAGACCUAGUUGAGCCAGUAUGUACUUGAGCUCCUUUAAACAAGAAUCAGUUUGUUUCUGAUUAAACAAAAGAAAUGAAGAAAGAUGAAUGAAGCCACAGGCAACAGAAGCAAUAUUUCAGAUACCACACCCCUGUUUCUUUCCCUGCUUUGACAGACCUAGUUGAGCCAGUAUGUACUUGAGCUCCUUUAAACAAGAAUCAGUUUGUUUCUGAUUAAACAAAAGAAAUGAAGAAAGAUGAAUGAAGCCACAGGCAACAGAAGCACUAUUUCAGAUACCACACCCCUGUUUCUUUCGGAAUCUUUCCCUGCUUUGACAGACCUAGUUGAGCCAGUAUGUACUUGAGCUCCUUUACUUGAAAAUAUGCCAAUUUGUCCUACAGGAUGAGAAUGAAAAAGUGUUGCUAAUAAACACACUGCCAAGGAAAAAAUCUCCACCGAUCCUAACAAUUUGGUCAUACACAUUGCUAAAUAGAAACUUCCCUGACAGACAAGAAGCACUGUUCCAGUGGCAGUUCAAGAAAAUUUCUAGGGUUAAAAGAAAGAUUUCCUGAUCCAUAGAGUGGGGGGGUUUCGUAGCAUUAAAUGAACUAAUUUAUAUAAAGCCACAUCAUUCUAAUCAUAUCUAUCUGUUGAAGAAGAACCAGCCUUGAACUAGGGACUGUUAGAGCAGAAACUAAAAGGAAAAACAACCAGUUUGCAAGAACUUCUCUUAGGACUAAAAUCAAACAGCUGGUACGCAAUCAACCAAGGUCAAGAACACAAGAGACUUAUCGUGGUUCGAUCAACUUGAUCUACAUCCACACUGAUUUCCUGAAGCCUUUAUUCAAGUGUGCUAACCAGAGAUUACACAAGAAUCAAAACAAAGAAAUUACAAGCUUUUCCCAAGAACCCUCCUCACCUCUGUUUCUCUCUAUCUCAAGAUAACCUAAACAGACCUAUGGUUAUGGAUUUGCAAAGCUCUCUUUUCUGUUUCUUGCUCUCUGUUUCUUGCUCUCUGUUCUAUACAACUGAAUGCCUCCACUCUGUUUCUCCCGAGACUGCACCCUUUUAUAUCAAUCACAAGCCUCUAACUAACUAACAAAUGCUCCCAUCUGUUAUUUGCUUAGUCAACAGCCUUGCCACUUGUCACUUGAUAGUUGGCAAUCUCUACAAAACUCCACCUUGACAACCUAUUAAGUUGACAAGUGUCUGAACUACCUUCAGGUCUCAGUACCUUCCCUAAUGGGAAGUCUUCAGCAAUCUCCCAUGUUGAUCAAAUUCAAACAGUGUUUGAACUUAGUCACAUUUAGAGACUUAGUCAACAUGUCGGAUGGAUUGUCUUUAGUAUGAACUUUUCCUACUCCAAUCUCUCCUGCAGCAAUGAUAUCUCUCACAAAGUGCAAUCUUACAUCAAUGUGUUUGGACCUUUCGUGGAAGGAUUGAUUCUUGGCUAAAUGGAUUGCACUUUGGUUAUCACAAUAUACAACAACUUUACCUCUGUACAUAGCCAAUUCUUCUGUAAUACCCUUCAGCCAAAUUGCCUCCUUCACAGCCUCUGUCAUUGCCAUGUAUUCAGCUUCAGUGGUUGAAAGAGCUACCACUGAUUGAAGGUUGGCCUUCCAACUCACUGCUCCUCCAAACACUGUGAAUACAUAUCCAGUAAGAGACUUUCUGGUGUCAAUGUUUCCAGCAUAAUCAGCAUCUACAAACCCUUGUAGCUGAGUUUCCAAUUGACUAUUACCUCCAUAAACCAGGCCCAAGCUUCUAGUACCAGCUAAGUAUUGAAAAAGCCACUUUACUGCUUGCCAAUGUGGCUUUCCAGGGCAGCUCAUGUAUCUACUUAUCAUGCUAACCGCAUAUGCAAGAUCAGGCCGAGAACACACCAUAGUGUACAUCACACUACCCACCAUGCUAGCAUAAGGUAUCCUUUCCAUAAACCUUUUCUCUUCAUGAGUCUCAGGUGCUUGUGUUAUGGAAAGUCUAAAAUGUUGUCCUAGAGGAGUACUCACUGUCUUUACAUUAUUCAUCUCAAAUCUGCUUAGUACCUUUGAGAUGUAUGAAUUUUGAGAAAGCCUAAGUACCCUCUUGCUCCUGUCUCUUUCUAUCUCCAUUCCCAAAAUCCUCUUGGCUGAACCAAGAUCUUUCAUUUCAAAUUCAGCCUUAAGCAUCUCUUUGACUUGCUCCAAGUGUCUUUUCUCCUUACAUGCCACCAGCAUGUCAUCUACAUAUAGUAAAAGAUAUACCAUGCUGUCUUCAGUUAGCUUAAAAUAUACACAUCCAUCAUGGCUGCUCCGAUUGAAUCCAAUAUCCAGCAUGUACUUAUCAAAUCUCUUAUACCAUUGCCUAGGUGAUUGCUUUAGACCAUAAAGAGAUUUCUUAAGUAAACAUACCUGACCAUCCUUGAUUCCUUCCCCAAAGCCUUCAGGUGGUUGCAUAUAAAUCAGCUCAUCAAGCUCUCCAUGCAAGAAUGCUAUCUUCACAUCUAGUUGAUCCAGCUCCAAGUCUUCAUGAGCUACAAAAGCCAACAGCAAUCGGAUUGAGCUGUGUUUGACUACAGGAGAGAAUAUCUCAUUGUAGUCAACUCCCUCCUUUUGUGAAAACCCCUUAGCCACCAGCCGUGCCUUGUACCUUGGAGCCUCAUUCCCUAGUGUCCCUUGCUUUCUUUUGAAAACCCACUUGGAGCCUACUACCUUUCGGUCCUUGGGUUUAGUGACUAAUUCCCAAGUCUCAUUUUUCCUUAAGGAAUCCAUCUCCUCUUGUAUAGCUUUUACCCACUGAUCAGCCUCAUUGCUAUUGAUGGCUUCUUGGUAUGUUUUUGGUUCCAUAUCCACUAUUUCUUCAGCUACACUCAAUGCAAAUGCUGUCAUUUCAGCUUGGCCAUAUCUCUUGGGAGGUUUGACUUGUCUUUUCUGCCUGUCUCUUACCAGAUUAUAGGAUUCCAGCCCUUGAGUUGGUUCAUUUUGUCUUUCAUGUACAAUUUCUUCUUGAGUUGUCUUUGAUGAAGUCUCUUUAGACUUUUCAGGUUGCAAAGUCUCAUGCUCCACCUCAAACUGUAACUGAUCUAACCCUUCCACAUCUUUGGCUGGAGUUUGUUUUGACAUAUCUUGCUCAUUAAAAGUUACAUCUCUGCUAAUUAUACACUUCCCUUUGCCUUGUGUUUCUAUCCACAACUUGUAACCUUUAACUCCUUUCGGAUACCCCAAGAAAAUACACUUUACAGCCCGUGGUUCUAACUUAUCUGUUUUGGUGUGUACAUAAGCUGUGCAUCCAAAAACUUUGAGAUGUUGAUAAUCUGCAGCUUUCCCAGUCCACUUUUCUUGAGGGGUUUUGAAUUGUAAUGCUGAUGAUGGGCUCCUGUUGAUCAAAUGGACAGCUGUUUCUGCAGCCUCAGCCCAAAAAACCUUUGACAACCCUGAACUUGACAGCAUGCAUCUCACCCUCUCCAAAAUGGUCCUAUUCAUGCGCUCAGCUAGGCCAUUUUGUUGAGGUGUAUAUCUGACAGUUCUAUGUCUAGCUAUGCCUUCCUUUUGACACAAUGAAUUAAAAUCAUUUGAUAGGAAUUCAAGCCCAUUAUCCGUUCUCAACUUCUUCACUUUUCUGCUUGUCUGAGUUUCAACCAGAAUUUUCCACUCUUUGAACUUUAGGAAGGUCUCACUUUUAUUUUUAAGAAAAUAAAUCCACACUUUCCUAGAGUAAUCAUCAAUAAGAGUUAAGAAGUACCUUGCUCCACCUAUUGAUGGUACCCGUGAUGGUCCCCACAAGUCAGAGUGUAUGUAGUCCAGCUGGUUUUGUGUUUCAUGUAUUGCUUUGGCAAACUUCACCCUUGUAGCCUUGCCAAACACACAAUGUUCACAAAAGGGCAAAUCUGUUAGCUUGUAGUUUCCCAACACUCCUUGCUUCUCCAGCUCUUGUAGUCCCCUGUGGCUGAUGUGACCAAGCCUCUGAUGCCAUAGCUUGGUUGUCCCCACAUCCUCCUUCAGCACAGUAGAAACUUUCCCUGUCACAGUUUGGCCUAUAAGAGUGUACAACCCAUUUUUUAUUGUCCCUUUCAUGACAGUAAGUGAACAUCUAGCAACUCUCAAAGAGUUAGGUUCUGACUUGAAUGUAUAUCCUGACUUGUCCAACAUUCCAAGUGAGAUAAGGUUCCUUUUUAACUCGGGUAUAUACCUAACAUCUUCAAGAACUCUUUCAAUGCCAUCAUAGUGCUUGAUCCUGACAGUACCAGUACCUAGAAUCUUGCAAUGUUUAUUGUUGCCUAGCAGAACAUAACCUCCAUCAGCUUCUUUAAAGUCUUCAAACCAAGCUUUGAUAGGACACAUGUGAAAAGAGCACCCUGAAUCAAGUAUCCACUCCUUACUCGAGUCCACCUCUGCCACAUUCAGCACCUCAGCACUGUCAUAUCCAUCCAAAAUCACAGCAGCAUCACCUUCAUUCACGGUUUUCUUGACUGUGUUUUGUCUCCUAUCCGGGCAAUCUUUCUUGAAGUGCCCUUCCUUGUGACAGAUAAAACACUUGAACUUCUUGGUCUUGGAUUUUGAUCUGGACUUUGAAUUCUUGCCCUUCUUUUCUCGUUUUUCAGAUCUGCCCCUGAUGUUUAAACCCUCACCCGACUCCUCCUUGGAUUCUUCUUGUUUCUGUAAUUCUCUAGCAUGCAAAAUGGACUGCACCUCAUCAAAGGUCAGGCUGUCUCUCCCAUACAUUAUGGCAUCUUUCAUGUUAGUGUAUGAUGCAUCUAAAGAAGUCAGUAAUAGAAUUGCUUUAUCUUCGUCUGAUAUUGUGAUAUCAAUAUUUUCCAAAUCCAAGAUUAUCUUAUUGAAGUGAUCAAGAUGAUCUUCAAUUGACAUACCUGGGGUCAUCUUGAAAGUAUAUAACUUGAUCUUCUUAUGUAAUCGGUUUGCUAAUGACUUGGUCAUGUAUAGGCUCUCAAGCUUGAGCCACACCUCAGCUACAGACUUUGCUUUGGCCACCUCUCUCAACACAGUAUCACCUAAAGAAAGAAUGAUAGCACUGUGAGCUUUCUCCAACAGCUCUAUUUUUUGUUUUUCUUGCAUGGUACUGGGUAGGUUUUUCUCUCCAAGUAGGGCAUCUUGGAGCCCUUGUUGAACCAGCAAUGCCCUCAUCUUUAGUCUCCAUAACCCGAAAUCAUUUUUGCCCGUAAACUUUUCUACAUCAAACUUUGCAGUCCCCAUUAUAACCCAAAGGCUCUGAUACCAAUUGUUGAAGAAGAACCAGCCUUGAACUAGGGACUGUUAGAGCAGAAACUAAAAGGAAAAACAACCAGUUUGCAAGAACUUCUCUUAGGACUAAAAUCAAACAGCUGGUACGCAAUCAACCAAGGUCAAGAACACAAGAGACUUAUCGUGGUUCGAUCAACUUGAUCUACAUCCACACUGAUUUCCUGAAGCCUUUAUUCAAGUGUGCCAACCAGAGAUUACACAAGAAUCAAAACAAAGAAAUUACAAGCUUUUCCCAAGAACCCUCCUCACCUCUGUUUCUCUCUAUCUCAAGAUAACCUAAACAGACCUAUGGUUAUGGAUUUGCAAAGCUCUCUUUUCUAUUUCUUGCUCUCUGUUCUAUACAACUGAAUGCCUCCACUCUGUUUCUCCCGAGACUGCACCCUUUUAUAUCAAUCACAAGCCUCUAACUAACUAACAAAUGCUCCCAUCUGUUAUUUGCUUAGUCAACAGCCUUGCCACUUGUCACUUGAUAGUUGGCAAUCUCUACACUAUCAAAUGCAUUCAGUAAGGCAUUCAAAAUUGAAAACCAAUAUAGCUAGACUGAAGGCCAACUUGAGCUCAUAAUGACACAAAAACCUGCCAACCCAAGCCUGUGAAACUAUUGAGUUCAACUCUGAAGAGAAAGUAACAAUGGAAGAGAAACCAACAAUCGAAGUAAAAAUAAUAAAGAAUAAACUGAAAAGUGAUUUUGUAAUAUAGUCCUAUACAAGUUGGAAUUUUAAUUUUCACCGCAAUAUUCAAAAAUUGAUCUCCUUCAGAGAUUAAUGUCCUCCCUUAGUUCAGUGUUUUUCUUUCCUUCUUUGGUAGAUUCAAGAGUGUGGUCUUUGUCAUCAUCAGGCUUGUUUUCAGUGAAAUCUUUUUUCUUGGCCUUGUCAAAAGUCUCAAAUCCUAUCUUGUUCCUUCCUGCCAAGUUUUUGUGGAGUUCAAAAGCCCCCUCAAAGGUUAAGGCCCUCGCUUCGUUAGUGGCACAUGGGAAGGUAAACACCAAUGACAAGUUGCAAUUGAGAAGACCCUACAAAUCCCUUUGUCCUCAAUGGUGCAUUCUUUGCAAAGGAAAUGGAGAAUUGAUCGACCACCUUUUUCUUCAUUGUCCUGUUACCAUUGGACUCUGGCACAAGUUGUUCAAUCUAGCAAGGUUGGCUUAGGUCCCUCCAAGAAGUAUUGAGGACAUGUUGGUUAUUUCUUUUAAAGGCUUGGGGAACUCAUUAAAAGGCAAGAGACUUUGACAAAUCGUUUGCCUUACUUUGUUAUGGAUGGUGUGGCAAGAGAGAAACAAUAGGAUCUUUGAGGAUAAGGGGAGAACGGAAGAGAUGUUAUGGGACUUGAUUAUGUUCCAUUCCUCUCUUUGGGCCUCUUGUACUGCAGCUUUUAGAAGAGUUCCUCUAAGUGUUUUACAACUCAACUGGACUGCGGUUUGUGAUUCAAAAGUUUGGGAGUGUUGGGGUUUUUUUUUGUUUUUAGUUUUCUAUAGUUGGGUGUUUUCUCCGUUUGUUUAGUUUUAGUUUUUGUGGGAAGGACCUCUCAUCCUUCUCCUCUUGGUUUCUUCUCUUUCUCUUGUAUCUCUUCUUUCUCUUGUUUCUUUUCUUCUAUUAAUUUAUUUUUCUUCGUUUCUGGUAAAAAAAAAAAAUAGUCCUAUACACAAAUAGAACAAGGGAAGCCAGUAAAAGUUGAAGGACAAUGCUCAAAGAUUUGGAUAAAUAUGCAAUAUGUCAUUCUCAACCAUAUGACUAUGCCAUACUUAAAGCAUUUAUUAUGCCCAGACUCCUUUUCUUUCUCCGAAGGCAUAGUUUCUACUCUGGGAUUUCAUUUGUUUGCAUAUAUAAAGGAUAAAAAUAAGCACAACUUUAUAAAAAAAAUCCAUAUUCUAAAGUACCUCUUCAACAGUUCUUCCAGUUAUCUCUGAUAGUAUUUUCAAAGUAGGUGCUACCACUGUUCUGACAAUUGAGGUUGUCCAACAGACUAAUAGGGGGAAAACAGAGACAGACACUGAGAAAAAGAGAGGUUAACUCAGAUCCAUGAUAUGUUACUGAAAGUUUUUCAAAUGGAAUAAAUGAUGAAUACCAAAAUUUAAUCUUACCAUGUGGUUUAUAUGCUAGAUACUAUGGGCAACCUUUGAGGCAAAAAAAUCAGCAGUAAUGCAUUACAAUAUUUCAAUAUUAUUUCUAGUCAAUGGUUUUGCAGAAAUAAAAAAUCUAGCAAAACCUAAAGCAAAGGAUAUAAUAUGAGAUCACAAUGAAAAUAAUAGAGAAAAGAAUGUGCUUACAUUAACUGAUGAGUAACAGUCACAAAAAAACAUAGAAUUAACUUGACGUUUGGUAUAUGUACAUAUAUUGAUUGGCAAACAUAGAUUUAUUUUAAAAAAAAUGCCUAAUUAAAGAAGGGAUCAAAACCCAGCCUGCAGUAAGUAUAUAAAGGGCAAAAGGAAAAGAAAAAGAAAACAUCCUCCUAUUAACAAGCCCAACCAGUCCAGAAAAUCUAAAAUAGACAAACAUUUACAUCCUACAGUGAGGCGCUUUCUAAUACAAAGGACCAGAUACAAAAAUGAAGGCAUGUUUGAGCAGCUGAACUAUUUGCUUCACAGCUUAGAAGGAUCCACUUGAAUCAACAACAAUUUCUUGCUGCGUCCUCCUCUUCAUCCAUCACUGGUUCAUCAGGUUCUUCCGCUAGAAAUUGCUGCACAAACAGUGUUUCCAUUUGGUAAUUAAUCGCUUCAAGUUUAUCUUUGGUUCUGUACUUUGGUUGCCUUCCAGGGUUUUCAGUCCUGUUGUCUUCUUGCUAUUUCUUUUAUAUCAGUUGAUACCAGACUUCACCUCUUUUCAGUUUGGAGGCCAGCAUUGGCCGCUCCUCAUCACCCUUCCAAUCAGAGAUAAUCAGGCAUGCCUCCACACCACGGAGUUGAGAGUUCAUAAAUUUUUAUUUUUUUUUCAAUCCCAUGGCUCUUGUUUUGAAGCAUAUUUUUCGAAACCUGGCCUUAGGAAUGAGGGCCAGUGGCUGCCUUGAGUGAACCAUGACAGAUAAAUCUUCUGAAAUAUUAGAGAAAAAAAUAUUUACAUUCGCUGAAAAGUGAUUAUUCUUGCUAUAUACAUGAUCACACAAACUGCUGCUACUUUAUCUGGGUACCUCAGCAUUUCAGGAGUGAGCAAUAUGGUUACUUCAAGGAUAAACAAAAGUAGAAAUUAGCACUCAAGAAAGAUGAUACUGACCCUCUACUGGGAGCUACUACCGGGGAUGAUGAUGUCUGAACAGCAGUAGUACUGGAACCGGAACGUGUUGCAGCUACAGCAGUCGAAGUAGGAACACCUACAAAAAGAUACACAUAAUCACACAAAUUGCUGCUACGUUAUCUGGUACCUCAACAUUUAAGGAAUGAACAAUACGGUUACUUGAAGGAUAAAACAAAGGGAAAGUUUUUUUUUUUCCUUUUAUCAAGUUGUAAAAUUUUAAAAUUAAUCCAAAAAUAAUUCAAAAUAAAAAGACUUUCCUAAUUAUUUGACAUUUUCAUAAUAUUAAUAAAAACUAGUUAAAACACGCGUAAUAUUAAAAUUUUACAUAUUAGUGCUUUCUUUAUAAAAUUUGUUUAAUUAAAAUUGUAAAUAUAAUGAAAAUAAUUUUUAAAAUAGAAAAUAAAUUUGAAUUUGAAAAAUAUAUUGAAUAAAUAUUCCAAUUUAUCUUCUCCAAUAUGACAAUAAAUUUUUCAUUAAGGGUGCAUCAUUAAUAACCUGUUGGACCGGGAAGCACUUCUAACUUUUAUAACUUUUAUUCUAAGUGUUUAGAAAGUCUAAAAAGGUUUUUUAAAAUUAAUAUUAAAUGUAUUUUAAAAGUGAGUUUAAUAAUGAUUUUAGAAAGUAUUUAUAUCAUUUUUAACAUUUGAAAGUUUUUAUUUUCAAAUAUCAUAAAUGUUAAAGACACUUUCAAAAAUCACUAUCAAAUAUAAGAAUACGUAUUGAAGUGUUUUUACUUGAAUUGUUUUCAAUAAAAGUAAUUUCACAUAAAUCAUCUUUAAGAGAAUCACAAGUGUCUCCAAAAAACAUUAUAAGUGAUUUUUCAAAUUUUAAAAAAUGUUUUAUAAAUUUUGUCAAACGCUUAAUAUUUUUUCAAAAACAAUUUUUAUACUAAAAAAAUCUUCCUAAAAUUACUAACAAACAAACUCUAAAUUAUUAUUAUUCUUUUACAUUUUUACCAUUUAUUUUAUUUAAAAUAUUUAGUGAUUCUUAGAAGUGUUUCUAGUAUUUCUAACACUUGAAAAUUUUUACCUAUUAAAAAUAUUUCCUAAAAUCAAUGUCAAGUGUACUCUUAGAGUGCAUUGAACAAUGAUUUUAUAAAGUAUUUAUAUUUUUUUAAUACUUUAAAAAUAAAAACACUUCCUAAAAUCAUUAUCAACUCGUUUGGCAGUGAUUUUAGGAAGUGCUUCUAACUUUUUUAACACUUGAAAAAUUUUAUCAUUCAAGUGUUAUAAAUACUAUAAACUUUUUCUAAAAUCACUACCAAACACAUUCUAGUUAGUGUUAGAAAUAUAAAAAUUUUAGGAAGUGUUUUUAACUUUUUUAAUACUUAAAAUAUAAAAUUUUUCAAGUGUUACAAAAGUUAGUGUUAGAAAAAUUAUGCUAAUCCAACCAAAGGUAAUCACUAUAAAGGAGGGGUGAAAAGGGUGAUAGUCUCUUUUUAUAAAUUUAAAAAGAUUGAAUGUAAGAGACAAUUAUAUGCAAGUAUAUGAUAAAACAAUAUAAAGACAAUUGCAUAUAAAGUAAAAUAAUAGGGAAGAGAUAAUGUAAACACGAGAUUUUAUAGUGGUUUGGCACAACCUGACCUAUAUCCACUCUCCUCUAGCUUCAAUCCCGAGCUUGAAGUUUCACUAUUUCAAGGCUUCUAAACCAAGCCUUCAAGCAAUACAAUUGAAUUAUGGUUCCAAUCUAUCUUCUUGGACUUUUAGCUCCAAGCACCCUUUACAUUUUUCAAGAGAUAUCCCACUCUUGAACAACCCCUCAAGUAAUACUCAUCACUUAAGAAUCCCUAAGUGAUAUCUCACACUUAGACUUUUCUUCUCAAAGAUUUACAAAUGAUUUCACAAAAUCCUAGUACAAAAAUUUAGGCUCAAAACAAGAAAACUAUGAUUGAAUGGUACACUAAUGAUAUGCAAGUUUUAGAACAAUGGUGCACUCAAAAAAAAUCUCCCAAUGCUCAAAUAUAUUCAAGAAAGAUUUAUGAAGGUUAAGCUUAUGAAACAAUGAAGAUUGGAGUCUUUUUAUAGAAGAAAACAACCAAAAUAGUCAUUGGAGGUUCGACCCGUCGACUUGGGGAUCGACCGAUUGACUAGCUGUUGGCAUUUAAUGCUUGGAAAAUGACUGUUAGACCUCGAUUGGCCCUUGAUUGGACCUCAACAGGUUGAGGUGGGGGUCGACCGGUUCUUAUUCAACCUUGAUCGAUUGAACAAUCGUUAUGAAAGAGAGAUAAAGUUUUUUUUGCACUCUUCGACCGGUUGAGUUGGGGGUCGACCGAUUCCUCAUCCGGUUCAACCAAUUGAGCCGUUUUUUGUUCAACAACCAACUUUUUCAACUUAAAACCUUUUAAACAAGUUUGAAAAAUAUUUGACACAAGAUUUUAGUUAAAAACAUGAAAUCAUCCAAUUUUAAAAUAUUUAAAACAAAAUAACUCUUGGAUGAUUUUGGUGCAUAAGUAAAGAAUGUAAUGCAUGAAAAUCUUAUUAUACAAACAACUUUACAAAGAGAUUUUAUAAAGCUUGGAUCUUGAAAAACACUUCUCUUUGAGAUGGUCUUCUUCUUCAUGAAUUCUCCUUGGCUUGAUUUGUCUUUGUGAUUGCCACUUUGAAAAUUGUCUUACCUAAUCACACUUGAAAUAUAAUCAUUAGUUUUAAACCUUACUUUGUUAUCAUCAAAAUCGAAAUUAACCAAACAUUGGUUUCACAGUUAAAAACACUUCUUAGAAUCACAAUCAAAUGCACUCUUUGAGCCUAUUUGAUAAUGAUUGUAAAAAAUGUUUUUAUCCGUUCUAACACUUAAAAGAUAAAAAAAUUUCAAAUGUUAAAAAUACUAUAAACGCUUCUUAUAAUCACUACCAAAAUAUAAAUUUUGAAAUAUUAAAAAUGUUAGAAAUAUUUUCUAUAAUCACUAUAAAAUACACUUAAUUUUAAAAUGAUUUAACUAAUAUGAAGUUUUCUUCUACAAUUUGCAAGGGGGAAGUAUGAAAAAUUAAUAACUCCCCAUAAAGAUUUUUCCUAAACAUCAUACCUAAAACUCACCUAUUGCUUCCCGACACAAACGCGAACAUAUAGAGUUCAUAUAAAUGCCUAGUUUUAAAGCUUUUAAUUUUUCCAACCGUUUUGUUGAAUGUUAUAGACAUUUAUUGAGUGAAAUGUACCUUGACUGGAUCCAUAACGUGUUACCAUGCCCUAAUAUUAAGAUCUACAUUUUCUCUAAAUUUCCAUAAUUCAUUUAAUAUGUCAUAGACAUCUAACAAUUUCGUAUCUUAAAUGAAUUUGACUUUUGAGCAACUUCAAAUCGCCUACAACUCUCCUGAAACAUAAAAUAUAUCGGAUUCAAUGCAAUAAUGGAACAAAAUUAUCGAUCUAAUGUAACACAUCAUUGAUUCAAUAUAAUGAUAAUAUUAUCUAGAUAUAUUAUCAUACUUCAUUUUUUGGUUUUUAUUUAAAAAAAUUUAAUUAUUUUAUAGUAUUUAUAGAUAUUAAAAUAUUUUUUUAUUGAAGUUUUAUCUUAAAGUUAAGCUUUUCAUAAAUUGAUUUUUAAAAAUUCAAAUCCUAUAAAGGAUAUGAGAGAUACUAUAGAGAAUAUAAAUAGUGCCCUAUAAUCCUUUAUAUUAAGAUUAUUUGCGAUUGAUUGGAUAAAAUACAUUAUAGAGUAAAAGAUGAGAGAAUAUAUUCUAUGAAAUAAAAAUAAUAUAUAUGAUUAUUUAAUAUAUAUAAAAUAUUUUUAAUAUAUUUAAUAAUAUAAUAUAAUAUAAUAUUUUUUAUUUAUAAACUUUAAAUAUUUCAAUUAUAAAUAUUAUUAACAAAAAAAGUAUAAACUAAAAAUUGAUUUCCAAAGAUUUUUGGUGACAUAAUGCUUUCUUGCAUUAAAAAAUAAAUAAAUAAAUAAAAUCAAAAGUCCAUAACAGUGUAUAAAAUUAGAAAGGCAUAAUUAUUCCGGGAAUCUAGUAAUAGAAACUUUGUUUAUUGGGCAAUUAUUAGAUUAAGAAAAGGAGUAGUGAUGAGAUAAAAGUCAGAGGCCACAUGAGAGCCCCGUACAAUAAUGAGGCAACGCACGUGUCACGUGCCUUUCCACCUAAAUUAAUGCUCAUUUCCCUUUUAUUUACAAUUUCCAUCCUAACGCCAGCUCCAUUCAUUUCAUCAAAACUUAACCGAGAUAAAAAAAAUAAUAAUUUCUGACAUUUUAUUUUUUUAUAGAAAAUUAAAUUAUAUAAAUAUUUAAUUAAUUAUUACGUUCAACUUUUAAAAACAAAAAUAAUUUUUUUAUUUUUUUAUUUUCUUGAAGUAUUUUCCGUUUUAUUUAUUUUACCGUGGUAAAAAAUUUGGGUAAAAUUGAAUUUUGAAUUUAGAGUUUUUUUUUUUUUUUGUUUUUUAGAAGAAAAGGAAUGGGUAGGGGCUAGGAAUAGAAAAUGGAGUUGCCUAAUAAAGAGGUGACACGUGGAUAAAGGAAAGGGAAGCAACAUGAAGGAGCAUUGUAGCAUGAUGGAGCUGUCUCCCACCAUGCAUGCCUCCUGACGCAAUCCAUGUGCCUUGGGCUACCCUUUUAUCUUAUCUCGUGCAUGCUGGGCCCCACUCCCCAUAUUCAAUCUACCCGACGUGUCCCUCCUCCAUUUCUUCCUUAAAAUCUCACCGACAUUGACACUUAUUUAUUGUCCACUUCUCAUACUACGUGGAAUUAACUUUAUAAAUUUUAAAAUAAUAAUAAAAAAAUCUUUAAUUUCAAUUUACUACCAUAUAAAAAAAAUAAUUAAGAUCCAUACCUUCGCAUUAUAUCAGAAUGAGUAUUAUAUGGACAGACCAAGACUUUUAAAAAAUUAUUUGAUAAAGAUUGGAGUAUUUUAAUAGAAUAAAUCAGCCAUUACUAAAUAUUUGAUUGCAUUUGUUUAAUACAUGAGCACAUGAUGUGCACGUGCCACUCUGUCCUCGGGAUCACCACUGCCCUACCAUGUCACGUGAUUCGAGAUCUCUCCCAUCGACGCUUUAGAAAUUUCUCACCUUUCCUAUACAUAAUUUAUUUCUUGACUCUUUUUUUGUUUUUCUUUAUUCCAAGAUAGGUGCUGAGAAGAUACGUUUUGCACUUGGAAAUAGAAUGAAUACAAUAAUCAUGUGGUAAAUUUUCUUGUAAUAAUAAAAAUGAGAAUUUGUGAUUACCAAGUUUGUGCAUUUUACGUUCAUUAUGAAUUCAAAUGAUUUUUUUAAUUUAAAAUAUGUUUAUAAAAUUAAAAAGAUUUAUAUGAACAUCAUAAAUACCUUUCUUAUGAAAUUAUGAAAACAAACAGAUAAAUAUUUUUAUGAGAUCAAGUAAAUUUUCACAUUAGAGUUAAAGAUCGUUCUGAUUUUAUUUAUAAUGAUUUAUAUUUAAUCAUACUGAUAUUUUUUUAAUUAUUUUUUAAUAAACUUAAUAAUAUAUUAUUUAUAGUUUUUAUAAAAUUAAAAGUACACAUUAAUAUUUCAUGUUCACGUUUUAAUUCAAGACAUGUAGUGGAUUUGAGUACGGUAGAUGACAUGAAGGGAAAAGAAAAAGGUCAGUGGUGAUGCUGACAUGGAAUUGGCAAGUCCAGGCUGGCAAACAAAUUUGUGUCCAUGUCAAUGGGAGAGGUACAGGUCAGAUCAAAUGAUAACGUACUUUUUGGGAAAUAUCACUGUACGGAAUGUACUUAUAAAGUCGGCCUUCAUCAUCGCCGUCUUACUCUUUUCCUUGCUUUCUCUGCUACGUGCCGUCAUAAUAAUCUCGAUUAAGCCGCUAUCCUUUUCUCCUUUCUCGCCAGCUGGAUCCAGUAAUCGUGUCGGUAGUAACGGCCGUUUGCAAAUCAACGGCGAUGCAUCCAUGCCAUGUGGCUCCCACGUGUUUCUUCCCUACCACUUCCCCCCCCCCCCCCAAAGUAGUGUACAAUAAGAAAAUAAAUUUUGCGCAAAUAAAAUUAAAAGAACAAAGUUUUCUUUUGAAAAUUAUUCUAAAGGAUUCGAAAAUAUUAUCUUUAAAAUUGUUUUUAUGAGAAUCCUUGUAGAAUAAAAUUUUUCCUUUUUAUAUAAAGUGCUCUUUAGAUUUUUAUUUUUUAAAGUUAUGAAAAUUUUCUUAUUAUACUAAUUCUUAAGUGGAAUAGAAAAUAAUUUUGGAAAUUUUAAUGAUAAAUAAUUUAUCAUUAAGAGUAUUACUAAAAAUUAUGCUUUUGGUAAUUUUANNNNNNNNNNNNNNNNNNNNNNNNNNNNNNNNNNNNNNNNNNNNNNNNNNNNNNNNNNNNNNNNNNNNNNNNNNNNNNNNNNNNNNNNNNNNNNNNNNNNAAAAAAAAAAGUCCGGGGGGGUUGCUCCCCGGAAUUCGCCAACCCCGGCCGGCAAAAAAAUUUUUUUCCCUUUCCAAGGGGGGGGGCCCGGCCCGACCAAAAGUUAACCUUCUUUUUGGGAAAAUUCCCCUUUCGGAAAUUUUUUUUAAAAGCCCCCUUUUUUUUCCCCCUUUUUUUUUUUUCCCUUUUUUUUUUUGCAAGGGCCCUUAAAAAAAUUCCGAUUAAACCCCUUUUCUUUUUUCCUUUUUCCCCCCCGGGGCCCCAUUAUUGGGUGGGGUAUAACCCCCCUUUUCAAAAUAACGGGGGGCCCCCCCCCCCCGGGGGCCCCCCCGUUUUUUUUUCCCCCCCCUCCCCCCCCCCCCCCCCCCCCCCCCCACCCUCAUUUAAGAAUUAGGAGGUGUUUAUUACUUUAUUUUGCCUUAAUAUUUAAAACAUUUUGAGAUUAAUUUUUAUAAAUUUCUCCUUCAAAAAUAAAAAAAAACAUCCAAAAUCAUUAAAUUUAGAUUAUAGAUUAAUUUACUACAAAUUUUCAAAAGUCAAUAAUAACAAAACCAAAAUAAACUAACUUUGUUGAAAAGAAAGGUGAAAAGGGUAUAUUUAACAAAUUUUUUAUUCAAUUAUUUUUUAAUAAUUAAAUAAGAAAAAAAUUAUAAUUUUUAUUUUAUAAUUUACAUUUUCUUCAAAUUUCCAUUUAUAAGAAAUGAAAGUAAAACAUUACCUUAUGUUUGGUUCAUAGAAAAUUUAAGUGAAAAAAAAAUACAUUGGAAUGGCAAAAAAAGUUGUCUUAUCUUUUCCAUUUAGUGCAUAUUUUAUCUUCAUAAAAAAUAAAUAAUAAAAAUAUAUUUCACUUAAUGUAAACUUUAAGUCAAUUAAAAAAUAUUUUUUUCUCAUUGAAAUAACAUUUUGACUUUUUAUCAUUAUAAGUAGAAGAGAUAGUAGGAGAAGUAGUUAUAAUUAAGUUAUAUAUUAGUAUUUUUUUUUAAAAAUCAUUAAAGAUAAUUUUUUGAUUUUUUUAAAUAAUAAUUAAACAAAAUAUGCUUCUUACUUAACGUUUAAGGAAAAAAAAAAUGAAUUUAUCUAUUUUCUACAAUGUUGAUAGUAUAAAAAAAAAUGGAUUAUUAAAUAUGUGACACAUGGUUGAAGAAAAUGUAAGAAAUAGUACUUAAAUAGUAAAUAAUAUUGAAAAAACCAUAUAUAUAGGUAUUCGCUACCAUACCAAUUCAUACUUAUAAAAACAAACAAUUAUAUGAUACCAUGUGUACACUUUUUAAGUCUUAUUAUUUUGUAUCAAUGUUCGUUUUAUUGUUUAUACAUUUGAAUUAUAUUUGAUUGACUGUAUUUAACAAAGAUAGAUAAGAAAGGGGAUAACGUAUCAUAUCCCAUAUUUAACCGAUGAGAUAAAAUAAGUUAUCUUUUAUCAUAUUCUAUAUUUAACUAAAUAUGUUAAUCCUAACCUAAAAUAUAUAGUAUAAAUUUAUUUAUUUUUUAUUAAUUAUCUGGUUUUUAUACUAGUUAUUUUGCAAAAUAAUUUUUUUAUUAUAAAAUUAAAUAUGUGAUUAAAAAAAACUAAAAAAUAUUAUAAUGUAAUAUAAAUUUUAUUUUAAAUAUUUAAAAAUGAUAUAUAUUUCAUUUUACAUUUUUAUUCAUUUCAUAACCUAAAUAUAACCAUAAUAUAAUAUAUCUCAUUGAAUACUUAGAUUUAAUAUUAAGGAUAUUAUAUUCCAUUAGAAAAUAUAUUUUAAGAUAUUAUAUUUCAUUAAAAAAUAUAUUUUAAGAUAUACAUUUCUUAUUCAAUGAAUGUUAUAUUUUGGGAUAUCUUAACCCGUAAGUCAAGCAUAGCUAUUCUCUAGUGUAUCUAUAUUUGAUCUUAUUCAUUUGUGUCCUAGUUUUUUUUUUUUUUUUAAUAUUUCGUUAAAGAUGAUGAAAUAAUCUUUAAAUUGUAAAUCUAAUAAUUCCCUUUUUUUUUUAAAAGUAACUUAUUUUUUACAUAAAUGUCAUUCGUCAUUUCAAGUAUUUAUAUAUAAGUUUAAAAAAAUGUUAUUUUUACAAUAAAAAAUAAUGAGAUCGUUUUUAUCUAAAUAAGGCAAAAAAAUGAUGGGAUGUUAAAUUUUCAAAAUUAGAUUUUCAUAUACUCUUUUAAUCAAAUAACCUUUUUUUUUUUGGUAACUUCGUCAAAAUUUAUAUUUCAUUAUAUUUUGAGAGAUAUGAGUAUAGUAUUCUAUUAGCUUUAUACACUAUUUGACACAAAGAAUAAAAUAAGUAAAAAUACGAUAUAAUUUCAUUACUUUUUCAUCAUUGACUUUGUGAUUAAUUAAUAAGACUUUGAUCACCAAAUUAAUAAGUGAAAUUAUCGAAUUUCUUAAUCUUAAAACUCUAGUAGUCAAGGAUAAAUAAUAUGGGUGUGGUUAAAUGAGAGGGGGAGGCAUUAAUUUGUCGGUGGUGAAGGCUAGUAAAUUAAGGGGAGGAGGCCUGAGGCCAUGGGAGAGUGUCGGUGGUCCAUGACUCCAUGGUCAAAUGUAUCAAGAGAGGGACUCUCGUGAUGUUUUUCUCUUUUACAUUAUUCAAAUUAAUUCAAUUACAAUAUUUUACUUUUUCUUCAUACUUCACAUGCCUGCGUUUUGUAAUCUAUGAAGUUGUGGAAAAUCCUAAAGUUUGUACCAUUAAUCAAAGACAAAACAAAAAUGAAAUUAAAAAAAAAAAAGAUAUGAAUAUAAAGAGGUUCGAAGUAGAGCAAAGUAAGCAACAAAGAAAUGAAGGUUUUUUUUUAUAUAAAAAAAAAAAUUAUCAUAUGCAUAUUAGGCAUGAAAACAUGUCGGUUCGAGACGGGUCACCGUAUCAUAAUUAUUUAAAUCCAUUUUAUAAAAUUAAAUAGGACAUGCUAGGAAAGGGUUGAGAAUUUCCCAUACCCACUUAUCAUCUUUGCCCCUCCUGUCCUUUUAUAUGUAAUUAUAUUCAAAAUAAUAUUAUUUCACAAAGAAAUGAAUAUGAUAAAAUUUUAUAAUUUAUUUUAUAAAAAAUAAAAUUUUAUUUUAAAUAUGCUAAAAGGGGUGGGAUAGAAGGUGAAAAAUGGACAAAACAUUACUUAAACUUAUCUGUUAAAAAAUAAUCUAUUUAUUCUUAUCUCGGGUAAAUAAUAUUGAUUUUAUGGAACGUUAAUGAUUAAAAAUAAAUUAGAGAUUCUAAAAUAUAAAGGAAUGUUGGUAUUACUUCUAUUUUUCAAUUUUUAUUUGAAAUCAUUUUCAAAAAUUUUUAAAAUUUGAUAACAAAAAUUAACUAGGUAAAGGAUGAAAACUCUUUUAAUUCCCAAAUUUAAUAAAAGAAAUUUAAAAUAAUAAAUCAACACACAAUUCACUUAUAUUUUACUAUUAUUUAGUAAGUAUGCCUAAUGAAUAUUCAAAAAUUGUAAAAAUAAAAAUUACUAAUGAAAGAAAAAAAUAUUAAGAGAAAUUAUUUUGUCCGAUUAAGUUGGACAAUAAAACAAUAUUAAAUAAAAUCAAACAUAAUUAAAAUUAGUUAAGAAACUUAUGCAUUUUAAAAUUAUUUAAUUUUUUAUAUUAAAUAGUUAAAAUAAGUUAAAUGAGUUUGAAAUAUUAUAUAUAAAAAAUUAUUGAUUUUAAAUAUUUUUAUUUAUUUUCAUUUAUUUAUUUUUCCUUUUGCUUGUCCUCCCUGUUUCCUUUCCUUUAUAUUUUUCCUCAAAUUUUUCAGGAACUAAAUAUAUCCCGAUAUUUUUCCUCAAUUUUUUCAGGAAUUAAAUAUAACAAAAAUUUCAACUUGUUAUAUACUUACCCUUUUUUUAUUUUUUGAAUAAAUGUAUAUAAUUAUUUUUUAUUUUUUUAGUUUUUAAAAUAGUUAAAACAUAGGUGUACAAAUUCAAGAUAUUUUUAUUUUGUAUCAUUUAUGGCACCAAAAAAAAAGAAGUAAGAAGUGGUAGUAGCUCAUAUGUCAAAAUUUUUAACACCAUUUGAAGGGUUUUAUCUCUUGCUUGGAAUUUUUGUUUGUUUGUAUAUUUUUUUUUCUUAGAGAAAUGUUAAAUAUAUAGUUAUUUUUCUAAUUUUUAUUUUUUUUUCAUUUUUUUCAUUAUAAUCUUUUAUGGAAUUUUUAAAAUAUUUUUGUUAAUAUCAUUUUAGGGGGAAAAGAAAAAGUUCAUUUUCAAUCAUUUUCCACCACAUCUUUUUAUCCUGUGAUUUGGUGGGAUCUGAAAAAUGUUAAUCGAAAUCAUGAAUAUUCUCACAACUCCUUUUCAACUUUCAACUGUGAAAUGAUGGUGGUUUGUGUAUAAUUAGAAAAAAAUCUUAAUCAUCACACAUGGGGUAUUAUCAUAUUAUGCAUUUAUGAUUAUUUUGAAAUUUUGAAAUUUUGAAAAUUCUGAUUUUCAAAGUAGAAACCCAUAUUGAAAAUUUCAAUUAAAAAUAUUUUAAGAAAAUAUUUUUUAUAUUUAAAAACUUCAAACAAUUUUUUAUUUUUUUGAGAAAUUAGUAUAUAUUUUCAUAAAAAUAUUUUAUUUUUAUUGAUAAAUAAAAUAAAAUAAGGUUGUGCAUAGUCAAAAGACUAAGAAAAAAAGGAUAUGGAUGUAAUUGAGAGAAUUGGAGACUAUGAAAAAAAGUUAGACAAAUGGGUUUGGCGAUUUAUAAUGUAUUCAUGAUUACACUAAUAAUAGGAAACAAUGGUGUGACAUAGAAGGGGAAAUUGAAGGUGGAGUAAUGUAUAGUAUUGUACAAAGAUGCAAUUUCUGAAUUAUUUUUCAAUUAAAUUGCUUCUUUAUUUUCAUAUUUAUUCAAUUAAUUUUUAUUAUUCGUAAAUACUUGUAAUGAACAAGCUGAGAUAACGAUGUGUUUGAAUAUAUAUAUUAAAAAUAAAAAAUUUCAUAAAUUAUUAGAAUUCUUAUAAAAAAAGUGCAGAUAUUUAUGAUGCUGAAAAAUUCUUUUUAAAACUGGAUUAAUCAAUUAAAAGGGAUAAAAUAAUCUCAAUUUUAUAAAACUAACCUUUUUCAUUUUUUAACUUAAAGAAUAACUUAUUUUUUACAUAAAUACUCGUCAAUAUUUUUAUUAUUUAUAUAUGUGAUAAAUUUUUUAUAUUUUUUAUUAUGUAUUUUUUUAGAAUCGGUUAAGGAAAUUGAUUAUUAUUAGAUUAUGAUGAAAUUAAUUUUUAUGUAUUUAUUAAAUUUUGGAUUAAAAUUUUAAAUACAUUUUAAACUAACCCCCCAAAUUUAAACAAAUUUAAUUUUGAUUUGGUUUUUAUUCCGCUUUUCUUCUACCAAAAAGUCAAUUCGGUUUUGUUUAAUUUUUCAGAAAUUAGGAAAAAAAAGGCCAACCACAAACUCUUCCUUAUUUGAAGGGAUGUUACAUGUAAAAAUAAAAUUAAAAUAUGGGUGUAAAAUAAAAUUGAAUUUGGAGGAAAAGGGAAGGGAAAAGGUGAGAAAGAGGGGGAAGUGAAAAGGGAGAGGGAGAGGGGGGAGGAGGAGGAGGAGGAGGGAGAGGGGGAGGGGGAGGCCACAUAAGUGAUAAGUGAAUGCAUGUCAAGCCAUUUGUCUAUUAAUAAAUGAAACAAACAAACCAUGCACUUGCAUGCACCUACACCUUAAUAUUUAAUAUUAAUGGGAGUUAUAUAUUUAGGUAUUGUGAGAGUCUAGUCUUUCACUCACUGCAUGCUCACACUCGCUGCGCGUUCCUCUGCCCCUACCCCCACCCCCUCUCUCCAGUCCUCUCUCUAUCACUCCUCAGCUAUACAGGCUGAGCUCAGACUCUAGAGAGAGAGGGAGCCCCCCGCCUACUUCCACUGCUACUAUUACUACCCACUACUAUUACUUUGCUACUUUCUCUGCUUCUUCUUCUUCUUCUUAUUCUAGGGGAGAGAACUUGCUGGGGAUGGACUUGUACGGUCUACAGACGUCCGACUUUUUUCGUAUCGAUGACCUACUUGACUUUACUAAUGACGAACUCUUCUCCUCCACUACCACUGAUUCCGGCAAUCUCCCUCCGCCGGAGAUAGCCUCCGGCAACCGCUCUUUGGCGGCCUCCGGCAACCGCGACCAGCCUAAUACUUUUCAUUCUGCUGAUUUCACUGACGACCUCUGUGUUCCUGUGAGCAUUACGCUACUCCCUCAAAACAAGACCUUAUGUCCUACCUUUUUUUUUUUCUUUCAUUUUUUUUGGGGGAAUUUUGUGUGAUUUUUGUUGUGGUUUGGUGGUUUUUUCUUUGGUUUGUAGAGUGAUGAUGUUGCUGAGCUCGAGUGGCUUUCGAACUUCGUGGACGACUCAUUUGCGGAUUUUCCGGAGAAUGAACUCGCCGGAACCGUAAUGGCCCGGCCUGACUCAUCAUUUCCAGGGCGGACACGUAGUAAGCGGUCCAGAGCAUCGUCGACGAACAAAGUAUGGACUUCGUUGCCGGUAUCUGAGAUUCCGAUGAUCGGGAAAUCAAAGACGAAUAGCAACAAAAACAGUAUUGUAAAGAAAGAAAGCUCAUCGUCAUCAUCUGUGAUUAGCGGAGAGAGAUCCUCGUCCUCGUCGCCGGCAUCGUCGCCCACGGGAGCGCGUAAGUGCACGCACUGCGCUUCGGAGAAAACGCCACAGUGGCGCACGGGUCCUCUAGGUCCAAAAACACUAUGCAACGCGUGCGGCGUGCGUUACAAGUCAGGCCGACUGGUUCCGGAGUACCGACCUGCAGCGAGUCCAACGUUUGUGCUGACUCAGCACUCGAACUCGCACCGCAAGGUGAUGGAGCUCCGUCGCCAGAAGGAAAUCCUCCGGCAACAGCAACAACAACAACAGCUCUACCAUCACCACCACGACUUCGAGGUCUGCUGACGUCACAACAAUACGUGUCGACAUCUCGUGUUAUCAUCACCAUCAUAACCAGAUCACCAGAUAGUACUGUCUAGUUCGAUGUUAUCAAAGUCUCCCCUUUUUUUUUCUUUUGCGUUUUUCAAUUUCAUUUUCCUUCACUUUCUUUGUAAUUUUCUCAGAGGAAGUUUCAUUAAAUUUUCUUUUCUUUGCUUUGAUGCUUUAAAAUCUUCAACUACCAGUGAGAGAGAGAGAAAGAGAGGAGAGAGAAUAUUCGGUCAGCCUCAUCUGCAGGGAGGGUCACGUGGAAGGCCACUCUCAUCACACAAACAUUACCCUUUUUCUUUGUCUCUCUAGAAAGGGCGCUCACAUGGAAACUGAGGAGGGCCAACGGCGAGAGGUUUGCAGGGAAAAUUAAAAGGUGCACAUUUAUGGAUUUUAGAGAAAUCGACGGUUGUGAUUCGAUCUUAUCAUCUUUUGGGGACAAUUCGCUUAAGAUGAGGUUGUGAGUAAAUAUUAGAUUGAUUGACAUUUAAUGGGCCCUGACUCUGGAUCAGAUGGUGGAUUGUGUUUUUUGGGCUUUGGGAUUGGUCCAGUUCCAGAUAUGGAUUCAGAUUUGGGACCCACUGUGCGGGUCUUUCGAGUUUGGUUUUGGGUGGGGUAGUCUACUUCUGGGACCUCCAAUCACCAACCGAGUAACUCUUUCAAGUAAAAUUCUUACUGGAAUGGACAGGUGUCAAUAUUUGAGAUAAUUCUCUUUCUAUUUUCAUUUGGAGUCCAAACAUAAACGUGGCAAGGUAAACCACCUGAAGGAUAGGCACAUAGGUUAGAGAUAAUUUAAGGGUAAAUAUAAGAAAAAGAAAAUAGGAAAAAAAUAAAUAUAAAUGAAUAACAAAUAAAAAUUAUUUUUAUAUACUAAUUUAACUCUUUAAUGUAAAAAUUAAAUAAUUUAAAAAUAUAUAAACUUCUUAAUAAUUUUAAUUAUAUUUGUUUUUUUAUAUUUUUUGCAAAACAACUAAACAUAAAAAAAAAAAAAAAAAAAAAAAGUAUUUUUAUUUUUCUUUCUUAAUUACUUUUCAGAACCAAACAUAAUAACUCAACAUUCAUAAUCGCAAACUCACUGAGGGUUCCAGCCUUUUUUUUGUCAGUGUAAAAUUCUGGCCAUACAAUACAGGCACUGGACCAUUUAGCUCUAAUUCAAAAGUCAAGACAAUUGAAGACCAUCAAUAAACACUUAAUACGUUAAAAUAAGGCGGUAUUGAAACAUCUAGAUUGUUAACAAGUUCACCUAAUCCAAGAGUGAGCUCAGGCACCUUUGAUAUCAUUUGAAACUCCAAAAAUCCUUCAUCAGUUCAAUGUUGAAAAGAUUUGAACCAAUUUGCUCUUUGUAAGAUGCAACCAGCAAGGCCAGUAAAGAACCUGGAUGACCUCUUUAGUCAACUUCCGGGAGGGUAAGGCUACAACAUGGCGGACCAAAUUACCUCAAAUUUUGGCACUUUUGUCAUUAUAUAUCCCUAUGAUGUAACUAUUCAUUAUUGUACUGGUUCUUCCAAACGUUUGGACAAAUACCAUCCCAGCAAAAAAGGAUGUACAGUUUGAAACAAACUUGUGUCACCGUUUAACAAAAUUCGGUGAAUAAAUGUUAUUAUAUAGAUUGCAUUUAUUUCUGAAAGAAAUGAUGCCAUCAUUUUAGACGCAAGAUCUUGUAAUUAUCACCAAAGAACUCCAGUGCAUGAGCACCCAGAGGGCAGCCACAAGAAUUCUUAGACAGAAAUCCCAUAGUUACUGAUUUUUGAGACCUCCUUGCUCAAAGCACUCCUUUCUCGUUUUGCCUCAGAAGCAAGCUUGGAAACCUGCCAGCAAGAGUGUCUUGACAUAAGCGAUUUCCUCAGUAUGCAAACAAAAGAAAAUUUAUCAAAAGCUCACAACCAGGCAAACAUCUUAAAAGGCGGAAAGGCAAUAAGCAAAAUUUAUCACCAAAUACAGGCAUUAUUCAAUUCAAAUUUGACAAGGAGUAAACACCAAAAACUUAAAUAAUAAUAAUAAUAAUAAUAAUAAUAAUAAUAUCCAAAGUAUCAAAUCUUCAAGUCUAAUCAGAACAGUUUUAUAAUGACUCUUGAGCUAAUCCUAGGAUUCCUGAAAAAACUCAUAAUUGCUGACAGUGGAAAUGAAUAAAAACCACAUGAAUGGUCCACUACUUCCAACUUCUUCAACUAAGGCAGAAGAAAUGAGUGUUGAUAACCAAGAAAUUUACCUGUGAUCGGAAUCGAGAUGCUUCUCUACUUGGAAGUUCUCCAAGAAUAUCUUUCAAGCCUGACACAACAUAGAACACUUUCAAGAUAAGAUAUAGAUAUCUCAUAUCCACAUUCUCAGUCUUGUGUAUGUGUUUGUGUGUGAGAAAGAGGGAAGGAAAUUUUGCAUACCCCUUGCUUGUCUUUCAAUCUUAUAAGCUGAGCGAAUGACACUUUGAAUCUGAUUCCCAGCUUGUCUGUAACAGAAAAGAAAAAAGUUCGAAUGACAAAUCAGCCUAGUUCAGGAUGACAUGAAAGGCACACUCUCUUCAUAGCUUUUCAUCUACCUGAGCUUUGUCCUCCCUCGUUUCAUCUCAUCUUCAGCUUGUAAUGCCCUCUUCUGGAAACAAUAAUUAUAUAUUUAUCAGUUGCAUUACAGUAACUUAUUGUUUAGGAACUGAUACAUUGACUUAAGAGCAGGCACUGGUUUAACUGAGAAAUCAUAGCACAACAAGCAUUAGGCCAAAGGCCUAGCUGCAUGGUCAGGUAUGUAGUGUAACAUAUGAGUUUCUUAUGGAUUAGAUUUUCUGCAAAUCUAUCUUUCCAUUGUCACAUCAAGGGAGCUUUUGUAAAGGAUUCUUCACUUUUUAUUUUUUGGUUGACUGCUAAAUAAUGAUAGCCAACUUCAGCAAACAGUCCCAUUCAAUGCAGGUUGACUAAAAAAAGCAACUCUUCCCAUUUUCCUUUUAUUCAUUCUCCUUUCAACAUGGCAUCAGAGACACCCUCCAUGAUCAUGAGAUAGCUCUUGCUCGCUAAUCUCUAUAUACAUUACAAUGGGAACAACUUGGUUACUUAUGAACAAAUUCAGGCUUAGUCAACUCAAGGUACAGCCUAUGGGGUAUUUCGUUUUUUAAUCUCAUUAUGACCGGAAGAAAUUCUUUCUCGAUCUCAUGAAAGUUAAAAAGAAAAAAUUAAUAGCUAACCAUUCUGCUAAAUAAGACAGCUAUCAGAGUGUCAACUUUGUAUGACAACUUUCUCACAAUGUUGAUUUUAAUUUUUUAUUUUUAAUGAGAUCAUGUUUUACAAAUGUCAAUAAUGAUUUGGGUAACUCUCAUAAAUGAAGUGCACCCAGCUUGGCCGUACAAAUUUAUGUUAUGUUGCAAAUGGAAGAAUUAUUGAAUGGGAUUUGCAAUUGUGAAAGCAAGUUCUUCUUUCUAAUUAAUUUAUUCUUUCAUUUUCCUGCCCUGAAUUUUAAUCCUUCAUUUGGGAGGGUCUUCCUUCCUCUCUCUCCCUCCCUCUCCCUUUUUUCCCAACACUGAUCAUACAACAUAUUUCUAUGAGUCUGCCAAACCUUUGUUCAUUCAACCUCAAACCAAACAACCAAACAAACCACCGCCCCCCCCCCCCCCCAACCAAAAAAAAAAAAAAAACUUUUUUCUCUCUGUCUCUCUCACAGUGAAAAAGGAACCCAGUUGUCAACACAGAGCAAAAGGAGAGAAGGAACUAAUACACGACCUCUCUCUAGACACACACAAUCGAAAACUCUCGUAGUUAAAAAGCAUCAACUCUCUGCACACACACAGAAGAAGGAAACUAUGCAUGAUAGAACACACUUUCUCUACCACACACACUGAGAAGUGACUGAGUCAACCUCUGUAUAUAUUGAGCAGUGUAAAGGAACAGACCUGUCUCCAGACAUAUGCACACAGACACAUAAGUAAAACAAACUGAUGCAUGAUACAACACACACACCCUCCCCACCUACAGACUCUCUCUCUCCACACUGAGAAGUGAAAAAGAACAGUUCUCUAGAACACAAAAGAAGUAAAAAAAGAACCAACACAUAAUACGAUAUGAAAGCAUUGAAUUGAGAACUGAUGUAAGGGAUUGUUCAUCACCAAUUCAACUGACACAAAGUAAAUGGGUCACCUCCAAUUUCUCACUUUCAGCCUUCAGAAGGUCAAUUGAUUUCCGCAACUCAUUCACUUUAGCAUCAGCUCUGGCAACCAUGGACUGCACCAAGAAAGGAAGACCUAUGAAGCUAUUGUCAAUUAAAAUUCAAAAUCUGACCAGUGUAGUGAGAAGAUGGCCAACAUGCUUCUUUUUUGAUAGGUAAAAGCAAUUGUAUUAAGAGCGCCUAAAACACGCCUAAAGUAUAACAUGCUUCUUGAGUUCCAGCAUGAUACUUCUUGAGUUCUUAAGGUAUAACUCAUAUAAGCAUAAAAAAAUCAAUCAAGUGAUAAAUGCAGAUCACUAUUGUUGGUGCCAGGAACAAAUAAAGAAUAUUUUCCAAUGAAAAUAAGUACCAAAAAAUGGCAUGUCAUCUUCCAUAGGCAUUCAAGGAAUAUUUCGUGUAUUAUUGAAACCCCACACUCCAACCCAUAAAAUAAAAAUUUAAAAAAAUCAAAUAAGCCUCCAAUUAUCUCAAUGCACAUACUACCAUGGAGCUUGGAAAAUUUAAUCAUGUCUCUUCAUCUGGCUUCAGCAAAUAAAAAUCUCUUUAGAUUUGAAAUUUAUUUUAUUUUCUCAGUUUUUUUUUUUUUUUGGGUUGAAACAAAUGAAAUUUAAACAAUUUUUACAAACAUUGGGCAAAAAAAUGCAAAACUGCCAUUAGCAAGUUCACAACAACAUAUUUUUGACCUCUUCACCAUGAAAACAGGAUGUAGAAGCAUGACAUAAACCCCUGCUUCAAUAACAUUUCAGAUUUUCACAUGUGGCCAUGUGAAUGACUCACAUUCAUAAAAAGCAAAUAAACCCAUGUAUUUCUACUUUUAGCUUAGCUAGACCAUAAACAGCAUUUAAAACAAGGAAUUCUUUCAGAUAAUCUAUAGUGUGAAAAAAACUGAAAACUGCACUUAUAUUUAUACACACCCACCUCUUCACUGACAAGAAGCCGCAAGGUGUUAUAGUAUAAGAAAUGCCUUGGCCCUGCAGAUAAUAAAUACAUUAUAGGCAGGAGGAACAAAUUGAUGUCUAAUAUGACAUCAAACCAUUCAGAAUAGACUAUUUUGUAAUGUUUCCAGGAAUAUAUGUUGCAUCUUGACAUGAAAAUAUAAACCUAUUUAUCAAAAAGAAGGCAUUCUAGAUACUCGGUACAGAAAUCAAACUCCUGACAACGAUGUACUGAGACUAAUCCCAUUACAACAAUAUUACGAAACUUAUUAACAAUGUUUUGAUAGGUGACUUUUUUCCAUCCAUUCAGUUGAAACUGCAACCUUCUAUCCCCACCCAACCUGUUUCCAGCCGAUCCAAGACUAAGAGCCUCGCAAGAAUUAUUAAUAUGGUUGAGUGAAAUUAAUAUACAAUGCCAAAGAGCAAGAAUAGAGAAAACAAUCUUGAACACUAACAAAAUAGGAUCUCUUAAUUUUGAAAAAGAUAUAUUAACAACGAUAUUAAUUGUCAUCUAUUAUAGGUAGCAAUAGGAUCAAGCUUCAAACAGUUUUAUAUGGUUAAUUUGAGAUAAAGAUUAAUAGGUUAAAGAAACACACUUUUUAGCAGCAAACAUCCCAAACCAACACACACCCCGGAUGUAAUCAAUGGAUUUGAUGCUGCAACGAGAAUACCCUCUGCAACAAAAUAUGAUAAUGAGUAUUUGAAGUAUACGCAUCUAUAAACACUAUAACUUAAGAUCUCAAAAAGAAAAAAAACCAAUUAUUUUCCAAGCAAGCAUGAACUUGGAACAGACCUUUAAUCUUUCCAACAGCAAGAUCCUCGUAGACAUCAUAUUCAGAUUUAACAUCUUUCAGAGAUUCCUGCAUUCACAUUUUAAUACAAAGAGCAAGUGAAUAAAAAAAAAAGUCAUAUGUAUAAGAAAAAGCUCCAUUUUUGGGGAGGGUUUGUGGGAGGUUCCAGGUUCAAGUCCCAAUGGAAACAUGAAAUUACCUAUAAAAAAAGCUCCAUUUGGUUGCCAAUAUACAUAUAUAUAAAGAUAAAGAGAACAAAAACCAGACUCAAAAUUUUUGCGCUCUUUUCACUUCUAUUCCUCCAUCAACAGGUUCGAAUCCAACCACUUGGCAGAACAUUAGAAAUUCUCCAUAUGGUUGCCGAGAAAGGGUAGGAAAGUGAAAGAAAUCAAAAUUUUGAAAUUUCUUGCCUAUGAUCUGGUGAAACCAAAACAGUAAUAGUAAUAACAAAUAACAACUAUUUUGCCUAGUUUAAUCGAGUUUUCCAAUUUUUAACUCCGUUUUUUCUUACAUUCUUUCCCUCUGUUUUCUCGGCAACACAUUUUAAAAACUUACAAUGGUUUGUUGGAGAUGAGCAGAAGAAGUGGACAGAAUUUGAGAGAAGCGAGAUCCAGAGGCUUCAAUGAAUGAAUUGACAGUGUCGUCUAGGGUUUUGUGCAAGAGCUGAGCUUGAUUGACCCCGUAUUCGAUCCAUGACGAGGCUGCUUCUUCUAGGGAUUUUGGUUUUUCGUCGGGAGGAUAAUCUCCAGGUGAUGGUUUUGAUUCGCAUUCUGCUACUGUUGUCGCCAUCGGAGGAGAAGGUCCGAAGUUUAAAACCCUUGCUUUUGGAUCCGUUUCAGAAAACAGUUUUAAGGAAAACCUGCUCGCGAAAAAUAACGAGGAUAAUUGAGAACAGAGUGUUCUCCCUUCUCCCUUUAUUUAUGUUGUUAAACAAUAAUAAAUCCGACCCAAAUAAAAGAAGAGAUGAAUAUAUAUUAGUUUAAUAGUAUAUAUAAAGGGGAGAAAGAAAAGAAGUGUUGGGAGAAUGAAAGAAACAAAGAAUGAGAGGAAGAGUGAAAGUUUUUUUUUUUCUCUUGAUACUCCUUAGGGUUGUAAAAAGUUUUUUACGGCUUCACCAUAUGAACUCCCAUUACUCAUCUUAAAAAUGAGUAAAUCGAGUUCAUAAAUAACCAUCAAUGUGGUCAUUCACUACUUCAUUUACAACACUCCCCCUUUUAUGAUCAUCAUAUUAAAAGAAUAUGUCUCAUUAAAACCUUGUUAGUAAAAAUCCUAUAUAAAAAACCUAGAGAAGGAAAAAGAGUAUAAUAUUGUUUUAUUGGUAUGUUAUAACUGCCUCGUUAAAAACCUUGUCAGUAAAACCCAGUAAGACAAAACCUGGAUAAAGGAAAAAAGAGUACAGUACACUAACACCCUUUUACAAGCAUACUCCCCCUCAUGUCAAUAUCCUUGAGUUGAUGCAUUCCAAUCAUGUGUAUUAACUUCUUGAAUGUUAAGGUUGAAUAUGAUUUUGUGAAUAAAUCUGCUAGAUUAUCACUUAAGCGUAUUUGUUGCACAUCAAUUUCACCACUCUUUUGAAGUUCAUGUAUAUAAAAGAAUUUUAGUGAAAUGCGUUUAGUUCUAUCUCCUUUAAUAUAACCCCAUGUUAUUUGUGCAAUGCAUGCAACAUUAUCUUCAAAUAAUAUUGCUGGGUCAUCUUUGAUAGAGGAGAGUCCACGUCAUUCCCGAAUAUGUUGGAUCAUAGAUCCUAGCCAUAUACAUUCACGACUUGCUUCAUGAAUUAUCAGUAUUUCUAAAUGAUUUGAUGAUGUGGUCACUAUUGUUUAUUUGACAGAUCUCCAUGAAAUAGCAGUACCAUUGCAAUUAAACACAUACCAUGUUUGUGACCUACCUUUAUGUGGAUUUGAAAGAUAUCCUGCAUCUGCAUAUCCAAGCAAUUGUUGUUUUGAUUCCCUUGAGUAAAAUAAACUCAUGUCAGUAGUUCUGCAAAAAUAACGCAAUAUAUAUUUGAUACCAUUCCAAUGUCUUCGAGUUGGAGUAGAACUGUAUCUUGCUAAUAAAUUGACAGAAAAAGCAAUAUUUGGACGUGUACAAUUGACACGAUAUAUAAGUGUACCAAUAGUACUAAGAUAUGGUACUUCAGGACCAAGUAAUUAUUCAUCUUUUUCGCAAGGACAAAAUGAGUCAUUUUUUACAUCAAGUGAUCCGACAACUAUUGGAGAACUUAAAGAAUGUGUUUUAUCCAUGUAAAAACGAUUCAAAACUUUCUUAAUGUAUGUUGAUUGAUAUACUAAAACUUCAUUUGGAAAAUGCUCGAUCUACAAGGCGAGACAAAAUUUUGUUUUUCCAAAAUCUUUCAUCUCAAUUUCUUUUUUCAAGUAAUUUGUUAUUCUUGUGAGCUCUUCUGGAAUUCCAACAAGAUUUAAUUCAUCAACAUACACUGCAAUAAUUGCAAGUCUGGUUUUUGAUUUCUUAACGAAAAUGCAUGGCCACAUAGGGUUAUUCACAUACCCUUCUUUUAGUAAGUAUUCACUAAGGCGAUUGUACCAUAUGCAUCCAGAUUGCUUUAAUCCAUACAAGAAUUGUUGUAACUUGAUUAAGUACAUGCUACGAGGCUUUGUACUAUUUGCUUCAGGCAAUUUAAAUCCUUUAGGAAUUUUCAUGUAUAUAUCAUUAUCCAUGGAUUUGUAUAAAAAUGUUGUAAUAACAUCCAUGAGACGCAUAUCCAGUCCUUCUGAGAUUGUCAAACUAAUUAAGAAAUGAAAUGUGAUUGCAUCCAUGACGGGAAAAUAUGUUUGUUCAUAGUCAAUACUAGGUCUCUACAAGAAACCUUGUGCUACUAAACGUGCUUUAUAUCUUAUGAUCUUAUUGUUCUCAUUGCGCUUUCGUACAAAUACCCAUUUGUACCCAAUAGGUUUUACAUCUUUAGGUGUUUGGACUACAGGUCCAAAAACUUCUCGUUUUGUUAAUGAGUUUAACUUUGCUUGUAUAGAUUCUUUCCAUUUUGGCCAAUCAUUUCUAUGUCGGCAUUCUUCCACAUUUCAUGGUUCGGAAUUUUCAUCAUUUCUUAUGAUAUCGGAGGCCACUUGGAAAACGAAAAUAUUGUUAAUAACAAUAUUAUUUCGAUCCCAUUUUUAUCCCAUGUAUACAUAACUUACUGAGAUUUCACAAUUUUCAAGUACAUGCGCCUUUUUAAGGGCUUCUCGUUCAAUAUGUGCCUCUUCAGGGGCUUCUUGUUUAAUAUGUGUAUCUUCAGGGGCUUUCUGCAUUACUUGUGCCUCUUCUGGGGCUAUAGACUUAUCAAUUUUGAACUAAUCAAUCGUUUUGAUGGUCUCUUAUAGAGUGCCAAGUUUUUCUAGGGUUCUCCUCUUCUAGGGAGUUACAUCUUUUGAGCCGACAGGUCUACCACACUUCGGGUUUAUAUUAGAUUCAUUUGUUAACUGUCUUACAGGGACAUAAAUCUGUGUUGGAGUAUUUGCAACUAGGAUAUGUGACUUUGUCACUUUCUUUGUAUCAAUUAAUGCAUUUGGUAGUUGAUUUGCAAGAUUUUGUAAAUGAAUGAUCCUUUGAACUUCUAGUUCACAUUGAUUUGUACGAGGAUCAAGAUGAGACAUAGUAGAUGUCUUCCAACUAAUUUCUCGUCGUUCUUCAGGAAUCGACUUUUCUCCCCCUAAUGACGGGAAAACACUCUCAUUAAAAUGACAAUCUGCAAAGCGAAUUGUAAAAACAUCGUCUAUCAAAGGUUCAAGAUAUCUUAUGAUAGAUGGAGAAUCAAAACCUAUAAAUCCCAAGUCUUAAUUUGAUGACCCAUUUUAGUGCGUUGUGUAGGUGCAAUUGGUACAUAUACUACACAACCAAAGAUUCGUAAGUGAGAGAUAUUUGGUUGUUUUCUAAACACAAGUUGUGAAGGGGAGUAUUCAUGGUAAGUUGUAGGUCGAAUACGGACUAAAGCUGCAACAUGCAUAAUAGCAUGUCCCCAUACGAAAGUAGAUAAUUUGGUUUUUAUUAGUAAUGGCUGAGCCAUUAAUUGGAGACGUUUGAUGAAGGAUUCUACUAAACCAUUUUGGGUAUGAGUUUGCUCAAUAUUUAUUCCUACUGACAUGCAAUAGUCAAUGAAUGUUUGAGAAGUAAAUUCGUCAACAUUAUCAAGACAUAUUGUCCUAAUUGGAUAAUCUAUAAAUUGUGCUCGUAAUCUAAUUAUUUGUGCAAGGAGUCUAUCAAAGGCAACGUUAUGUGUAGAAAUGAGACAAACAUGUGACCACCUAGUAGAAACAUCUAUUAAGAUUAUAAAAUAAUGGAAUGGUCCACAUGGUGGAUGGAUAGACCCACAUAUGUCCCCAUGUAUUCUUUCUAAAAAGAUUGGUGACUCAUAUAUGACUUUAGUAAAAGGUGGUCUGACUAUCAAUUUACCUUGUGAACAAGCAGCACAUGAGUAUUCAUUGGGUGAAAGAAUAUUCUGGUUCUUUAUUGGAUGCCCAUGUGAGUGUUCGAUUAUUCGAUGCAUCAUUAAAGACCUUGGGUGACCUAGCCUAUCAUGCCAAAGGAUAAAAACUUUUGGGUCGUUGAACUUCUGGUUCACGACAACAUAUGAUUCAAUAGACUUUAUAGUUGUAUGAUACAAUCUAGAGAAGAAAGCCGAGAGUUUUUCCAUUAUAAGAUUCUGACCAUAUAUAAUGGAAGUAAUGUAAAGAUAUUCUAUAUUAUCUUCGUUCAUAGUUUUAAUAUGAUAUCCAUUUAUGCAGAUAUCUUUAAAACUGAGCAAAUUUCUUAUGGAUUUUCUAGAAUAUAAAACAUCAUUUAUAUUGAAUCUUGUUCCAGUUGGUAGCGUUAUGUUUGCUUUUCCAAAGUCUUCAACUAAGUUUGUAGUACCAUAUAUGGUACUUACAUUAGCUUUUAUUAAUGUCAAUUCGAGGAAAUAUCUUUUAUCUCGAAGAAUUGUGUGCGUGGUUGCAUAGUCUGUGAGACAUACAUCAUCCUCAUUCAUCUUGAGACCAAAUAACAUAUGGAUUUCAGAUAUAACUAUAAAAAAAAUACAUAAUGUAAAUAACAAAAGAAAAUAAUAUGUAAAUAUAAGACAUACUAAUAUAUUAUUUGAUAUGUAAAGUAACAUUAAUCAAUGUUAAUCUUCUCAUCAUUUAUUAAAUGAUUUGUUUUUUCAUUAAGACCUCCAAAGAAAUCAAUAUCAUAGUAGGUUAGGUCCAAUCCAUCACCAUCGGUAAAGUUCAUCUCUAUCUCUCUUCCUUUUGCUUUUAUUGAUGCUUGGUAAAGAUCGACCAAAUGUUUGGACAUAUGACAGGUAUGCGACCAAUGUCCUUUCAUACCACAUCUAUAACAAUUAUUCUCAUGGUUCUUGGAGGUUUAUCUUGUAAACACUUCCCAUUUUCUUAUUUUGCCUCAGUAUUGUUCCACUUUUGGUGGUGCAAUGAGACUUUCCUUUUCUCAAAAUUUGAUGAAUUAUUACUAUAAAAACCAUAGUAUCGGGGAUUUCUUCCAUGACCACAACCACGUUCUCGUCCUCGUCCACGUUCACGAGUUUGGGACGAUAUUGCAUUCACUUCAGGGAAUGCUUCAGAUCCAGUUGGACGAGACUUAUGAUUUCUUAUCAAAAGCUCAUUAUUUUGUUCAGCAACAAGAAGACAUGAUAUUAAUUUAUAAUAUUUUGUAAAUCUACACUCUUGAUAUUGCUGCUGCAAGAACACAUUCGAAACGUGAAAUGUAGUAAAAAGUUUUCUCUAACAUGUCUUAUUAUGUGAUUUUUUUUUUCUCCACAUAGCUUUAAUUGUCAACUGAUUUUGAAAAGUGCAGAGUUAUAUUCACUAAUAGAUUUAAAAUCCUGCAACCUCAGGUGAAUCCAAUCAUAUCGAGCUUUUAGGAGAAUCACAGUUUUCUGGUGGUCAUAUAUUUCUUUCAAAUUACUCCAUAGAGUAAAAGGGUCAUUUACUGUAAGAUACUCAUUUUUUAAACCUUCAUGGAGGUGAUGUCGAAGGAAAAUUAGUGCUUUUGCGCAAUCGUGCAGGGAUGUUUGAUUUUCUUCUUUGAUCGUAGCUCCUAGGUUCAUUGCAUCAAGAUGUAUUUCAGCAUCAAAGAUACAAGAUAGAUAGUUCUUUCCCAAAAUGUCAAAUGCCACAAAUUCGAGUUUUGUGAGAUUCGACAUUGUCAAAUAACUUUAUAUAUAUGACAAAACAAUAUUAUUAGAAUCAAUUAUAAUAAAUUGAUAGCAUUGGUAUAACCUUGAUUAUAAAAAAAAUCAAAUAAUUUGUUUAUAACUUUUAACAAAACAAAUUAACAAUAAUAUAAAUAUGUAAAAUUUUAUUUUAUAUAAAUAACUUCAAGUUUAAGAUAUGAGAAUUACCUUCAAAGCAAUUCGUGCUGAUAACGUGUUGUAAAACGAUAAUAAAUGUGACUCGAAUAAAAGUAGAGAUGACUAUAUAUUACUUUAAUAGUAUAUAUAAAGAGGAUAAAUAAAUAAAAAAAGAGAAAUGUUGAGAGAAUGAAAGAAAGAGAGAAUGAGAGGAAGAGUGAAAGUUUUUUUUUACUCUGGAUGUUGCUUAUAUGGGGUGUAAGAAGCCUUUUAUAGGUUUCACUAUAUGAACUCUCAUUACUCAUCUUAAAGAUGAGUAAAUGGAGUUCAUAAAUAACUAUCAAUGUGGUCAUUCACCACUUCAUUUAUAACAAUUUAUACUUUAUUCCGAUUAUUAAAUAAUUAGAAAAUUUGGGAUAAGAGAAGGAUGAAAAUACUUGUAAAAUAUGUGAUUAAUUUUAUUUUAUUUUUGUUUAAAAAUUCUAAAACGUGUUUUAUUUCAUCUAGCAAUAUUAGUUGCUAUUUUUUUAAAAAAAAUUUACUCAAUAAUAAUAAAAAUUUACUUUGCAAUUAUAAAAUAUUAUAUAAAAAUCCGAUUUAGAAAUGAUUUGAUUAAUAGCUUGUUGAAAAGUUAUUUUACGAGGGAUUAAAAACACUUCAUAACAUUUGAAAGAGUUCCCUUAUAGAAAAAUUUAAGUGAAUGAAAAUAUAUAUAUAAAAAAUUAUAAUUAAAAAAGCAAAGUUAUGCCUGGUUUCGACAACAUUAAGGAAAAAAAAUUGUUAAGAAAAAUGUUUUAUUUUAUUUUUUUAAUAUUUAAAUACCGAAUAAAAACAAAAUAUAAUUAAAAAUAUUAGACAUUUAUGCAUUUUUAAAUCAUUUAAUUGUUACAUCACAUUGUUAAAAUAAGUAAAGUUAUUUUCAAGUAGCAUAUAAAAUGAAUAAAUCAACUUUAAAUUAUUUUUAAUUUUCGUUAUAUUUUUUCUCUCAACUUUCUUUCAUUUGCAUUUUCCCUCAAAACUUUUAGGAAUUAGAUAAAACCUAAAAAAAAAAAAUUUAAAUAUAUUAAAAAUCAAUGAAUUAUUUUUAUAUGAUACUUCAAAAAUUAUUUAUAUUUACAUUCAAAAAAAUUAUUUAUAUUAAUUAGAACAAUUCUUACUUUCUAUGGGUAUAUCUCUAUAUAUCCACCAAAAAAAUAACUUUUCUAGGACGAAAAAGGACAUUUGAUGAAAUAAUCGAAGUACAAUUAAAGUGAAUAUACAUGGAUCUCCUCUUCUUAGUCGUUCUUUUAUUAUCUUCUAUUUUAUUCAUAUAUGUAAUAAAAAAUUUAAAAAAAUUUAUGUUUUUCAAUAAUAGAUAAAGGUUUUGAUACACUUUACUUCUCGACUUAUCCCAUGUUUUGCACAUUACACCUUUAGAGUAUAUGCAAAACACAAGAUAGGUUGAAGAGGUAAAAUGUAUUAAAUCCAUAGAUAAAUGAAUAAUCAGGUGCAUUGAUGUAAUUUUUUACGACAUAUAUAUAUUGCAUUUCUUUUUGUAUUUCUUGAGAUUAAAAAAAUAAAGUUUCAUGUUUACGAGGUUGUAGGAUGGGACAGUCUAACAUCAUUGGGAACUAUAAUUUUGGACAUACUUUUGAUGUUCAACCUUAUAAGUUUGGACAUCAUGAAACUUUUUUUUUUUUUUUAAAUCUUUUGUUUCCACUUUUCUAUAAUUUUGGACAUACUUUUGAUGUUCAACCUUAUAAGUUUGGACACCAUGAAACUUUUUUUUUUUGUAAUCUUUUGUUUUCCACUUUUCGAAUAAUUUUCACUUCUAGAGCAUUUUUAAAUUAUUCAUUGAUUUUUUUAAAAAAAAUUAUUUUUACUAUAAUUUUUUGCCAAGAUUUACAUAAUCAUAAGACCUUAAAAUAGGUUCAUAUGAUACAAAUAUAAUAUUGAUGUGUGGAUUAAAAAAAAAUGUAUAAAAGAUAAUGGAAUUAGUUUUGAACUUAUCUCAAAUAUUUUUUUGCUAACAAUAAAGCUUUGAAGGAGAUGGUUUAGAUUUGGUUGUUGAGCAAAAAAAAAGGCGAAAAGAAUGACAUGAAGAUUUCAACAACACAGAUCUCGGAACUAAAUUCCAUGACAUGGAUUUCAAGCGUACAAGGUGGCACCUCUUUAAUUAUUAUUACUUUUUUUUUUUCUAAGUAUAAAAUAAAUUAGAUUUUAGACCAUGAUAUCUAAAGGGCCCUAAGAUUGAACAGAAGAAGAUAUUUUGCCAGGAAAUUAAAAUUUUCCAUUGUUUUGAAUUAAUAUUUUAGAUUAAAUCAAUGGAUUUAAACACUAUUAACAUUUUUUGAACUGGAAUUGGAGUUCAACUAGAAACGUAAACCACCAAAUCAUAGAGUGGGCCCUAAGAGAUUUUUUUUUUUUUUUUCAGAAUAAAAAGCACACACGUGAGAUAUCCAUAUCAAAAUAAGCCGUACGUGUCUCAGGAAAUCCCCAUAUGGAAACGCUCGUCUGGAACCUGAUAUGUAAGAUACACAUGGCUAGUGCUUGAAACUCACUUUUUUUUCUGAGCGAUUCUCUGUCCCAAUUUUCUCAAGCCCAUCGAAUCACAUUUUCUCACCUUCCAAACACACUCACUCUAUCUAUACAAACCCUAGCACUUGCUCUGUCGCUUUUGCGAUGACGCAUUCCUCUGCCGCCUUCGCGAACCAGAUUCGGUUCUUGCUUCAGAGCUUGAACGAAGAAAACGCUGACCAUGUUUUCGAGGAGCUCCGUGAGGUACGAUUUUUUAAUCAUACAUUGCUUGUAAAUCAUAAUUAGUUGUUUCACAACCCUAGAAUUUUGUUUUUUUUUUUGGUGUUUUAUUAUUUAUUAAUUUUGUUGAUGGAUCGAGGUUUCUGGAUUUUGGUUGUCCAUUUGGUCAGAUUCGACUCGAUUGAUAGAAUUGUAGGUGGUUUGCCGUCUUGAAAUUGUUAUGUUUGUGCUGGUAGAAUUGGGGAGUGUAGAUUAGUAUAGUGCUUGAAUUUGAUUAAAUCACAAUAAAAUUGGCGAUGUAACAGUGGUUCCUGUGGGCCAGCGAACAAUAGAGAAAUGAAGGAGUUAGUCAGGGUUGAAAUGAAGCCUCUAGGAGUUAUUGAAGUUAUCAUCUGGCCAGAUGAUAAUCUAUGUGGGCAUUAAGGAUGCCAGAGUGUCAUGCGGUAGAGAGGUAGAGUCUCUAAGCAGUUGCCUCUGGGAGCUGGGAUUGAAUUCUACCUUCGCAACCAUUACUGUUCUUAUGGGGUUAUCAGGAAGAGCUGCCUUUGGGUUAUGCAUCCAUUAAGGCCCUUUACAUCUGAAAAGGAAAAUGUUAUCAAACUGGAUAUUUAAAUGUUCUCCCUUUCCAAUGCCCUUGUUUGCUGCGAGUUUUUUCAACUUAAUUUCUGGAUUUGAAGCAUAUAAACUAGAUAAAUCAAUCCUAUUGUUUUGGGUGGUGUGACCUGCUCAUGCUUGGGACUCAAUAAAGUAUUUAUUAAUAAUAGUUGAUAUAUUAAUAUAUCUAGUCACAUCUAUAUGAACAUAAAUUUUGGAAUUUAUGAUUUAAUGCACGAGGGGAAACAAAAUUUCCUUGAUCAAUCUCAAAUAGACGGACUAUGACUUUAUUAAGUUUUCACCAUGUUGUUUCAUCAGAUUGCUUGGUGAUGUUCUUAUCUCUUUUUGGCAGUUUGUUGAUUAUGGAAUUGAAGGUAGUGUGUUACUACUUGAAACCUGCUUAGAUUAUCUGAGUAGGGCAGAGUUGAAGAAUACACAGGUGGAAGCAAUUUUUGCUUCAUUAUUCAAGUACAUCUUUGAUAGACCGAAUUUCUGCACGAUAUUUUGCCAGUCACUAAGAAGUACAGCAAUCAGUGAAAGAUUUCUUGAAAAUCUCUCUAAUACCCUACACUUUUCAGCUUGUGAAAAAAUUGGCAUUGGUCUGGCUCUUUUGGAUUCUGAACAUCUUGAAUUCAGAACGUGUGGUAAGUUGCAGCUUUUCAAUGAGUGCAGGUUGCUAUAUCAACACCUUUUUUACUUUAUUAGUUUCCUUGCAUUACUAGCUUCUUUUAUGUUCGCUGCUUAUGCCAAUCUCGAAACUAAAUUUUGUUUGCUUUCCAGGGAGGAAUUUCUGCAUGGCUCAGAUUGAGGAAUUGUGUGCCAAUCCUGUUCCCAUGAAAUCUGUUGAGCAAAUUCAGAAUAUCAUUAUGUACCUCCAUCAGGCUGAGGGCCUUUACCCGCUUUUAGAUUCCUUUAUACAGAUGUUAUCCUUAGUUCAUUUGGAAAGGGGUGCCUCCUUUGUUUUAGCUCCAUUGCUUUCAGAUGAAUUGCGCAAGGCAAACUUAUUGGGGUACUAAUUAUGUUAUCAAAAAUAGAAAAAAAAAACCUUUUUCUUCUCAAAAUAGCUUUGCAAUUGAUUACGAGCCUUUUUUGUUCAGUUAUUUAUUUUGUUUGACUACUUGUCUAAUUUGCUGCAGAGAUUUGGAUUUGUUCUGUGAAAGCAGGGAAAAUGAUUUUGAUGCUAUUCUAGCAGAAAUGGAGAAGGAAAGAAACGUGGACAACAUUAUGAUGGAACUGGGUUAUGGAUGCACUGUUAAUGCUUUGCAGUGCAAAGAGAUUUUAUGCCUUUUCUUACCACUGACUGAAGCCACCAUUUCUAGAUUACUCGGCACAGUUGCACGCACCCAAGCUGGUCUCGGGGACAAUCAGAACACAUUUGUUGAAUCCCUCUCGGCCCUUGGUAGCAACAGUUUGUCCGAGCUGCCCUUAUUGAGCUCCUGGAAUAUUGAAAUCCUCAUAGAUUCAGUGAAGCAACUUGUUAGUUCUAUUUUACAAUCAUCUUGUUGUAAUUUUGCAAGGAAAAGUGAAUUGUUUGUUCCUAAGUAUUUAUUUUGAAUACAGGCUCCAGGGACCAACUGGAUAGGUGUUAUUGAAAAGCUAGAUCACGAAGGAUUCUAUGUGCCAAAUUAUGAUGCAUUCUCUUUUUUGAUGGCUGCUUAUAGACAUGCAUGUCCGGUAUGUUUUAUAACAUGAAUGUGAAAAGUUACAAAGCUUGCUAAGUACAUUUUAUUGAGAUUGGAAAGUGAACUUAGGAGUUUCUUCCAUGUUAGUCUGAAGCUGUUAAACUGAGUUAUGCAGGAUCAAUUUCCACUGCAUGCUAUUUGUGGAUCUGUUUGGAAGAAUGUUCAAGGCCAGCUAUCUUUUCUUAAAUAUGCUGUAUCAGCACCACCAGAAAUAUUUACGUUUGCACAUUCUGCAAGACAACUGGUAUGAUACUUUUUGUGUUCAGUUCUUCAUUAUGGAUUGUCUGGUUGAUGGUGUGACUAGCCAAUUAUUCUUGCAGGCAUAUGUUGAUGCUGUGUAUGGCCAUAAAUUCCAACUUGGGCAUGCAAAUCAUGCAUGGUUAUGUCUUGACCUUUUGAGUGUGUUGUGUCAACUGGCUGAAAGAGGUCAUGGUAGUUCUGUCCAAUCAAUGCUUGAGUAUCCUCUAAAACACUAUCCUGAAAUCCUGCUUCUUGGACUUGCGCAUAUUAAUGUAAUGUUCUUUUUGUUAUGUGCAUUUUUGUUAUAUGGUUUCCUAUUAUUUCUCCAUGUAAUACCUGUUGAUUGAUAAAAAAAAUUUUGCAUUGGUUUCUGCAGACUGCAUAUAAUGUCCUCCAAUAUGAAGUGUCUUCCAUUGCUUUCCCCUUGAUAGUUGGGAAUUCCAUGGGAAAUGGUAUGAUUCUUCACCUCUGGCAUGUUAAUCCUGAUCUUGUACUGCGGGGAUUUGUAGAUGUUCACAUCAUUGAUCCAAACAACAUGACUAGAAUUUUGGAUAUCUGCAAGGAGCUAAAGGUAAAAAUUGGAGUGGACUUGGUAUUUGUCCUUAUCACACUAUCUUUUUCCCCUCCUAAGUGCUUGUAUGUUUCUUUACUUUUGUUAGUGUUUAUUAAAGGUUAUGAUUUGAUUGGACAUGUUGAUCUAGAUAGUGGGUUAGUGGAAUAGAAUUGUCUAGGUGACCCAAAUUGGGAUUAUUAUGGAACAUAAUUUGUGCAAGUGAUCCGAAUAAGCAGGAUAAUGCACUCUUCAGCUGAGUUUAAUUGUAUCAUAUGAGUGCAUCUUGUUUGUUUGGUACAUCACCUAGCUUAUUUGUUUUCCUGCUCUCACCAUUCUUCUGCCAUCCGCUUUUAGGUAGCGCCUUUUUGAGGUAUUUUUAUCUUGAACUCUUUAUGUUCCUAGGGAGGUGUAUUGCAUAUUGCUUUAAGUGAUGUCUUUCUCCAAUAGAUACUGUUUAGCUAAUUGAGAACUUCCGUCUCAUCCUAAGAAAGAGGAUGGUUUGGGACUAGGCUAUGUAAUCUUGAGUUAAGGCUUGCAUUUAUAAAUGGUUGUGAAGGUUUCCUUGAGAGAUAAAUUCUCUGUUGCAGCUUGUGAUUAAAAUUAUGGCUUGUAGGAUAAUGGUUGGGGCAACAACUUUGAUGCAAAGGGAUGUUAAUGGGGGCAGAUUUGGGGUGGGGCCUCCUAUCAUGUCCCUGGCUGAUUAUUUAAGAUGUUUUCAUCAUCAUCUUCCCAAACUCAAAUUAGGGCAGUGAGGUACAGGAAUUUCCAUACUCACAUUGGGCCUUCGCCCCAUUAAUCUUUUUAAUGGUUAAAAGUUUUUUUUUUUCUCCAAACUUUUAAAUAAAUAAAUUAAGUUAUCCAUAGAUUUGUAUUUUUUUUUUUAUCAGAGACAAACAUAUGUAUUAAUUAAGAAUAAAUAAAACAUGAGAAGGAUGAGAAAUCCUCCUCAUGAAAUAUAGACCUAAUAAAAAAGAACUAAGUAAACCUCCUCAAUACAAGGGACUAAACAAAAUGAACAAAAAGUCUAUACAAGUGUAACAACUCUUGGCCCUAUAAACCCUACCCUAAGGUGUGCAAAUCAAAAAGCAACUAAGCUGAAUUACACUCAAAGGAUAGAGUUUAAAAAUGUUUGUACAGUAAGCCCAAAAAGAAACAAAGAAAUGAAAUACAUCCCACAUCAUCUCUAGCGUCUUCCAAGUGUCCUAAAAAAUCCUAGCGUUCUUCUUUCUCCAAACAAUCCAUAACGAAAACAAACACACGAGCCUCCAAAGAGUCUUGCCUCUGAUAUAGUUUCCAAGACACUUGAAAAAAAUCACCAUCAUAUCAAGAAUACUGUCUAGCUGAACCCACGCCAUCCUCGUUGUGAGAAAAUUCUAUGCCACAAUCCCAAAGUAAUUGAAUAAUGUAAGAAGAGAUGAUCAACCGUCUAAUUACUUCUCUUAUAAAGGAUGCACCAAUCAUGGCUAAGGGCUAAGUGUCCUCAAUAAUAGAUUUGUAUCUUUUAUUUAUUUUUAUGGGAAGUAAACUUACAUUUUCAUUUUAUACUUGCUCAAAAGGGGAAAAGAUGAAAAAAAUUAAAUUAGACUAAAUUUUAUUUUAUUUUAUUAAUAAUUGGGGUGGGGAAAGGUUGGUCAAUGUAGUCCCCAAUUCCACACUAAGUUUAAAAACAAAAUCCUAAACUUGCUUUAUUUAAACCUCAACAAAACUUAUUCUAUAGAAGAACAUUGUGGGUGGAUCCUUGAAAAUACCUACCUUGUUGUCAUCCUAAUCAAUGCCAUGUGUUGAGGUGCUAUACUGAUUUGCAUCCAAAUUCAUUUGUUUUAUUUAUUUAUUUAUUUAAUUAUUAUUAUUUAUUUUAUAGGUAAAUAUAGAAAUGUAUAGAUUAAAAAUAGAAAAAGAUACACCGGAGUACACAAGACGUAUACAAAGAGCACAAAAAGGAAGGCCUCGAAAAAGUACACAAAAAACCCUUAAGAAACUCAAGGAGACCCAACUUACUCUACAAAAUCAAACAAAGACAUUGAACCUUCUCUUAUAUAUAAGCUAACCUAAGCAGAAAGGUUACAAAGGAACACAAGUUUUAACUCUUGAUCGUUUGUUCCUUAUCCUCAAAAGCUCUUUGAUUAUGUUCCUUCCAGAUUGUCCAAAAUAUGCGAAGGGGGGAGGCUUUCCACACCUUUUUCCUUUUCUUCCCUACAAAGGACACAUACCAACUUAAAAGGAUAUCUUUGAUCGAGGAAGAGAUCACACAAUCUACACUAAAAAGGGAGAACAAAAGGUGCCAAAGAAUCCUUACUUUGGAGCAGUGAAGAAGAAUAUGAUCAAUGGACUCUUCCUCCUAUUUGCUCAAAAAGUAUCUAUUCAUUACUGAUCACCCUCUCUUCUAAAGAUUGUCUAAGGUCAAAACUUUUCCUCAACUUGCUUCUCAUGCCAAAAAAACUCACCUUAGAUUGGACCCAUGGGUUCCAAAUAAUGUUCUUUUGCAAAAGGACCGCCUUUUCCACCUUUAAGGUUGUAUAGAAAGAUUUGAUUGAAAACAAUCCUUUUUUUUUUUUUUUUUUUGCUUCUUUCCAUAUCAUCUUGUCAUUAACUUCCCUUAUAAUCCUCUUUGUUUGCAACAAUGGAAAAUUUUUUUCAACAACUUCCAUUUCCCAAUCAUUAACAUGCUUUGUGAAUAGCGGAGACCAAAGUCCCUCCUCCAAAGUCUUUCAACAAAUCCGCCACCCAAGCUUUCUUUGACGAGGCUAAAGCAUACAAAGAGGGAAAGGAGUUACACAAGGGCUCCUUUGCACACCAUUUAUCCGUCCAAAACUUAAUCUUUUUGCCAUCACCCAUUUCAAACGAGGUUUUUCUAAAGAAUAGAUCCCAUCCCUUCCUUAUAGCUUUCCAAACACAAACCCCACAACUACCUCUCACUUCACAAGGGUGCUAACCUGCUCCUUCCUUCCCAUUCUACCCCUCUAUAAUUUGCUUCCAUAAAACUUCCCCUUUAGGUUUAUUCACAACACCACUUUCCAAAGAGGGCUUGAUUUAGCAAAGAGACUCUUCUACUACCCAAUCCCUUAUUUCUUUUAUCCUUACAAAUAGUAGACCAACUAACCAAGUGAAGCUUCUUUUCCAAAUUCCUACAUCUCUAAAGAAAGUCCUUUGAAUUUUUUCUAAUCUCAAUCUUACCUUUCUAGGGAUUACAAAAAAGGACAUGAAGUAGAUUGGCAAGCUUGACAAAAUACUUCUAAUCAAAGUAAGUACUCCCUGCCCUUGAGAUGUAUUGUCUUUUCUACUUCGAAAGUCUUCUACAAAACUUCUUCUCCACUUUGUUCCAAACUGUUUUAGACUUGCAAGAGGCUCCUAGAGGCAAUCCUAAGUAAAAAGAAAGAAUUUUCCCCACCUGGUAGUAGCCCAAUUCUAUUGCCAAAACCUCUACAUCUAUAACCCCCCCAAUUGGGAUCAAUUAGUUUUUUUCAAGAUUAAUUUUAAGCCCUAAUAAAUCCUCAAAUCACAUGAGCAACCGACUUAGAUGAACCAAUUGAUCUUAUGAAUCUUAAAAAAAGACCACAGUAUUAUUUGGAAACAAAAGAUGAGAGACUUCCAUCCCCUCUCUCCCCUUCCCUCCUCCUUCCACCCCCCCACCCUACUCGAAAACCUAACAAGGAGCCCCCCUCCCUUGUCCUCUCCAACAACCAACUCAACACCUCCAUGGCCAGGACAAACAAAAAAAGGGAAAAAUGGUCCCCUUGUCUCAACCGUCUUGAACUCUAAAAGAAACUUGAAGGAGUUCCAUUUACUAGCAUUGAAAACUUUGUUGUGGAAAUACACCAAUGUAUCCAUGUAAUCCAUUUUUGGCCAAAAGCCUUUUUUUUCUAUAAUUGCUAAUAAGAAAGCUCAAUUGACAUGGUCAUAAGCUUUUCUAACAUCUAACUUAUUAAUGACACCAUUAGUACCAUUCUUCUACAAAGAAUUGAUUACUUCAUUUGCUAUAAGGUUCAUAUCUAAAAUUUGUCUCUCUUCUACAAAAAUAGGAUUGAAUUAGGCUAUAAUACUCCUCAAUAGAAGAGAAAAAGAAAACGAUCAGAAAAAAAAAAGUGAAACAAGGCAAAAACAAUAUUGCAAUACGAAAAAUAAAAAAACAUGAGUGGAGCUAAUAUGAAUGGGCAACGACGAGUAUGGCUGGAAAAAAAAACACCUAAUGACAUUUUUUUUUUUUUUUUUUAACAGAUGAAAAACAGAGGAGAAUAGAAAAAAAAAUAGUAAGGAAUCGAAUUUGAUACCAUGUGUGCAACCAUGGAGAAACUAGAAUAAACGAUUUUAUUGAGGAAGACUUUUUCUGAUACUUUACAAUAUCAGUAGAUACAAAAUAUAUAAGAAAAAAUAUAUCCAACUAGAACUCCUAGAAAUCCUAGAAAAAAAAAUAUUACUUUUUUUUUUUUUCUUAUCCAAAAAAAAAAAAAAAAGAACUCCUAGAAAUCGGUUGUAAUAUACAUGAAAAUACAUUAAAGAAUAAUAUUUAUUUUCUUAAUUCUGAUCCUAUCCUUCAUUGCCCAAAAAUUUUAUGUUUAAAUUAGGAAGAAAAUUUGACGUUAAUUGUCGGAAGUCAAAGAAUAAUAUGAGCUAUUUUUCUACAUCAUUUAUGAUUGGAAAUGAAUGUAGUGCUGAGUUCUUAGAGGAACUUUGAUAGGGAGACUAGUCUAUCAAAGAGUCUUUCUCUUGUCCUUCUAGGCACCUUUAGAUUCAAAGAAUCACUAAUUGUUGACCUUCUUGUUUGUUUAAGUGACUCCUUUUCAUUUUAUCAAAACCUUUUCAGAAAUUUAAAAUGAUUGUGGAACUUUGGCUUGCUUUCCUUGUCAAACCUUAAUUGAUGCCUAUUUAUUUAAUUGUGUGGCGGUGCUCAUUAGGUCAUUAUUUUUCUUAAAAAUCAUUUUUUCAUUGUUUCUCCUAACAUAUGAGUCUGUUAUCCCUUUUCCUAUUGGGAAACCAUCUAGAGUUGAGCAAGUUGCAUCUUGUGAAAUGGAAGACAAUUUUCAUGAAUAAAAAGUGUGGAAGGUUGGGAAUAAAAAUUGGGAUUUUGUAAAUUGCACCUUUCUUUGUAAAUGGUGUGUUAUGUAUGUUGAAAGAGAGAGAGAAAAAACCUUAAUUCUCAUUCAUAUAUUAAAUUCUUACAAUAGAGUAAUAUAUAUGCAAGGCUAGAUUGAACUAACUACCAUAUAUGUGACCUAUAUUAAGAAAGGAAAGAAAGAUUGUACACUAUAAAUACAUUAUAUUCAACACUCCCCCUCAAGCUGGAGCAUUUAUGUCAUAUGCACCAAGCUUGUUACAAAUGUAUUUAAUUCUAGCGCCUUUGAGAGAUUUAGUGAAGAUGUCUGCUAGUUGAUCAUUUGAAUUAACAAAACUUGUAGCAACACACCCUGAUGCGAUCUUCUCUCAAAUGAAGUGACAGUCAACUUCAAUAUGCUUGGUCAUUUCAUGAAAGACUGGAUUGGAUGCAAUAUGUAAUGCAACCUGAUUGUCACAGACUAGCUUUAUCUGUUCAUCUUUUCCAAAUCUCAAUUCCUGAAAGAGUUGCCUCAACCAUAUGAGUUCACAUGUUGCCAAAGCCAUAGCUCGAUACUCAGCUUCAGCGCUUGAUCUGGCUACUACAUCUUGUUUCUUACUCUUCUAGGAUAUUAAGUUACCUCCAAUAAAAACACAGUACCCUGAGGUGGAAUGCCUAUCUGAGGGUGAACCAGCCCAGUCUGCAUCUGUGUAACCAACAAUUUGGGUAUAGUCCCUGUCUUCAUACAACAUACUUUGGCCUGGUGUUCCUUUAAUAUAUCGAAGAAUGCGGAUCACAUCAUCCCAAUGGUUGUCACAUGGUGACUGUAGAAAUUGACUAACCACACUCACAGGAAAAAAGAGAUGUUUGGCCGAGUGAUGGUGAGGUAGUUCAGUUUGCCUACAAGUCGUCGAUAUCUCCCAGGAUCUCUUAGAAGCUCCCCCUGUCUUGGUACAAGUUUGACAUUUGGAUCCAUAGGAGUUUCAACAGGUUUACAUCAUAACAUAUCUGUUUCUUCCAAGAUGUCUAAGGCAUACUUCCUUUGUGACAUAACCACACCUGAACUAGAUUGAGCUAUUUCAAGUCCCAGAAAGUACUUGAGUUUGCCCAAGUCUUUGGUUUGAAAGUGGUUGAAAAAGUGGUGCUUUAGUCUUUGGAUACCCUCCUAAUCGCUGCCUGUAAUGACAAUGUCAUCCACAUAAACCACCAAAUAGAUGCACUGAUUCAAAGAGUUAUGAUGAUAGAAAACUGAAUGAUCCGCUUCACUCUGAAGCAUUCCAAAUUCUUGAACAACUGAACUAAAACGCCCAAAUCAUGCCCGAGGAGAUUGUUUCAAGCUAUAUAGAGAGCGGUGUAACUUGCACACUAAACCAGGUGGUUGCUCCAUAUACACUUCCUCGAGAAGUUCACCAUGAAGGAAAACAUUCUUAAUAUCCAACUGAUAAAGAGGCCAAUGACACAUAGCUGCCAUGGGGAGAAAUAAGCGAACAAAAGCAAUCUUGGUAACAGGAGAGAAGGUGUCACCAUAGUCACAACCAUAAAUCUGAGUAUAACCUAUAGCAACCAAGCGGGCCUUAAGGCGAUCAACCGGACCAUCAGGACCAACUUUAACAGCAUAGACCCAACGACAUCCAAUUGUAGAUUUACCAGGAGGUAAAUAAACAAGAUCUCAUGUGCCAUUGGAGUGCAGAACAGCCAUUUCAUCAACCAUUGCCUGUCACCACCCAGGAUGAGAAAGUGCCGCACUAGUGCUCUUAGGAAGAGAAACAGAGGAUAAAGUAGAGACAAAGACAGAAUAGGAUGAAGAUAAUCGAUGGUAGUUCAAAAAAUUAUAAAUAGGAUGAGGAUUACGAGUAGAUCGAUUAUCUUUCCGAAGAGCAAUAGACAAAUGGUCGGUAGAUGACAGGGCCGGGGUAGGAGAAAUUGGUGGGACAGGAAGUGAGUCAUCAGGUACCUCAGCUGAAGAGAGAGGAGGAGCAACAACACAAUGUCGACGAUGAUAAACCUGAAGAGGAUGAGAGAACGCAUCUGAAGGGGGGGAUAUAUAGGGAAGUGGCAAUACUUCAAAAAUGGAAAGAGAUUAAGAAGAUGAGAAGAAUGGAGAUGCCUCAAAGAAGUUGACAUCAGAGGAGAUAAAAUAACGAUGAGUGUCAGGGGAAUAACAACGAUAACCCUUUUGAAGUCGAGAGUAUCCCAAGAAGAUGCAUUUCGUAGCCUUGGCGGAGAGCUUGUCCUGUCCAGGUGUGAGAGUAUGAACAAAACAAGUAUAGCCAAAGACACGAGGAGGAAGGAAAUAAAGAGGUUGGGUAGGAAAAAGGAGGGAAUGAGGGAUUUGGUCAUAUAAUAUAGAUGAGGGCAUACGAUUAAUCAAGUAACAGACUGUAAGAACAACAUCCCCCCAAAAAUGAAAAGGAACAUGACUAUGGAGAAGGAGGGUACGAGCUGUCUCAACAAGAUGUCGAUUUUUACGUUCAGCAACCCCAUUUUGUUGUGGAGUAUGAGCACAAGAUGACUGAUGGAGGAUCCCAUGUUGGGACAUAAAAGAAGUAAAGGGUGUAGAAAAAUAUUCCCAAGCAUUGUCAUUGCGUAACGCUCGAAUAGAAACAUUGAAUUGUGUUUGGAUUUCAACAUAAAAUUUAUGGAAAAUAGAGAAUAACUCAGCUCGAUUUUUCAUUAAAAAUAAUCAAGUACAUCUUGAAUAGUCAUCAAUGAAAGUGACAAAAUAUUGAAAUCCUAAAGUAGACGUGGUUCGGCAUGGACCCCAAACAUCAGUGUGGACAAGUUCAAAAGGAGACUUUGCCCGAUUAUUCAAACGCUUUGGGAACGAGACACGAGUAUGUUUCCCAAGCUGACACGACUCACACGCAAGCGACAACAAAGUGGAAAAACGAGGGACCAUCUUCUGGAACUUGGAGAGACUAGGAUGACCCAGACGACUGUGAAUGAGAAGAGGAGCAUCGGUGGAAAUGCAAGCUGCAGGAGAUGAAGGUGAUGUGAGGUGAUAGAUGCCUUGAGACUCACGCCCUAUGCCAAUCGUCUUCCCCGUACUCCGGUCCUGCAAGAUGAUAGAUUUAUAAAAAAAAAGUGAUAGAACAGUCAAGAGUGCGAGUUAUUUUGCUGAUGGAAAUAAGAUUAAAAGGACAUUCAGAGUCAUAAAGGACAGAAUGGAGAGGUAGGGAAGAGAGAGGAUGAGCCAAACCAAUACCUUUAGCCAUAGUUUGGGAACCAUUAGCUAAAGUAACAGUAGGUAAGGCAGAGGUAGUAGUAAUAAAGGAGAAAAAGUGUUUAUUACCAGAGAUAUGGUCAGAUGCUCCAGAAUCUAGAAUCCAUGGGCCAAGAGAAGGAGAUUGUGUAAAGCAGACAAAGAUAUUACCGGUCUGGGCAACAGAAGCUGAUGUGGCUGCCUGAUAUCGGAGAUAGGCAUCAUAAUCACUACCAAUCAUUUUUUCCGAUGUGAUAGUGGGAGAUCCAGAGAUGACGGAUGUAAAAAUAGGAUUUUUAGUCGCCAUAUCCACUUCACCUGAGAUUGAAUCAUGUUUGGAUCGAAGAGAGCCCUAAAGGGAGGUCGGAUCACAGCUGUGGAAGAAGAACUUGGUAUGUCGGGACCCAAACAAAGGAGAAAAGGACUGGAGAUGAAGAAGAGGCCAACCUAAGGCACACACAGGUCUCGGCCAAGGAAGGGAGUUGCUUUCAGAGGCUGAAAGAAGACUUGCGGAGGCUGAAAUGCCAAAAAAAUGGAGAAGCAGGGUUUGGAGAGGACUGACGGAGGCUUAGAAGUGUAAGAUGGUGUCGGAUGAGCCUGCUGGUAGAAGCUCGGCACCAGAAAGUGGGCCACGCGCUGGCGUGUGGGAUUUAGGCUGCCGGAGAAAAACGGCGCGUGGAUCGAUUUUUGGCUCCGGUGCUUUGAAAAAAGUUGCAUAUCUCUUCUUUGCGCUCCUGAUGAUGUGGUCGGUGUCGGAAAAUAUCGUCUGGAAAAAAAGUCGUCGGAAAAGUCUCUGGAAAAUAUCACCGGAAAAAUGUUGACGGUGAUGAGGGUUUUCUGACCACGAUAUGGCUGACUAGAAAGCUUUGAGAGAUGGAAAAGGUGACCGGAAUGAAACACGGUCACUCGACGGAUUCCCGGAAUUAAUUACACGGGUAAACCAGAAAGAAUAAAGUUUUCUCCCUUGACUCUGAUACCAUGUUGAAAGAGAGAGAGAGAAAACCUUAAUUCUCAUUCAUAUAUUAACUUCUUACAAUAGAGAAAUAUAUAUACAAGGCUAGGUUGAACUAACUACCAUAUAUGUGACCUAUAUUAAGAAAGGAAAGAAAGAUUGUACACUAUAAAUACAUUAUAUUCAACAAUGUAGUCGAGCAAUUAAAGGCAAGUUUGGAGAAAGAGAUGUGGGAUGGUGCACUAGAGGUGGGGGACUUUUGGGAUGGGGUUGUGGAAUGGCAUCAUAAGAAGUUGGAAAGAGUUUAGUCUUGGAGUCUUUAUUUAGGUUAGAAAUGGAUUGAGAACCAAAUUUUGGAUGGACAGGUGGUUAGGUGAAUGCCUUUCAAAAGAGGCUUUUUGUUAGCUCUUUAGAAUCACUUUCACCAAAGAUGCUAAAUUUGGGAGGUUGGAGAGGAAGAUGAUUUUUGGGUGUUCUAGCUUUUGGAAGCAUUGUUAGGAUUGGGAGCUGGGAGGUCUGCCAGUUCAUGACUUGCAUGAAUGAGGCUCAGAUUUUAUGGAGAGGAAGAGGAUAACCUUUUGUAGAAGGAGAGACUGGGGGAAGGUUCCAUGUAAAGUCUUAUUAUAGUUUCCUUUGCACAGUGUCCUCAAAUCUGUUCCUUGCCAAAGAGGUCUGGGGUGCUUGUGCUCCCUUGAGAGCAUAUAUAUAUAUAUAUAUAUAUAUUUUUUUUUUCUUAUGAGGAGAAAGAUUUUGUUUCCCUUUGUCUGUUUUGAUGCAUCUAGAAAGAACGUAAGAGUAGGACCUUCUAGGGGCAGGAGCUAAGAUAAAAAAUUGAAAUAAGUUUUCAACAAGUCUCUUAUGGAGUGGUAUAGGGCAUUGCUGGAGCUAGCAAACUGUCAUUAUUGAAUUUUAUUGAUAGCUGAAGUUGGGAUUUGUUUAUGUUUUGAGCAGACUAUUUCUUUCCAUAAUUGGUUUUCAUCUCCUUUGUGGUGCCUCUUAAAUAACCCCCUUGUGCAUAGGGUGAGCCCUUUUUGUUUGGUAUUUUUUUAAAUCUCAUUUAUUUGCCAAUUAAAAAUAAAAAGAGCAUUGUUAUCUUUUUCAUGCUAAUCUGGAGGACUAAAAUUCUCUUGAAAUCAAGACGUAUAAGAGGUUCAAUACUGAGGAGAGACACCAAAUUAGAAUACUUGAUAACUCCUUUUGCUUUAAUGAGUUAUAAGAGAAAGCAAAUGACAUUUUUUAAAGAAAAGCCAUGUGCAAAUUGUAUGAAGCAACUCAAGUUGCUAUUGUUGGACCAACUAUGUAGAAGUGGGAAAGAGCCAUCCUAAUUAUGCUCCUUAAAAAGGUCCAUUUUGAGAUUGUGUGUUGCAUUUGUGAAAAGAUAGAAAAGGGAGAAUCCCUAAUUUUUGUUAUUAAAAACUGUUAAUAAUACACAUUGGACUUGAGUAUAUAUAUACAUGUUAGUGGGACCCACAAUACAAUAAGGAAAGAAAAGGAAAAGUAAAUAACUGAAAUAACUGUACACUAUUUAACACUCCCCUUCAAGCUGGAGCAUAUAUGUUAUAUGCACCAAGCUUGUUACAAAUGUAUUUAAUUCUAGGACCUCUGAGAGAUUUAGUAAAAAUAUCUGCUAGUUGAUCAUUUGAAUUGACAAAACUAGUCGCCACACAUCCUGAUGCAAUCUUCUCUCUAAUGAAGUGACAGUCAACUUCAAUGUGUUUGGUCCUUUCAUGGAAGAAUGGAUUGGAUGCAAUAUGCAAAGCGGCUUGGUUGUCACAGAUGAGCUUCAUCUGUUCAUCUUUUCCAAAUCUCAACUCUCGAAGAAGAUGUUUCAGCCAUAUGAGUUCACAUGUUGCCAGAGCCAUAGCUCGAUACUCGGCUUCAGCACUAGAUCUGGCCACUACAUCUUAUUUCUUACUCUUCCAGGAUAUUAGGUUACCUCCAAUAAAAACACAAUACCUGGAAGUGAAACGUCUAUUUGUGGGUGAGCCAGCCCAAUCUGCAUCUGUGUAACCAGCAGCCUGGGUAUGACCUCUGUUCUCGUACAACACACCUUGGCCUGGUGUGCUUUUGAUAUAUCGAAGAAUGCGGAUUACAACAUCCCAAUGGCUAUGACAUGGUGACUGUAGGAAUUGACUAACAACACUUACAAGAAAAGAAAUGUCUGGACGAGUAAUGGUGAGGUAGUUCAAUUUACCUACAAGUCGCCGAUAUCUCCUAGGAUCUCCUAAAGGCUCCCCCUGUCCUGGUAUAAGUUUGACAUUUGGAUCCAUAGGAGUGUCUACCGGUUUACAGUCUAACAUACCGGUUUCUUCCAAGAUGUCUAAAGCAUACUUCCUUUGGGAAAGAGCCACACCGGAACUGGAUUGAGCUAUCUCAAUCCCUAAGAAAUACUUGAGUUUCCCCAUGUCUUUAGUCCAAAAGUGGGUGAAAAGGUGUUGCUUUAGUUUCUGAAUACCAUUAUGAUCACUGCCUGUAAUGACGAUGUCGUUCACAUAAACUACUAGAUAAAUACACUGCCCCGAAGAGUUAUAAUGAUAGAAAACGGAAUGGUCUGCUGUACUGCGGAACAUGCCAAACUCCUGAACAAUAGAACUAAAAUGGCUAAACCAUGCUCGAGGAGAUUGUUUCAAGCCAUAUAGAGAACGGCGUAACUUGCACACUAAACCAGACUCCCCCUAAGCAACAAAACCAGGUGGUUGCUCCAUAUAAACUUCCUCAGCAAGAUCCCCAUGAAGGAAAGCAUUAGGAGAUGGGAAAGGUGACCGGAAUGAAACAUGGUCACUGAAAGGUUUCCCAGAAUUGAUUCACGGAUAAACCGGAAAUAAUUAGGUUUUUUUUCUCCCUAGGCUCUGAUACCAUGUGAAAAGAGAGAAAAGGGAGAAUCCCUAAUUUUUGUUAUUAAAAACUGUUAAUAAUACACAUUGGACUUGGGUAUAUAUAUAUAUAUGUUAGUGGGACCCACAAUACAAUAAGGAAAGAAAAGGAAAAGUAAAUAACUAAAAUAACUGUACACUAUCUAACAACAUUGAAUUGCUUUUAUCAUCCAAAUGAAAAAAGAUAUUCAGGUUGGACCAUACUGCUGAUUAUCCCUUCAAAAUAGAUAAAAAUGUGCUAAUAUUUUGGAGUUUUCAUUGCUUAGAUUUUUUUUUUUUUUUAAUAAAUUAAACCUUUUGUAUUUCAAAUAUUUUUGUAGCUCUUUUUGUUUAGUCAAACUGUUUUCAUACUUGUAUUCCUUUUUUGUGGUGCAGAUUCUAUCACAAGUAUUGGAAUUAAUUCCUUCUCCUUUCAGUAUCAGACUUGCUGCCCUUGCUUCUCGACACGAACUUGUGGACCUUGAGAAGUGGUUGCCUGAUAAUUUAACCACAUACAAAGAUAUUUUCUUUGAGGUAAAAAAAAAGAAAAAGCAGGGAAUGGUAGCCAUGAGCUUCUACAAGCUUUGUUAUUCAUAUUUUUUUUGAUUUAAAGAUAUGAUAAAUAAUAAAUGGGUGACAUACAUAGUGUUGCUUUCCAGGAGUGCCUUAAGUUCUUAAGGGAGAUUCAAUUUGGUGCAGCACAAGUUUCUUCCAGUUCUUUCCAUCAUUCUGGUGCCAUCAUGGAUCUUUAUUCAGAGACAAGUUCUACCUUCUUGAAGGUUCUUCUCAAAAAGUUUGUUGUAGUGAACCAUGUGUAAUUUAUUACCAGUUACAUGUAACAUUGUAGUCUGCCUUUUUAUUUUGCAGGUCCUUCAUGCUCAUACUGGCUUGGUUACCUCUAGCCAGCUUUCUGAAGAAAUGGAAAGGCUGCAUGUAACAAUUAUGCGUGCUAAUCCUAAAUUUCAGAGCUGUGGGGCUACGGAUUCAUCAAUCUCUGAUCGAUAUGCAGAGGAUAUUGAGGCAGAAUCAAACUCCUACUUCCUUCAAAUGUAUUCUUGCCAGCUGACUGUUGAUGCAGUUGUUUUAAAGCUUUCUCAAUUCAAGGAGUCUUCUGAGAAAAGGUGUGAUGUUUUUUAUGGAUGUUGUGUCUGAUACCAUGUCUUAUAUAAUUCUCUGCUUUUUCUAAAGUCAUUUCAGUUUUUAGAGUUUACUCUCUUCUUGUUGUCGCCCUUUUUCCACUAUGCUACUGGAAUAUAGCCCUAGGUGUUCUUGUCAUGGUAAAGUCACAGUAUAUUGAAUGUCCAAUAUCUAACAAACGAACUUACUAAUCUCACUUUUUGAUGGUCAGUAUUUUUGAUCUAAUUUUUAUUGUAUGAUAAUCUGUACCUUCCCAGUGAAGUAUACAAAUGAUUCUGAUUCUUUACAUUAUGCUGACCUACUUCUAUUACAUUAUGAUGACAAUUAGUUGCAAUUCAAUUAUGUUGAAAAUUUGAUAUGCAUGCUAUCUUCCCAUUACCUGGAUGGUUAAGUUGUGAACUAAAAAAAAUUUGGUUGUUUCCAUGUUUUAUAUAUUUUCUUUAAAUCAAGAUCGACGUUGGUGUCUGUGCUUGGAGUUUUGGUUUGUAAACUUAUCAUUUUCCUAAUAAAAUAAUAUCAACUGGGAGUCUUUUACCAAAAUUCCAUGAUGCCAAUCAACAUGGAGGUUUUUUUUUUAUUUUGGUGUGUGUGUGUGUGUGUAUGUGUUUCAUCAGAAUUCACUUUUUGAAUGAGAACAGUGAUCUAAAUGACUGUUGUGCAAACUGACAGGGAACAAUUAAUUUAUGAAUGCAUGAUUGCAAAUCUCUUUGAAGAAUGCAAAUUCUUCCCCAAGUAUCCUGAGAGGCAGCUCAGAAUUGCUGCAGUUCUUUUUGGUGAGUUUUCUUUAGAAUUUAUAACUCUAUUUUGUGUUUAUUGUACCCAAAAGAAGAGAAGAAAUUUUCAGGUAGUGUUUCCAUGAUUUGGUUUAUCUUAAUUUUUUUUUUCAAAAUUUUAUAUAUAAUUUUUAAAUUUCAAGUGUUAUUCUUGAAAGGCUUGGUUUGAUAUGUCACUUUGCGUAUUCCAUUGGUUGGAAGAAUUGGUAACUUAGCCAAAAGCUAGAGGAAAAGUACUAUUCAAGUGUUAAGAAUCUUUUAAAUGUUUCGUAUACAUUCCAUGUAUACCUAUUGCAUGCCUUUUAUAUGCCUAUUGAUUUAUUUUUAAUCACCUACAAAAAGGUUAAGUUAUCAUUUUCUUGAAACAUUCUCAUAAUUCUCUAGGGCCUCAUGCUGAUAAUGUUCAUGGCUAUUUAGGGAUAGACACCAUGGGGGUACCUUGAAUCUCAAAAUUGGUAAAAAAAUUUCUUUAAUGGCUUCUUUUAGUGAUCAAAAUGUUGUCUUCCAGAGUGAUCUUCGCUCAUUCUUUUGUAAAGAACAACUAGGUAUGCUUUAUCGACAUGGAAAAACUCUUAUUUAUUUUUACUCGUCACAGUAACCAACUGCACAUCGUUGGUGAUUUGUGCCAAAAUUUUUCAUUAUGAAGUAAGUUUUUUUAACUUUGUUAUGAUAAAAGUGCAACUCUGUGCAAGAAACCUGUCUGGAAUAUAUGGUAGUUUUCUUGAUAGUGGUUUUAUGCUUUGUUACUCAAUAAUUUUCUGUAAAGGAUUAAUUCUUGCUGUAAAUAGGUAGGAAUUAGAUGAACGUGUAUCAGUGUGUUCUAUAGAAUGAUGUAGUGGUUUAUCCUUUUUUUGAUAGGUAAUCUUGUGUCUCCUUGUAUUAAAAUGCUUUAAAAUUCUUGAAUUUGAUUAAAAAUUACUUAUGAUGGCAUAUGACCUAUUGUAUGCAAACCUUAUUGUGGAAGAAUGUAAUUAAGAAAGAUUACAACGGUAUAUUUUUGUAAUUAGGAGAGGAUUAGGAAAAUCCCGUAAUCAAGAGGAUUUGAUAGAAUUAGGUUAGGAAAGUUUCUAUUUUUUGUGCUAGGAAUAUUUGUAUAAAUAUGUGGGUAUGUACAAAUUGAAAUCAAGGAAGAAAUUUAUUCUUUUACCUUCGAAUUCUUCUUCAGAUUCUACAUGGUAUUAGAGCCUUAGGCUUGUAAAUCUGGGAAGAGGGAAGAUUUUUCUGGCCUUCAUUGCUGAGUUGGAGAUCAUAGUUGACCUUCAUUGUCGACCUUAAGAGUUUGCCUCUUGUUUGCAUUGUGCCAUUGUUGUAGACAAAGCCUCAGAAAUAACCGAUUGUGAACUCAUUGUGAAAGUAGCCGAAGACCUCAUAAAAAACCCCGCUGUCACCCCCUUGGAUCUUCCUCGCCAUCAGCCUUCCCUUUACCUCAAUCUUCCACCCUUGUGCCUUACAAACUCAUUAGAGAUCAAGCUAUCGUCAUUGCCUUUGCCAGCGAUAAUGAUCCUUGCAUGUCAUGUCUUCGCCUCACACUAAAUGUUUUUCUUGCUGUUGCUGCAAGCGAAGAUUUCUUCGUCUUUUGUUCUCCCUGCUGGUGCAAACGUACAUCACGAAGAGCAAUUGACAACUACAGGUGUUGUUUGCACUGAAGAUAUCAUCGGAAAUCAAGAGUGCUGGACCUUCGACAUACUUCCACGACUGUUGAGAGUGCUAGACCUCCAAUGCCAAUGCUGCAGCCACCGCUAUCCCACAUCGACAUCAAUGAGAGCUCUCACACUGUUAUCUAAGCCCUUUAGUGAGUUAUUUGACUUAAAAGAGCUCUUUUAUAAUUUAAAAAAAAAAUAAAAAAAUGUCAAAGGUAUAAAAAACCAUUGCUUAAUCUGAAGAAAUGACAACCAGUUACAAUGGAGGGCAGCAAAAGGAUAUUGAAUAAGCACACUUGUCUUCUGUUCAACUAGUUGAAGAAAGAUCCUUGAAACCAGGAAGAUUCAACUGAGAAUUUUGUUGUUAAAUCUUAAGAAACCUUCAAGUACCUACUCUUUGGCACUUUUAGGUAAGUUUCCUAUUCCCAUUGGAUUAAAAGUCUCAGAUGAGACCUUUGCCAAUUCAUGGGUUAUAAAUUCAGGUGCCAUAGGUGACAUGGCUCAUUCAUCAUACCAAUUUAACAACUAUAACCCUUGUCCAAAAAGUAGGAAAAUAGUCAUUGCUGAUGGUUCAUGAACCACCGUUGCAAGUGUAGGAGAUUUUUGGAGUAGUUCUACACUCACACUUAGAAAUGUGCUUCAUAUUCCAAAGUUGUCUACUAAUCUUGUCUCUAUUAAAAAACUUACACAAGAUUUGGGUUGCAAUGUGAUUUCUUAUUCUACUCAUUGUUGUAUUUCAAGACCAGCAUUUAGGAAGACGAUUGGAUGUGCUAAGGAAUGGAACGGGUUAUACCACCUUGAGACACCAAGCAAAUCAUCCGUAUCUCUUAUUUCUAAGCACCACCUUUUUAAAGAAAAAAUUUGGCUUCAUCAUCGUAGGGGUGGACAUUCGUCGUUUGGUGGCGAGGUCCAGUGCAGAAACAGAAUUUCGUGCAAUGGCCCAAGGAGUUUGUGUACCACUAUGUUUGAAUAUUAUUUUGGAAGAUUUGAAAAUUAAAUGGGAUGACCCAAUGUGACUUUACUGCAAUAAUAAAUCUGCAAUCAAUGUUGCAAAUAAUCUAGUGUAACAUGAUCGAACGAAGCACAUAGAGAUAGACAUACUUUUUAUGAAGGAGAAACUAGAUAAUGGGUUGAUUUGUACUCCAUAUGUAUCUAUUGACCGCCAACUUGCAAAUAUACUUACCAAAGGUUUAAGCAGUACAACAUUUCAAGUAAGUGUAUCCAAGUUGGGAAUAGGAAACAUCUGUUUGCUAGCUUGAGAGGGAGUGUGGAAGAACGUAAUUAGGAAAAAUUAUAGUUGUAUAUUUUUGUAAUUAAGGAGAGGAUUAAGACAAUCCCGUAAUCAAGGGUAUUUAAUAGAAUUUGGUUAGAAAAAUUUCUAUUUUUUUUGCUAGGAAUAUUUGUAUAAAUAUGUGGGUAUUCAUAGAUUGAAAUCAAGGAAGAAAUUUGUUCUCUUAGCUUUUAAUUCUUCUUCAAAUUCUACACUUGUGACUUGUUUGUUAUCAAUUACUUCUUGUGAGCCUAUGACUAUAUUUUCUCCAUGCUGUCUUUCCACUUAAAUGAUCCAAGCAAUUUAAUAAUGUUCCUGUGAUAAAAGAAUCUUUUUAAAAUGCCUUUUAAAAUUUUUUAAUUGAGAAUCAUGCAUAUCUUGACCCAGACCAAUGAGCUCAUCCCCCCUAAAUCGAUUAUUAUGCCAUGCUAGUAUGGUUUUCAAGAAUAAAGCUCUUGAAGCUAAAUGACCUUUUAAAUUUUCCCUGAAACCUCACUCUGUUUGGUACUCUUGUAUGCCAAGUAGAUUUGUUUGAGUAAAAUUGUAGAGGGUUCAAGAAAAAGUUUGUGUGCCUAAACUUUAGACAAGGCUUUACUGAUUUUUCAUUAAUGAUUUGAGAUUUUUGUGAUUUAUUGCAUCUUGAUGGUCUUCUGAAAUUGUGGGAAGGGAUUGAUUUCUUAGGAAUUGUUGUUUCCAUAGUCUCUCAUACAUUUCAUUGUUGUUUCAGCAUGCUUUGGGUUCCUUUUGAAAAUAUCUUUCUUCAAUUGUUGUUAGCAUGCUUCAGCAUUGUUGGUGUAGCUUACUUUAUAUUCUUAUAUCAUGCUUUUUCUGGUGCAUAUUUCAGGUUCUGUGAUCAGCCAUCAACUUGUUACUCAUCUUUCACUUGGGAUCGCCCUGCGCUAUGUGUUGGAUGCAAUGCGUAAACCUCCAGAUGCAAAAGUUAGUAUUAUCUUUUUGUAAAUGGUAAUUUCUUUUGUUGACUUCUGUUAGUUGAUAUUAUUGACUGCUCUGUAUGGUUGUAGAUGUUUGUAUUUGGAACCAAAGCCUUGGAGCAGUUUGCGGAUCGUUUAGUGGAAUGGCCACAGUAUUGCAAUCAUAUCUUACAAAUAUCUCAUCUACGUAAUACUCAUCCAGAUCUUGUUGCUUUUGUUGAACAAACUCUUGCAAGGGUUUCAUCAGGGCAUUUGGAAUCAGAUGGAGGCAACAAUAGUGAUGAUCAACAUCAUGGUUCUACACAACUUACCUCUGUGAAUAUGGAGGUAAUAAUUUAAUUUUUUUUUCUUGACCUGUGCCGUCCAUUUGAAUCUGUGUUGCUAAAUAAAUAAUUAAAUGGAUAGUUAUAUAGAUUGAAUGAAAUUUGAUCUCAGAAUAAUUUUAUUUCCAGACAUUAAUCAAGUCAAUUUCAGUGUGACUUAAAAUUUUUUAAUCUGUUUGUAUUAUGUUAGGUCCUUUUUUGAACUAUUAAAGUGGUUGUGUCAUAUCUGCUAGGAAUUUCUUACUUCCUUUGACAUGUUAACAUCUUUCAGACCUCUUGUCCUCCUUUGCACUGUUUUUUUUUUGAUAGGAAACGACUAAGGAAUUAUCAAAAGGAUGUACAAGAGAAGGAUGAGAAAUCCUCCCACCAAAGAAAAACAAAACUAUAAGGAAUCAAAUAUAAGAAAAUACAAAGUAUAAACAAGCAAACUCUCUACUUAGACCAACCCAUUGGGAUUACACACCGCUAACCAAUCAAAUUGUAACACGUUAAGGGGAAUCCCCUUAAAAGCCUUAGAACAAAAAGCCCAAAGAGAAGCAAGGAAACGAAUAGAAUCCCAAAGGUUCUCUGAAUUCCUUGCUUUAUCCUAAAAAAUCCUUGCAUUUCUUUCCCGCCAUACCACCCAAAUUAAAGCGAUGCACGCGGCUUGCCGUAAAAUAAUCCCUUUCUUAGAAGAUCCAAAACCAUUAAAAUUAGUAGAUAACAUGUCAAAGAUGCUCGUUGAGGGGAGCUAAUCCGUCUUUGCUAACUGAAAUAAUCUGUGCCACAACCCCAUCGUCAAAGAGCAAUGGAGAAAAAGAUGAUCUACUGUUUCUUCAUGCUUCAUGCACAACUUACAAAUGUCGGGACUAAGUGCUUUGUUGGGUCUUCUCAACUGUAGUAAGUCAUUAGUAUUUGCCUUCUUGUGUACCACUAACCAGGCAAAGGACUUGACUUUGAAGGGGACUUGAGAAUUCCAGAUGAACUUAGUAGGGAAAACUGGAGGCAAACCAAAAAAUUGGGAUAAGGCAAGAAAGAAGGAUUUGACUGUAAAAAGUCCUGAAGGAGAUAAAGACCAGGAUCUCAUAUCUGGAACCGAAUGUGAUAAAUGUAUAUGAUCAAGAGACCACAUGAGGUUUUCUAAAUCUUCUAUCUCAAAAUCGGAAAGGUUUUGGCGAAAGUUAAAGUUCCAAGAGAAUGGGCGAGUAGAGCCGAGAAUUGAAGACAUAGGAGUAUUUUUAUCCGUGACUACUCUAAGUAGUCUAAGUAGUAUUUUUAUGAAUCACACUCCAAUGGUUGGGAUGCCAACACUAUAGUUAGAUGGUCACAUCGUUGUCCUUGGAAGGCUAUUGCACAAGUCUCCCAAGAGUUUUCUUUUUUUCCUUUUGGCGGGUUGCUCAUUUUAGUUUCAACCAUCAGAUAGAAUUGAAAAUUUUCAGAGAUGGUAUGAUUUAAAAAAUGGUAAGGACCUUGAAGGUCUCUGUGGAGAGGAAGACCUUCUAGGUCAGGGUAGAGGGUGAGGUCGGAGGAAAUUGGUGUUCGAUAACAGAGCACAGUAAAGGCUCUGUUUUCGUCUUAGGCCUUGAGAAGGAGGAGGUUAGUUGGUUGAUAGAACAACUGACAAAGGCCAUUGAGAUGAAGAUUUGUAUGGGAUUCAACAGAAAAUUUAGAGGAAAAACCAGAGUACAUCUUCUGGAGGUUUGUUUCAAUGUUCAUGGCAGGUUUAUAAGAUUAUCAGAGUUCGCCUCUAACAGGAAGUCAACCUUUUUGGUAAUACCUGAGGGAGAUAAUGGCAGGGGAUGGGAACUUUUAAAGUCUGCAUUGAACUCAAUGUUGGUGGUCCCCUCCUCGAGUUUUGUUGAAAAGGGAAGGCAGAGCAGGGAAGGAAGGAUUUUGCACAAAAAUGUGGGUCCCCUGCAACGGUCUUAUGCGAAGGUUGUCAGAGACGAAGGUUUGAGGAAAGGCGCCCUCGUUCCAGUUGGGAGAUGGGCGAGGGUUGUGGUGUGCGAAUGUGAAGAUGGUGCUGUUUAUUGGACUGAGGCCGGCCGAGCCAUGGCGAGAAGGCUAGGGCACAAAGGAGUGGUGACAAUCGUCCCAUUCGCCGGAGGAAAAUGAUUGUUUUUUGUAGAAACCUUAGAGGAAGCUUUAUCACUACACGAUUCAAGGUCCAUCAGGAUUAAGGGCGGAAUUACAAUCUUGUUGAGAAGAUGGUCGCCAAAGGAAAAUUCAGAAGUAGAGGGGAGAUUCAAGGAAGGUUGGAUAGAGUUAAGGGGUUUACCAUUUCAUUUAUGGUCUGAGGUUCACUUGAAGAAAAUUAUGGAGCAGUGGGGGACGGUGACAGAGAUCGAUUGGCGAACAUUGAAACUUUUUGAUCUAAGCAAAGCAAGGGUGAAAGUGGUAAUGAAAGAACGAUCGGUUCUCCCGACUUUGAUUGAGGUGGUAGAUGGGGGUUGAGACUUCACAGUUUCAGUCGCAGUAGCCGUGAAGGAAGAAGGUUGGCAGGUUAGAGAGAUGGGUGAGUCAACUCGGGAAUCGGCUGAGACUCACAUGGGGACAGUUGGCAGCAAGAGGGAAGAGGAAGGUAGAUCAAUGGCUGGUAAGGGGACCUCUGUUGGGGCAGUUGGCAGAACGUUGGGGUGGGCAAAAGGUUGAGAAUGCUCCUGGGAGGACACGUGGAAAGAACAAGACGUUAGUGGGAUACAGCUGGUCCCAACCUCCAUUGCAAUCGGAUUAAAAAAGGCAGAGAGCUGGAUCUGCUGGGCCAAAGCAGGCUGGAAGAGCCAAAGCCCAGUCAACCCUCCAGGAUGGGUUUCAGGCCUCCAAAGUUAUGUCAAGAGCCCAUUCUUUUAGUAAGCCCAGCCUACGGACUGAAAUUGACGUGGGCUGGAAGAGGGAAAUCCAUGGGAAAGGCCCGUUUCAGUUGUUGGGCCAAGAGAAGGGAGACCAUCAAGACAGACAGUCGAAGGGCCCUUUUCACAGUGCUUACCUCUUUGCAAAGGGGAAGGCGAAGUCGGGCCACGAGGAUCUUGAAAAUCAACAGAGGGACUCCGCGAUGAAGCGCGGUUCAAGGAAGCUGUGGAAUGCUCUACUUCCAUCAAGCUCUGUAUGUCGACAAGGGGAUCGAAGCCGAAGCGAGCCACUCACGACUGAGAGAUCAACGCUACUCAGUGAUACUCUUCCAAUGGAAGAUGGCUUCGAAGCGGGAACACAGUUGGUUCAAGGGUGUUUCGAGGAAGGAACGACGCUGACGAAGGAACACGCGGAGCAAAGGAAUUUUCUUAGGGCUGCUUGUCUGUCAAAAGGGAAGGAGAAGAUGCGCAAUACUGCUAAAGGAGGAGACGGAGCAGGUUUUAAGGGAUUUGUGGGUUGUUCUCAUAGUGGAUCUUCAGUCAUGGAUCACCUUUCUCAUCCCGCAUCCAGAGAAAAAGGGCUCAACUUUGAGGGGUACUGUGGAAUGACGGAAAUGGAAAUUCUCGAGGUAUCUUCUCACCAUUUUUCUCAGUCUUAUCUGCCUUUUCAUUCUCCUUUCUCUGGUGCGGCUCCUCCACACCCGAGCUCUUCUGCCAUCGAUCUCUCCAUUCCAGCCUUUCAAUCCCAGUUUCCUACGAAAAAUCGAGUGUUAUGUGAAAUUUUUUCAAAAAAUGAUGACGUGGGAACUUAUAGUAUUGGGUUUGUUGGCAUCCCUAACCGUGAUGAUGCAAUGCCCCAGCUGUCUAGAUUGAAUCUUUUGUCUAAAAGCUGUAAUUAUGUCAAGACCAAUCCUAGCUCGCAUCAUGGGGCCCCUAUUCUGGGUACAGCUAGCCAGGGAGACACUGAGUUCUCCCAGAUGGGUAGGGUUCCAAAUUGAAGGUCUUCCAUUAGCAAAAUGGCUAAAGUAUGUGAGGUCUUAAGCUCCUUGGAUAUUAAGGUGUAUUCAAGGCGAAAGAACAGAGUUGCCAUAGACAUUUGAGUUCUGUUGACGUUGGUUAGGAGGUAUAGGGUCAGUGAGGUGUUUUUAUGAAGAUCAUAAGUUGGAAUAUCAGGGGGUUGGGAUCUAGGAAAAAGAGAAGGGUGGUUAAGGAUUUUUUGCGCCUUCAGAAUCCGGAUGUAGUGAUGUUACAGGAAACAAAAAGAGAGGUGUGCGAUAGAAGGUUUGUAGGAAGUGUCUGGUCGGUUAGGAAUAAGGAGUGGGCUGCUCUCUCGGCGUGCGGGGCUUCAGGAGGGAUUUUAAUCAUUUGGGACUCAAAGAAAAUGAGCAGUGAGGAUGUGGUAAUUGUAUCUUUUUCUGUCUCAGUCAAGUUCUUGUUGGAUGGAUGUGGACCUUUGUGGUUAUCCGCUGUUUAUGGCCCAAACAGUCCCUUAACUAGGAAGGAUUUUUUGGUGGAGCUAUCAAACCUUUUUAGCCUUACUUUUCCUUCAUGGUGUGUGGGUGGUGACUUCAAUGUUAUAAGGAGAAGUUCAGAAAAACUGGGAGGCUCUAGAUUCACUUCUAGCAUGAGGGAUUUUGAUGGCUUUAUAAGAGAAAGUGAAUUACAUGAUCCCCCAUUACGAAAUGCCUCUUUUACUUGGUCAAAUAUGCAAGAGUCACCGGUGUGUAAGAGAUUGGAUCAGUUUCUCUAUUCAAAUGAGUGGGAGCUUUCAUUCCCUCAAAGCCUUCAAGAAGUUCUCCCUAGAUGGACAUCGGAUCAUUGGCCGAUUGUAUAGGAUACUAAUCCUUUCAAGUGGGGUCCAACAUCUUUUAGGUUUGAGAAUAUGUGGUUGCAACAUCAUAGUUUCAAAGAGUGCUUUAGCAGUUGGUGGAGAGAAUUUGAAGGAAAUGGUUGGGAAGGUCACAGGUUCAUGAGGAAGCUACAAUUUUUAAGGCAAAAUUGAAAGAUUGGAAUUAGAAUACUUUUGGAAUGCUUAAGGAAAGGAAAAAAACCAUCUUGGAUGAAAUAGCUAUCAUUGAUGCCAACGAACAAGAAGAGGCUCUCUCUUCUGAUCUCGCUGUUCAAAGAGCUGUAAGAAAAGGGGAGCUAGAGGAAAUAAUAAUGAGGGAAGAAAUUCAUUGGAGACAAAAAGCUAAGGUAAAAUGGGUUAAAGACAGGGAUUGCAACUCAAAGCUGUUUCACAAAGUGGCUAACAGGAGACGAAACAGGAAUUUCAUCAAAUUAUUGGAGAAUGAAAGGGGUUUGGUGUUGGACAAUUCCGAGAGCAUCACAGAGGAGAUAUUACUUUAUUUCAAAAAGCUAUACUCGAGUCCUCCAGGUGAGUCUUGGAGAGUAGAAGGUAUUGAUUGGUCCCUUAUAUCAAAAGAGAGUGCCUCUAGGCUAGAUUCCCCUUUCUCCGAAGUAGAGAUCUAUAAUGCCAUUUUUCAGUUAGAUAGGGAUAAGGCGUCGGGGCCUGAUGGUUUCACCAUAGCAGUGUUUCAGGAUUGUUGGGAUGUGAUCAAGGAUGACUUAGUGAGGGUGUUUGCAGAGUUUCACAACAGCGGGAUUAUUAAUCAAAACACCAAUGCAUCCUUCAUAGUUCUUUUGCCCAAAAAGAGUCAGUCAAAGAAGAUUUCAGAUUUUAGACCUAUCAGCCUGAUCACUUGUCUCUAUAAGGUAAUAGCAAAAGUCUUGUCAGGGCGUCUAAGAGGAGUACUACAGGAGACCAUCCACUCCACUCAAGGUGCUUUUGUUAAAGGGAGAUAAAUUUUGGAUGCAGUUCUUAUAGCCAAUGAGAUUGUGGAUGAGAAAAAGACAAUCAGGGGAGGAAGGAGUUGUAUUCAAGAUAGACUUCGAAAAGGCUUAUGAUCAUGUUAAAUGAGAUUUUUUGGAUCAUGUGUUGGAGAAGAAGGGAUUUAGUCCUAAAUGGAGGAAAUGGAUGAGAGGUUGUCUGUUGUCGGUCUCUUAUGCUAUUCUAGUGAAUGGUAAUGCUAAAGGGUGGGUCAAGACAUCUAGAGUUUUAAGGCAAGGUGACCCUUUAUCGCAUUUCCUGUUCACUAUUGUUGCAGAUGUGUUGAGUAGAAUGUUGUUGAAAGCUGAAGAAAGAAGUUUGCUGGAGGGCUUUAGGGUAGGUAGAAAUAGGUGUAUGGUGUCCCAUACUCCCAUCUACAAUUCCCAGACGAUACCAUCUUCUUUGCUAACUCUAGUGAGGAAGAAUUGCAAACUCUUAAGAGUUUAUUGUUAGUGUUUGGUCAAGUCUCUGGGCUUAAAUUCAAUCUUGACAAGAGUAAUAUUUUUGGUAUCAACCUUGAUCAGAAUCAUCUCUCUAGGUUAGCAUUGUUGCUUGACUGCAAGGCUUCAGAUUGGCCCAUACUUUAUUUGGGUCUUCCUUUGGGAGGGAAUCCAACUACUUGUGGAUUCUGGGAUCCAGUGAUUGAGAGAAUCUCUAGGAGAUUAGACGGGUGGCAAAAGGCUUACUUAUCUUUCGGUGGUAGGAUAACUCUCCUACACUCAUGUCUAUCCCAUAUCCCUAGCUACUUUCUUUCUCUGUUUAAGAUUCCUGCUUCAGUGGCUGCAAAAGUUGAGAGGAUGCAAAUGAACUUUCUUUGGUCAGGGGUUGGGGAAGGCAAAAGAGACCAUCUUGUUAGUUGGGAUGCUGUGUAAGCUGAGGGUAAAAGGGGGUUUGGGGAUUGGGAAGAUUCCUUUAAGGAAUCACGCUCUUUUAGGGAAAUGGUUGUGGAGGUAUCUUAGGGAGAGUACAGCUCUACGACAUCAGGUCAUUCUUAGCAUAUACGGGACACACUCAAAUGGUUGGGAUGCCAACACUUUAGUCAGGUGGUCACAUUGUUGUCCUUGGAAGACCAUUGCACAAGUCUUUCAGGAUUUUUCCAAGUAUACUCGGUUGGUCGUAGGAAAUGGGGAAAGAAUUCGCUUUUGGGAAGAUUUAUGGUGGGGGGACCAAAUCUUCAAAGACCAAUAUCCAAGACUAUUUAGAGUAGUAAUGGAUAAAAGUGUUCCCAUAUAUUCAAUUCUUGGUUCGGAUCGCCCUUUCUCAUGGAACUUUAAUUUCCGUCAUAAUCUAACUAAUUAUGAGAUAGGAGAUCUAGAACGCCUCAUGCGCUUUAUUGAUUGUAUGAAUUUAUCCACCUCCGCUUCAGAUGCGAGAUCUUGGUCCUUAUUGUCUUUAGGACUGUUUACAGUCAAGUCCUUCUUUACAGCCUUGUCCCAAACGCCUGAUUCAUCUCCUUUGUUCCCUUCUAAGUUUGUAUGGAAAUCUCAAGUUCCCUUCAAAGUUAAGGCCUUUGUCUGGCUUGUGGCAUACAAGAAGGUAAAUACCAAUGACUUGCUACAAUUGAGGAGACCCCACAAAGCUCUUAGCCUUGACAUUUGUAAGUUGUGUAUGGGGCAAGGAUAAUCAACAGAUCAUCUAUUCCUUCAUUGUUCUGUGACGUUGGGUUGCUGGCACAGACUAUUUCAGCUAGCCAAGAUGGAUUGGGUCCCUCCGAAAAGCAUUUCAGACAUGAUGUUCAUCAAUUAUAAAGGUUUUGGCAAGUCCAAGAGAGGGUUGGUUUUGUGGAAAAAUGCGUGCAUAGCUUUAAUUUGGGUUGUGUGGCGGGAAAGAAAUGUUAGGAUAUUUGAGGACAAAACUAGGAAUUCAGAGAAUCUUUGGGACUCCAUUCAUUUCAUUGCUUCGUUUUGGGCUUUUUGCUCAGUGGGUUUUAAGGGCAUUCCCUUUAACGUUUUACAACUAGAUUGGCUAGCAGUGUGUAGUUCCAAUGAGACGGUGUAGUGUCAUGUUAUUUUCUUGUGUUGUUUAGUUUUAAUUCUGGCGGGAGGACUUCUCAUCCUCCUUAUGUACUAUUUUAUCUUAUCAAUAUAUUCAUGCGUGGUUUCCUAUCAAAAUUUUUUUUUUCAGAGAUGGUGCAUAAUAGACUUAUAAUUCUAUGCACCAUAUACAUCGACUUCACCACAUUUACUCUGCAUAUUACUUAAUUUAUUCUCCUAUUUUCUACCAUUAUUGUUGCUGUUGUUAUGGUUCUUGUUGUCAUUGUUGUGGUGGUGAUGGUCAUCAUUGUUAUUGUUUUGAUAAAAAAGAAAAAUCAUUGUUGUUAUUGUUGUCACUCUCAUAGGGCAUUCUUUAUUCAUUUAUUUUUAAUAGAAGUUUGGUAGGUAUUAUGGUCUUCUUACUAAAACCUUGUGCUAUUUACCUUAUUAAGCUUCAAAUAUUUAACUUCAUUAUACCAGAGUCUCAAAAUCAUUGCUGCCACCUGCAUCACUAUCAUUACAUUUUGAAACCACCUUCAUCACACUGCUGCCACCAAAACACCCUUUAGGGUGUUAUAAACUAACCAAUCUGAGUCUAGUAUAUUUUUGGACUCCCCUUUCUGUUGACCAGAACCCAUGCUUGUGUUUGGGAUUGAGCUAAGUUGGUAUUUACCUAGACACCCUUGAACUUUUGGUCUUAUGAGAGCAUGAACUUUCAAGCUCAGGUUGAUUUGUUCAGCUGUCUAGAAGAAAAACCACCCUGGUUUACGGUAUGAUUAAUGGUGCUGUGUUGGUUUUCAAAAACUAUGAUUGUUCAUGUUGCCUUACUAUUAUUAACAUGCUCUUGCAGAAGGUAAAUUAUUUCAAAUAUCAUUCCAUCCAAUGCAUAAAGUAAACAGGAAAAUGUGAUAUCUCAUCUUUUUAUAUCACUUUAGACAAGUGCCAAAGAUUAAGUAGUAUUGUGGUUGACCAAAUUGGCAUCUUUGUCCCUAUCAGCUUAAAAAUUAUUAUAUUUUUUCCUGUGGUUAGUUUGUAAAAAUAUAUUACCACCAGUUGUUUCAACUUUCAAAUGCUUUUAUGCAGCCUAGUAAUUAUUGUUUAUGUUCUCAGAUGUCUGCAUCGUCAUUACAAUCACUUGGAGCUAGCAGCAUACAGCCUGGGCAGCCUUCUUCACUUCCACUUCAACAUAGACUUCAAAGUUCUCUUGAUGAUAGGCAUAAAGCAUCUGUAACUUUAUCUAACUCCACAAAACCACUUGUAGCUCCUGCUGGGGAGCCUUUGGUUGCUUCCUCGGGUGAUGCAACUAGUAUUGACAAGGUAUUCCCCUUUUCAAUUUCAAUUUCAUCUCACAUUGCUCAUUUAAUGUAUACAUUUGGAACCACCUUCUUUUUGAUUCAAAAUUUAGCUUACAUUCUUCUUCAUUCCUACCAAAAAUGCAGUCUCUGAAUUCAAUUAAUGCUCCAGCCACUGUGUCUUCAUCUCCUGGAUCUAUCCGUCCUCUCCGAGGGAUUACUUCUACUAGUAAUUUUAAUUACUUCUAAAUCAUGCAUUCUGCUGCAUAAAUAUAGCUUUUUUUUUUUUUUUUUUGUGCUUAAUAUCUGUAUGCAUGCUUAGAUAACAUUCAUUUAAUGCAGGGUUUGGCUCUGCUAUGAACAUUGAAACGCUUGUGGCUGCUUCAGAGAGAAGAGAAACUCCCAUAGAGGUACUGUAUUCUAUAUUUGCCUGCCAUAUCUUGUGAGGAUCCUGUGAAGGCAGUUUACUUGCCCCUUUUUGAUUAAGAUUCAAUUUGUCACAUGUUAAGCAACACUGCAAAACAUUGCCAUUGACUCAGAUGUAUGAAGUGCUCUUCCUUAUAAAUUAACUUUUAAUGUUUCACUUUGCCUACUCUAUUCUGAUUGCUGUUAGUUAUGAAAUGAUCCUGUCCUGCAACUAGUCUUAUACAUUGUUAAUAAUUUUCAUGUAGACAUUAAUUAGUUUUCUCAUGGAUAAGUUAGCAAAGUAUAUUUUAUUGCCCAAUUGAUGAAGUGUAUAAUGAACAGGACUGCCAUGUUUACCAUCACAUAGAUGUAAAGUCCAAGCAAUCUUAGAUGAGAUUUGACAGUUUUGCUUCUCCAAAUAUUUCCUGUUGGUUCCUAAUCUAUGGAUUUUAUUUUAUUCAGUUUGUUUUCUAAAAGGGGAAUUACCAAUUUCAAGUAAUUGAAACAAAACUGUUGGUUACAUUACAUCCACUUAUUUUUCAGGAGAACAUGUCUGAUUAAUUAGAAAGAUAGAGAGAAAGAAUAUGGGUGGUUUAAUAAACUAAAUUUUAUUUCUGUUCACCAAAUGAUUGUGUUGGUAAUGACUCUCCCCCUGAGGAUGUGAUUGUUUGGUGGAAAAAUUGCCUAUUUUAUUGGAAGUUAAAACUAAGGAAGAAGAGAUUUUUAUUAUUUUUUUCCCAGUUUUAUAAUAGGUCUAAUGUCAAAACCUUUCCCAAAAAGCUUCCCAUGCAAAGAAACCUACUUUGGUUGGGACUGCUGAGUUCCAAUUAGCAUUCAAAGGGAAAGAAACUGUUCUUUCUUGCCCUAGAAAGGAAUAGAAGGAAUUGACUUUAAACUUCCCCUUCUUAGCAUCAAUCCCUUCUAGCCUAUCAUCUUCAUUCUUUCUCACCGCCUUUCCUUGGGGCCUUGAGAGACACUUCUCAAUCCUUUCCAACUCCCAAUCAAUCAAAUUCCUUGAAAAUAGGGAUUCCAAAUCCCAAUCCUCUCCCUGAUGGUCCCAAACAUUUGCCACCUAAGAAUCCUUUGUCAAGGAUAUGAAUUAUAAGAAGGGGAAAAAAAUCUCUUAGUGUUGAUUUACCAUACUAGAUAUUUUUCCAAAACUGCACCCUUCUAUUAUUACCCACAUUGGAAAAGGUUCUUCUAUUAAUGGUGUCCCACCCUCUCCUAAUUUCCUUUCCCAACCCAACGCCAAAACCAUCGCCACUUUCCCUAGAACACCAACCCUCUCCUUCUCCCCAUACUUCCCAAAAAUAACUCUUUUCCAAAGAGGCUUGUCCUCAGAGGCAAACCUCCACACCCACUUUCCCAAUAGCACCUUAUUGAGGAUUGAAAGGUUUCAAGUGCAAAGGCCUCCAUUAUAUUUCUCCCUACAAGUGAUAUCCCAUCUCACUAGAUGUGGUUUUUUCUCCAAAUAACCCCCACCCCACAAGAAGUUCCAAUGAAACCCCACCCAUUGAAAGACUUAUUUCCUGUUUUGUCUGAGAUUGCUUUGGACAAGCAUGCUUAGGUGGUGGAUCUUCAAAAUGAGGUGGGCAAUCUUGGCCAUUUGUCCCCUUGCUUUUGGAGAAGCUUCCAUGAUUAGAGAGUUGGUAAUGCUGUAUGCACUUCUCCAAAAUCUCGUGUUAGCUGUUGGAAGAGAAGGUUUUGGUGAUAAGAUGGUUUGGAAGCCAACAAAGAAUGAUAACUUCUCUUUUAAAUCAUUAUACUGCUUUCUAGGUCUGAGAUGGUUGGAGUCUUUUCCAGCAAUGACAGUUUGUGAUCCUAUGGCAGUUUCUAAAGUCAUUUACUUUUGUUAGAUGACCGUAUGGGAGAAAAUCCUUACAAUGGACCAGCUCAUCAAAAAGGGAUCGGCCAUCUAUAUUCUAGUUAAUUUAGCUAGGAUUUUUGGGCUUUAUUAUUUUCUUUCUUCGUGUUUUCUUAGGCACUUCUCAAGUAUUUGAAGGAGCUGCUGCCAGGGAAUUGGAGUUUUGUUUGUUGGAAGAAAAUAAAGGAGGUUAUGGAGCUUGCUCCUUUGUUUGUAAUUUAGUGCAUUUGGAAAAAUUGGAAUAAGAGACGUUUUGAGGACAAGGAAAAUUCAGAAAUUUUAGCCUGGAGCACAUUUUGAAAACUUUGUUUUCUUGGUGUAGUUUCUGUAAGUUAAUGUUGAUUCCUCAUUAGAUUUUAUCGAUAGUUUAGGUAUGAAAUAGGUUUUGUCCAUUUUUGUUCUUUUUUUGGUGUUUUCUUUAUGAUACCAAUUGUGCACUUCAUGCUCCCCACCCCCAGCCUCUCUCUCUCUCUCUCUCAUUUUAUUUUAUUAUUUUUGUUUUUAUUUGUCUAUAAAUAUAGUGGGUAGUGGAGUAGUUGUUUCCUGUGGCAGUCCUUGCUCAUUCACUUUUUCUGAAAUUUUCAAGGUAGACUAAUAGAUUUCUAUGCUGCAAUAGUUGGUGCAACUAUGACUACCAGCUUUCUCUCAUGUGUAGAUCCUUGAUUUAAUCAUUUACUUUUUUGCUGUUUGCCUUGCGUGUUCUUAGUCAUUACAACCUUGCUAAAUCAACAUAGCCAAUCAGACUACCAUCAUCUCCUGUAAACCAUACACUUUGCCUUUCCUGAAAUCUGCGUUGCCAUGUUUCUUUGAGCUUGGCAGCAUCGGCUAAUAAAUGACAUAUACUAGAUAGAUGAUGUGGUGCCUAGAGCUUUCUGGAGGUUAAAUGGAACAGUGGCAUAAAUAUGUUGGAAACAUAUGUUUUAUUGUUUGUUUGCGAAAUUGGGUUUGUAUUCUUACAAGUUUAAUAAUUUUUUCCUUUGGCUGCCCAGCUAGAUAUCAUAAACCUCCUUCGUCUGGGCCAUACUUCUGCAAAUCAGUUUGAAUGUUUUUUCCAUGUUUUAACUUGGCUUUGUGACUGAUCAUAUUAGGGUUUUGGUCAUUUGGUAGUUUUGAGAUUCAUUAAAACUCCCUGUUAGGAGGUUUUCUACGUGGCUGUUUUCAGUUUUGUUGAUGGAGAGCGAAAUGUAUUGAUUUAUGUAUCAUAUUUGUUAUCAUUUACCUUGAUUCUGUUUUCCAUUCUCCAUUGCCAGUAAUAACAAACACUUGAUGACAUCCUAACUCAUAGCCAUCUAGAAGCCUGUCUAAUUGUAGUGGGUCUUGCUUCAUCUAGUCUAAAAAAGUAAAGAAUGAAGAUGGGCUUCUGCUAUUCUUUUUGUAUAAUUUAGUUUCUUUUAUUUAGUUAUUUUGGAUGGAUUCUAAAUGAUCAUCUAUUUAGAGACAAAUGUUUGUAUGAAUAGGAAGGACAUGGAAUUGCAGUAGAUCCUCUAUUUUUCUAUUUUAAGCUUUCUGAUCAUAAAUGAAAUUAUUCUUACGGUAUGUUGAAAGCUUUUCCUUUAUUUUUCUAGAAGAGUUAAAGAUCUUGAGGUGAAAUAGUUGGUUAUCAGGAACCUGAUUAGGUACUGGUUCUGUGCAUGGUUGGGUUUUCAAGCUGCCUGUAUAUAUUCUUAACUAGAACAGAACUGUCAAAAGCUUCGAUCUGUAGUAGGGCAAAAGCUUGAUACUUAGUAAUCAAGGCAUUGACAAUCAUAGGUAUAUUGAGAACUGGAUAACUAGAUGCCGAUUAUAGGAACUGUCACCUUUGAAACAACUCUUGGGACCAUGUGAGCGUAUUCCAUUUUUGAUAAUGUUGCAGCUCCUCAUUUUACUUUGCUAUGUGUUUUUAUCUUUCCUAUAAUUAAUCAUUUAUUAUAUCUAAUUUCUGUUUUGCAGGCCCCAGCAUUAGAGAUUCAGGACAAAAUAUCAUUUAUAAUUAAUAAUAUUUCGGCUGCAAAUGUUGAGGCUAAGGCAAAAGAAUUUACUGAAAUUUUUAAAGAGCAGUACUAUCCUUGGUUUGCGCAGUAUAUGGUGAUGAAAAGGUUGCAAUCUUGAUGAGUUAUUUUUGGUUUUAUGUAAUAUUUAUGUAUGCCGAUAUAAUUUUUUUUCUCUGUGUUAUUGAUACUACCCCUAGCGUCCUCCUUCUCAUUUCUUCUUAUAUUACCUCUGUAAUUCAUAUCUGACUUAUCUUAUUGACAGAGCAAGCAUUGAGCCGAAUUUUCAUGAUUUGUACUUGAAGUUCCUAGACAAAGUUAAUUCAAAGGCCUUGAAUAAGGAGAUAGUCCAAGCCACUUAUGAGAACUGCAGAGUUUGUUUCCUAAAACCAUUUAUUCAUUGAUUUGAAUACAGUUAUCAAUGGAAACAAUUUCCAGCAAGAGUGUAUUUCUUUCAGGUUCUUUUGGGAUCAGAGCUUAUAAAAUCAAGUUCAGAAGAGCGUUCACUGCUAAAGAAUUUGGGUAGCUGGCUUGGGAAAUUUACAAUUGGUAGGAACCAAGUUCUGAAGGCCCGUGAGAUAGAUCCCAAAUCAUUGAUCAUAGAGGUAAUAUUCUUAGUAAUGCUGGCUUGAGGAGUAAAUUAUGCCUUGCUAACUUUCUCUUCUUUAUCUUUCAGAUAGAAAUGAAUGUUAUAUUUCUUGGUCUAUCAUUGGAUGUUAGCUUCCUUCUUUUCUUAUGCUCUUUUCCUUGCAUGUCAGGCAUAUGAGAAGGGGUUGAUGAUUGCUGUAAUUCCAUUUACCUCCAAGGUACAGUUAAUCCGGCGAUUGAUAUGUACACUGGUCUGUUCAUUAUGAUUUUACAAUCUAUUACUUGCUGCAGAUCCUAGAACCUUGUCGGAACAGUAUAGCAUAUCAACCUCCUAAUCCCUGGACCAUGGGUAUUCUUGGAUUACUUGCUGAGAUCUAUGUACUGCCAAAUUUGAAAAUGAACCUAAAGUUUGACAUUGAGGUACACAAUUGCUAUUAUUGCUCAUUUGGCUGAAUUUAGCACUUAGAUUCUGUAUUUAUUUAUGUAUGUGCCAUAUCCAUUUUGUGUUUCAGGUCCUGUUCAAGAACCUUGGUGUGGAUAUGAAAGACAUAACACCAACUUCUCUCCUUGAAAACCGUCCAAGACAAAUUGAAGGGAAUCCUGAUUUCUCUAACAAGGAUAUUGGGGCGUCCCAUCCACCAAUGAUUUCUGAAGUUAAAUCUGCAAUAGUAUCUACGCCAAAUAAAGUUGAGUUACCUGUUGAGGUUGCCAGUCCUCACACUGGUGGGCACACACAUUUGUUAUCUCAGGUUAGUAUAUGUUUAAUAUUUCUUAUUUGGAUGUUAGCCAUUAUGAUUUCUUCUUUCUUUCCUCCUUUUCUUUGGCAUCUUGAAUUUAAAUUGAUUUGAUGGGUCAGUAUGCUGCUCCUUUUCAUCUUCCUACUGGAACAUUGAUGGAGGAUGAAAAGCUAGUAGCUCUACGCUUGUCUGAUCAGCUACCUUCUGCUCAAGGACUGUUACAAGCCACCCCAUCACAAUUACCGUUUUCUGUUAGUCAGGUCUGGUUCCAUUUUCUUCAUUCUUCAGUGUUCUAGAUUUUUAUCGCUGCGGUCUUUACUGCUAAUCUGGUUAUUGUGUUGCUUGCAGCCUACUACCCUAAUACCUAAUAUUGGAACUCAUGUUAUCAUCAACCAGAAGAUUAGUGCUUUGGGCUUGCACUUGCAUUUUCAGAGGUUUGAAGCCAUUGCAAAGAACAAUAUUUUCCUGUUUACGAAGUAUAUUGAUCAUUGGUCCUUUGAUAAAUAUUAUCUCAUUUUUUUUAUUGUAGAGUUGCUCCAAUUGCCAUGGAUAGAGCUAUCAAAGAAAUAUUGAGUGGUAUGGUUCAGCGGAGUGUUAAUAUAGCUUCUCAAACGACAAAGGAGCUUGUUCUAAAGGUUUGUCUAUGGUUGUGCAAUAUGGUCACAUAAUCGUAUUUAUAUGUUUUUCUUUUUCUAUCUCUUUCUUUCUUUUUUUUUUUCACUGUAACCAAAUUCAAUGGUAGGACUAUGCCAUGGAGUCAGAUGAGGCACUCAUAUAUAAUGCAGCACAUGCGAUGGUAUCAAAUCUGGCAGGAAGUUUAGCUCAUGUAACAUGCAAGGUUUCAUAUUCCACACUAAAUUUGAUAAGUUUGGUGUUCCAUUGUCAUUUGAAUGUCUGCUUCUGUUAUUUGGUCUGUAAACAGUGACAUCUGUUACUGCUAGGAACCACUACGGGCUUCAUUGGCAAGGCAACUGGGGAAUUUGCUUCAGGGUUUGACUAUCUCCAAUGAACGUCUAGAACAAGCUGUACAACUUGUUACCAAUGAUAACCUUGAUAAGGCCUGUGCAGAAAUGGAACGAGCUGCAGCGGAUAUGGUUAGUUAGCUUCAUUGUUUUGCAUGUUUAUUUUUGGGGUCUGGUUACAGUAGAGGAAUAUACUUUUUCGGUACCUACUGAAAAUGCAUCAUUAAUCAGGUGGUACAUUUUUUGGUCCCUUUUUUUGUACCCGUGUACCUUGGUCCCAUUUUUUGCAUCCUUGUACCUUGGUCGCAUUUAUUUCUACCCUCGUUCAACAACCUAGAUCUCACCAUAUAUAUUCAACAGUCCGGAUCUUUUGUUCUGUAGGUACCACUAUGGUACCAUCAUAUUUUUCUCUGUUUUUGUAUUUAAAACCUUUUGCUUUAGGCUGUUACAGGUUUCAUUAUCUAAUCCCACUGAUACCUUCUAUUCUUGAUUAUGUAAGUCUUUUUUUGUUUACUAUUCCACUGCUCAUGUGUGUGUGUAUGUAGUAUCUAUGUGUGUGUGUGUGUGUGUGAAUAUGUGCAUUAAACGUGUUUGCUGAUAUCCGUCAUGUAAUCUGUAUGAACUGUCAGAACCUUGAACCACAUGAGGAAACACAUUGCUUUGAUAGUCUUUGGUAGGGCUUUCAGCUUUAUGAUAGGGGGAACUCAGUUCUUAAUAUAAGUUACCCUUGAGUUCCAUCUUUUAAAAUCAGUAAGUGACAUAGUGAGAUUUUCUUAAUAUUCUUUCCCUUUCAUGUUUUUCUUUUUCGUUUUUUUUUUUAAUACAAAGCAAAUUAAUUCAUUGAUAUGAAUUUCUGAGUAGAAUGAAGAUAUAAAGUUCUUCCAGAAUUUACAAAAGAUGAUCAAAAAGGAAAAGAAGAAAGAUCUUCUUGUAAGGAAGAACAAAUCUACCAUACAUCUCGAGAAUAAAAUAAAAACAUGUACAAGCUAGAGAAACCAUUACAACAUUCAGGGGACAGGGGGUUGGUUUGAAAAAAUUCUAAAGACCAUACCACAAUGGUCUCUAAUCACAGGUCCAACCCCUAAUUGACCUGGAUUUCCUAUGUCAGAUCCAUCAACAUUUAAUAGCAUGUGCAUCAUGCCUGUGCUUAGGGAAACUUAUCAAAAAAAUCAUGGCUGUGUUUAGUGAAAUGUAAAAUGAAAUCAGCUUAGGUGUAUUCUGGCAUGAUAUUAAUGUUCUGCUUUAUUGUUAAAGUAUUUUCAUGAUAUGAUUUAAAUGAUAUAUGCACAAUCAGCUUAUUUCAUGGAAACCAUCAUAGCAAAAGGUGACUCAAAGAAUAAUAAAACUUUGUUAUGGGAAGAAGUAUUUGGGAAAGCCCACCUAAGUCUUUAUUAAAGUUUUUUCUCUUAUACUCUAUUUUUGUGGGAGAAAUUUUGUUCAUCAGAUAGUGUUUUGGGGUUAAGAGUGAUGUUCUCUUGAUGGUGCAACUGGUUCAUCCUGGACUUGAAAAAGAGAACCUCUGUUGCCAGUUUCUGUGAUCCCCUUGUCCUAAAAGAUGCACAAGUUUCAAAUCUUAGAACUGUAAAUAUUUGUAAAUUGAUUUAGUUCCUGUAGUUACUUUCCUGAUUCUUGACCUUCUAGAUUAUUGAUUGGAUUGAAAAAAUUCUGUUGUUUUACACUUAGCUGUGACUUCUAUCCUCUUCAUUUCCUCUUUGUUCCCUCCACAGGAUUCAUUUCCUCUACAUUCUGCAAGUGUUACCCAACUGUAGUUUGUGUAAAUAGGAGAUUAUAUUUUACUGACUGUAGAGGAAAUAUCAUCAAUCACUAUGGUUUGGGGAAAAACUUUCUUAGCAUUCUUCUGAAUUUGGUCUUUUAACAUUCUUUUCCAUAUGGUUGUGUCAUGCUUUUGAGAGGCUUUGAGCUUGUAAAAAAAACUGUUUCUUCCUUGCUUUGUGGAUGGAUUCGCUCUGCCAUCUGUGAGAGUGUGUACAGAGUAGAAUGUGGUGCUCCAUCAUCAUCAUCAUCGUCGUUGAAAUUAGUCCAGAACUAGGUGUUAGUUUGAUUGGAUUUUGUUAUUAAAACAAGCUUCUGCAAUGUUUCUCAGGAGCAUUUCUUUUGGAAAUAAAUGUAAAUACUGCUAGGAUAAUCCUAAACAAGUUGUAUAUGGCUGUUGUUUAUUUCAUGAAUUGCACUCAAGUGCAUGGCAUCAAGAAAACCACCAAUAAAAUUUUCAGGGGAAGUCUUAACUGCAGAAGGAAGUUGUUGUUUCUUCUUCUCACUUAAAUGAUUGGUCAAAGAUUCAAGAUGAUAAAUCAAUCCAAUUCAUCUGUGGCAGCAUGAUUUUAACUUAUUUGUGGGUAUUUCAUGUAUACAGGCUGUACAAACAAUUGACAAGGAACUUGAGAUACGACUUUCUUUAAGAAGGAAGCACAGAGAAGGUAUUGGUUCCACUUUUUUUGAUGGAAGCAUGUAUACACAAGGUUCUAUGGCUGUUCUACCGGAGGCCCUGCGCCCUAAACCUGGCCACUUAUCCCUUUCUCAGCAGCAGGUUUAUGAGGUAUAGACAUGCCAAUAUUUUGUAUGAUGUGUCCUGUAUGAUUUGGUGCUUAAUGGUAUGGAAUUGAUGAAGGCAUUAUAAACCUUGCGCUCUCUUUUCAGGGCUUUGUUCAGCUUCCUAGGCAAAAUCAAUCUAAUGAAGGCUCAAACAUGUUGCCUGCUGAUUCAGCUCCACCUGGUGGUGCUGGCCAGUCUGUUUCACACGGUUCAGCGUUAGUACAACUUGACCCCACUAUUUACUCAUCUAGCCCUGGAAACUCAGGGCUCAUGGCAGUUUCUCAGUCCUUGGAUUUCGUCACUGAGGAUCUGGAGUCUACUUCAGUUCAGCUCCUUAGGUGUUUUUUCCUUUAUCCAGUUCCUUUGUUUCUCAAAUUUUCUAGUAUUCAUUUUCCUGUCUUCUCAAAUAUGUUCCUUAUGUUUCAGUGCUUCCUCAACUCACAUGGGAAUGGGGGAUGGUGUUAUCAAGCACAUUUCCGAAAAUGAUUCUGUUGUUGCUUCAUUUCCUUCAACUGCUUCAGCCUCUGAUUUGAGUUCUGUGGAACCAUCCGAUGCUGUGAAAGUUAGAGGAAUUUUGUCUAUUAUGAGUUUUUGUGCUGGGAAAGACUUAUUUCUUGUCACUGAUAUAUGCUUUUAAUUUAUUGCAAGGAAUUGGUAACUGCUUCACAAUCAUUUCCUUCAACUGUUGCCUCCGAGCGCCUUGGAAUUAGUAUCUCAGAACCUUUGGUCACAAGGGAUGCAUUGGAUAAGUAUCAAAUUGUUGCAGAAAAGGUUGUGCAUAUCUCGUUUUCUAUUGUUUCUCCUCCUUUCUUUAAUUCUUUCUUCUUAGUCUUCUUUAGUUGUGUGUGUGUUGGGCAGCUGUUGGUGCAUCUGCUCAGGCUCUUUCUUAUGUAUCAUCACUCAAUUCAACUCAACCUCAGCCAAAACCUUUUACCCAACCACAUGGGUCCAGCUAUAUGAAUUCUUUUUCACCAUCUAGCUUUACUGAGAUAUCGUUUGUUUGGGGCUCUUUCUCAUGCAUUAAAAUUCAACUCUACUCCAGUCAAAUCAACUCAUCCAAGCCUGUCCCAAGUCCCAACUACAUGGGUCUGGCUUCAUGAAUUGUUUUUUGGGCCAUCUACCUUUACUGAGACCAGAUCUUCCAUUAGAUCCUUGACAAUCGAUUCUUUUCUUGCUGCCUUUUACCUGCAUUUUUUCGACCUAACCUCUUGUCCUUUGGCACCUUCAUUAUGAAUCAAUCACUCCUUUCCAUUGGUGUAUUCAUUGAUGGAUCUUCAGUAUUUCAUGGUUAAAACUUCUCAAAUGACUAAUCCUUAUGUUGUCCUCAAGAGGUGUAUCCUCUACUUUCUUCAAAAUACACCAUUUCCUUAUUUUCCUGUGUUAGCUACAGAGUCAAUGAUUCUUUCUUAUGCUUUUUUUCUUGUCUUCUUUGGGUUUUCCAACAUUGCUUCUUUUGCAUGAAAGUCACUUUACUUCAAAUUGCUCUUCUGAUUUCCAUUUUUCUUUGUUUCUUGAAACAUGGUUUCAGCUGGAAACUUUAGUAACUAAUGGUGCUAGUGAAUCAGAGCUUCAGGUAUGUUUCUUUUUAACUUCUUGGUGGGUGUUGCCAGGAUAUUCCUAAUAUCUUGUUGAUUAUAUGUAUCAAUAUAGAAGCUCUGAGUUUAGAUAACGACAUAACUAUGUAAUUGCAUCCUUUUUGCACCAUUCUUUUUUUCGUAUUGUCCUUAGUGUUUUAAAAAGCUAUUGAGGGUUUUUUUUGUUUUUUUGAUCAGAAGCUAUUGAGGGUUAUGCCUUGAGGCUCUACAAAUUAGCCUUGAGGCUAUGCCCUCUUAUGGUAAUUGAGGCUUAAUGUCACGGACUUAGUCGUUUCCUAAGCUCGUGCGGCACUUAGACAAGCCAAGACACUUGAUCUUGCUAAGUCAGCCUUGCUUCCCAAUACUUAGCUCGCUCGGCUAAGACACUCGCGACUCAAAAGCUUAAAAAGCUUGGUAGGCAACUCCUUAAAGAAUGGAAGCUCUUAUUAACUCAAGAAGCCUUUACAAGUGCUUGGAUGCUCACUUGUUUGGUGCUUUGGCCAAAUGAGACCCUCACCUAUUUAUAGGCACCAAUGGAACUCUCUAGAACCUUGGAGGGUUCCUUACAAUUCAUGAAUAUUCUAGAAUGUCCUACACUAUUCUAGAAUAUUCAAGAGACUUCUAGAAUGUCCUACACUAUUCUAGAAUAUUCAAGAGACUUUUAGAAUGUCCUACACUAUUCUAGAAUAUUCAAGAGACUUCUAGAUUUCUCUAGAAAGCUUUGGACCCUUCUCAUGCCUUCUACCAUAGUGUAGAGUUGUGUGGACUUCUCUAGGCAUUUCUAGAACCUUCCACACUCUUCCCACUAGUGGCUAAGUGUGGAUGUCUCCAAGGGUUUCUAGAAGCUUCUCACCUCCUAUAUAAGCCAUGGGGAGGGUCAUUUGAAGCAUCUUGUGACACUCUCCCCCACCUAAGCCGUCGACGUCCUCGUCGUUGCCUCAUUCUGAAACUUCUCGAUGUGUUUCCAGAAUUUUCUCAAGGCAUCCGCAUGUUCCCAGCUUACCUGCCUCUUAGGUAGUCCUUUCCAUCGGACUAGAUACUCUAUCACAGGAGGGACCCCUUGUCUCCUGGUGACCCGUUCAGCCAGGAUAUUCUUCACUUCCUUCUCCCGUGAGGCUUCAGAUGGAUGCAGACCCGUGCGUUUCCGAUGCUUAGAGUGUUGCUUCCUCUUACCCAUUGAGUUCACCUUUCCCUUAGUGACCUCUUCCAUGUGUGUGCGGGCUACCUCAGCUCGCUCUCCUUUUUCCUCCUUUACUUGCACCCCUGCUAAUAAGGAGGUCUCAGGCGUACUAGGCUUCGGGUUGAAUUGGAGGGCACCUAGUAGCUGCAUUGAGCCCAUAUGUGCUUCGUCCUCCUGCUCCCUCUCCUCGAUCAUGGCACUGAGCGCCUUCCGCUUUGGACAAUCCCGUGCCCAAUGUGGACCGUCACACAGGAAGCAUUUGAUUUUAGGCGUAAACUCCCUCCUUUCCGCCUUAUCCUUUCCUUCUCGGACGUUAGACGUCUUGCUUGAUCCCUUUUUAGGAGCAUUGUGGUCCCUUGGAACCUUGUCUCCCCCACCCAUGACGUGGCUAUCCUCUAAAGACUCAUCCUUGGAGGAGUCUCCCCUCUUAUAAUCCGUUAAAGAUUCUGCUAUUGCCAUAGCAGUGGCUAAGUCUUGAACGCCUCGGCGCCUUAAUUCCUGCUCGGCCCACCCUUGCAGGUUGUCCAUGAAGUUGAAUAGCAACUCCUCCUGAGUCAUGUUAGGAAUCUCAAGCAUGAGCGAAGAGAAUUCCUUGACAUAGUCGCGUAUUGAGCCUGUGUGCUUAAGACGCCGGAUGUUUUUCCUAGCCAGGUAAGCCACGUCCUUCUGGUAGAACUGCCUCUUGAUCUCCCUCCUGAAGUCCUCUCACGUCUCUAUGGUGCAAAUGCCUUACUCCAUAUCGGCAAACCUUCGACGCCACCAUAGAGUAGCUGUGUCAGUAAGGUAGAGGGUCGCAGUUCUCACCUUAGCCGCCUCAUCCGUCAAUGCGAUAGCUUCGAAGUAUCGCUCCAUAUGCCAUAAGAAGUUAUCCAACUCCUUGGCAUCCCGCUUGCCACUAAACCCAUGUGGCUUCGGCACCUCCACCCUAGAUGCCUCCUGUGUGGCCAUGUCCCGAGCUGAUACAGCGGUCUUAUAGAUGGCCAACUCUUGUCGAAUCUCUUGGUCUCGGGCCUCCACUCGUGCAGUCAAGGCCUCCAUCCUUGACUCCACACUAGCGAACAUGCUCAUGAUCUUGUCUUGGAAGGACAUGAACUCCUCGUGUGACACCGGCUGAACUUGCGAGACCAGCACCCCCUCGCGAAGGUCUUGGAUCUGCUCCCUUAGAUCCUCUAAGCCCUUCUCCAUGCCUUGCUCGAUCAAGUCCACCCCUUCCCGGGUGUCUGCCAUGGCUAGCUCCACCUUGGCUAACCUUGCCUCCAUGUUGGCAACAACAUCACGAGAUGUAUCCUUCUUACCUCUGCCCCUGCCCCGUGCAGUAGGCUCGGUCUCUCUCCCACGGGUUUGCUCGCUAGUCUCCUCCACGUUGGAACCCGACAUGCUUCCUUUGCUAUGCCCACCUCGUAACCGCGCUCUGAUACCACUUGUCACGGACUUAGUCGUUUCCUAAGCUCGUGCGGCACUUAGACAAGCCAAGACAUUUGAUCUUGCUAAGUUAGCCUUGCUUCCCAAUACUUAGCUCGCUCGGCUAAGACACUCGCGACUCAAAAGCUUAAGAAGCUUGGUAGGCAACUCCUUAAAGAAUGGAAGCUCUUAUUAACUCAAGAAGCCUUUACAAGUGCUUGGAUGCUCACUUGCUUGGUGCUUUGGCCAAAUGAGGCCCUCACCUAUUUAUAGGCACCAAUGGAACUCUCUAGAACCUUGGAGGGUUCCUUACAAUUCAUGAAUAUUCUAGAAUGUCCUACACUAUUCUAGAAUAUUCAAGAGACUUCUAGAAUGUCCUACACUAUUCUAGAAUAUUCAAGAGACUUCUAGAUUUCUCUAGAAAGCUUUGGACCCUUCUCAUGCCUUCUACCAUAGUGUAGAGUUGUGUGGACUUCUCUAGGCAUUUCUAGAACCUUCCACACUCUUCCCACUAGUGGCUAAGUGUGGAUGUCUCCAAAGGUCUCUAGAAGCUUCUCACCUCCUAUAUAAGCCAUGGGGAGGGUCAUUUGAAGCAUCUUGUGACAUUAAGCCCCACCCUUUCGAGGCUUGUAGCUUUGAGGCUGCAACUUCAAGGCUGCUGAGGCCUAUGCCUCAAGUAUCCUAAGGGUUUUUAGCCUUUGUGGGCUUUUAGUAUACAUUUUUGUUUUAAUGGGUUCUAUCAUCUAUACUUUUGUGGACUUUUGAUAUAGACUUCAUAAGUUUUGUAUUGGGUCCCCACUUGGUUAAACCUGUUUUGAAAUAAGGGCUUAUUUGACUUCCAACUAACCUUUUAAAUGGAAGGGAAAAAGAGAGAUUGAGAAGAAAGAUUAGGGGAAUUGUUGAUUGUCCUAGUGGUUAAUCUCAUAUACAAUCAUUAUCUUAUCAUUGAUGUAUAUGAAAAAAUACCAUUGCAGUUGGUGGACGAAGAAGGAGAAUGGGUAGAUAUUAACAUUGAUAGGGAGGAUAAGAUAACAAUUGGAUAUGAUUAUAUUCCUUAGAGGAUCCUAUUAGUCAUAGUGAUAGUAAUGUUGAAAAUUAUUUGAUGAAACCAUGAGAAACAAUUGACACGAAAUAUGGGAUGAAGAAUAAUAAGUUCUGUCUAUUAGAUUGACUAUACACACAGUUUAUAUAGGAGAUUACAAGAGAAGAAAUAAGAAAUAAGAGAUAUAAUAGGAAACUAACUUAUUCCUAAACUAACUUAUUCCUAAAUCAUAAAACUAUCUAUUUACAGAAAUAGGAAACUAACAUAAUAGGAAAAUAAUUCUCCUAAUCUAUUUACAGUUCAACACUCCCCCUCAGGCUGAGGAAUAGAUGUCUUCCAUUCCCAACUUGAAUACAAGAUCGUGAAACAUUGAAUUGUUCAGCCUUUUUGUUAGGAUAUCAACUAAUUGAUGUUCUGAUGGAACAUAGGACAUACACACUACUCCUUUCUCCAAUUUUUCUUUGAUGAAAUGCCUAUCAAUCUCAAUAUGUUUUGUCCUAUCGUGUUGUAUAGGGUUAUGAGCAAUAUUGAUAGCUAACUUCUUGUCACAAUAAAGCUUCAUAGGACCAUCCCACUUAAUUCUCAAAUCAUCUAGAAUAAUCUUUAGUCAAAGUAGUUCACACAACCCUUGAGCAAUAGCCCUAAACUCUGAUUCUGCAAACGACCUUGCUACCACAUUCUGCUUUUUACUUCUCCAUGUUACCAGAUUACCUCCAAGAAAAGUACAAUACCCUGUAGUUGAUCUUCGAUCCAUUAGGGAACUUGCAUAGUUAGCGUCGGUGUAUGCUUCUAGAGGAAGAGUAUUGUUCUUCUUGAACAAAAUUCCAUUCCCGGGGUUGCCUUUCAAGUAAUGCAGUACCCUAUAAGCAGCUUGAAGAUGAAGUUCUCUUGGAUCAUGCAUGAAUUGACUGAUCACGCUCACCGAGUAGGCGAUGUCUAGCCGAGUGUGAGCAAGGUAUAUGAGCCUACCAACCAACCUCUGAUACAUUCUUUUAUCUACCACUGGUUCUUCUUUAGCUUCUCCCAACUUGUGGUUUGGAUCCAUUGGGGUAAAGAUUGGUUUACACCCAAUAUUCCCUAUUUCUGCCAAUAAAUCAGUCAUAUACUUUUGUUGAGAGAUGAAGAUCCCUUGUGUGGAAUAUGCCACCUCAAUACCGAGGAAGUACUUCAGUUUCCCUAGUUCCAUUAUCUCAAACUCUGUUGCUAAUCUCUGCUUCACUUCAUGCUUUUCUCUCUCAUCAUUUCCAGUCACUAUGAUGUCGUCAACAUAGACUAGAAGAGCAGUUACUCCCCUUGCAAACGAGUGCUUAAUGAAGAGAUUGGUCACCUUGGCUUUGUUUGUAUCCAGACUUUUUCAUGACUUUUGCAAAUCUCCCAAACCAAGCCCUAGGAGAUUGUUUUAGCUCAUAAAGGGCCUUUUUCAGCUUGCACACCUUGUUUCCUGCGUUUCCCUCAAAUCUCGAUGGGAUGUUCAUGUAAAUCUCUUCGUCUAAAUCACCAUGAAGAAAUGCAUUCUUAACAUCAUACUGUAGGAGUUGCCAAUUGUGGUGGGCAGCCAGUGAUAGCAGGAUUCUUACAGUAUUCAUUUUUGCAACUGGAGCAAAAGUCUCUUGAUAAUCAACUCCAUAAGUUUGAGUGUACCCUUUGGGUACCAAUCUUGCUUUAUGUCUCUGAAGAGAUCUAUCAGCCUUAUAUUUCAGUGUGAAAAUCCACUUGCAAUCAACAAUG